rnacentral:lncRNA from 1 species
ACACAACGAUCUAUUGGAUCCGCUUCCACAAAUGUCCCCCCUGACGAAACCACACGAGCCUUAAUCCCUGGGUAUCCAGUACAUUUCUUCCCCUGAAAUAUAGCCAAUUGAACCAAUUAUAUGACAUGAUAAAAAGUGCCUAAUCGGUUAAUAAGUACAUUAACCACUAAUCAAAAGAAACAGAAAAAAAUAUCAUCUCCUUUGCGAUUUUAAAGAGCACUCACCUCCCUCUUCCCCAUAGUUAUUUACAAUUGAGAGGUUAAUAGGUCACAACAGAUCAGCUCAACAGAACCAAAAUACAAAGCACUACCACUAUGUUUUUUUCUUAUACCUGCAGAACACCAGCAGCAACUAAAAUUUCCAGGCCAUGGCAGAUGGAUGCAACUGGUUUCCUGGCUUCCAUAAAUUGUUUCACUAGUACAAUAACAUCCUCCUUUAGUGCCAAAAACUCUGGAGCUUUACCUCCAGGGAGUACAAGAGCGUCAUAACUUGAGGCAUCUAUGGAUUCAAAGUCAGCUGUUAAAACAAAAUUAUGUCCCCGGAUCUCACUGUAGGUUUGGCCCCCUUCAAGAUCACGGAUAGCAGUUGGGCAGGUAUCACCGGCUUUCUUCUUGGGGCAAACCACAUCAACAUGGCAUCCUAGAACUUUGAGGGUCUGAUAAGGCACAGUUACCUCAUAAUCUUCCGCGUAGUUCUACAAAUAUUGGGAAGGGGAGCAAUUAAAUGAUGAUGAUUAGUAACUAACAGUUUAAUCAUUGGCUAUAUUUUGUCCCAUAUUUGUCAUUGCAAUAUAAAAGAAACAGAAAAGAAAGCUUACUCCAAUGAUGAUGAGGACCCUUCUCUCUGAAGCACAUAUGUUGCCUCCUAGUGCCUUGAGAAAAAGCCCAAUGAACUCAGGAUUGCCAUAAUAUGUGACCCCAGUAGUUAAAUUAUCAUCAGCAACACACACUGACAAUGUAUCGGGUUCUACCCAGUGAGCACCAGCAGCAACCAAUCCAGGUUUCAUAGUUGAAACCGCGGUGCAUUUGCGACCUUUAACAGCGCCUGCAGGUGCUAAGACCAACAGCCCAUGGCAAAUAGCAGCAAUUGGCUUUCUGGAGUCAGAAAAUUUUCUCGCCAAUUCUACAACGGAUGCCUUCAUAGCAAGAUGUUCAGGAGAUCGUCCUCCUGGUAUAACUAGACCAUCAUAUUUGUCAAAUUCGAUGUCAUCAAAUGUUGCAUUCAGUGUGAAAUUGUGACCACGAGAUUCUUUAUUAGCCUGUAACCAAAAAGGUACACGAAAGAAAACCAAACACAACACACACAUUAAAACAAGAGUAAUGGUUAGGGGAAUUCAAGCUUCUUUGUCUUGCUUGUCUCUCAAACUCAAACUCAUCAGAGGUUGUUUUCCAACAACUGUGUUCAAUAUUAAAUAUAUAAAACAUAUUCCUCUUGUUUACAAAUAAAAAAGAACAGGAAAGACAGGAAAGACAGAGUUUGACCUGGUCAGUGGACUCUACUUGAAUGGUUAUGGCAGUGGCGCAGAUAUCACCAGCUUUCUUGACAGGAGAAACUGCAUCAACAGAGACUCCAAAUGCCUGCAGUGCUUGAAAUGGGACCAUUGCCUCGUAAUCUUCCAUGUAGUCCCCGCACAGUAACAACACCCUCCUCUGCACCUCGCCUUUCGGAUUCCCCAUUUCUUUUCUUAUUUCCUUCUUUAGUUUCUUUCUUCUUUUUCACACAGAGAGAGUUUUCAGAGAGAUUUUUCAGAGAGAAAGAGAGAGGGAGAGAGUCUGAAUACAAGAAGGUAGGUUAUAGCUUGAGCUGCUCCGCUUUGCUUACUUAAAUACUCACAAAAGCGUUUUUGGAGGUUUGUGGAGUCAGCUCGAUACGGUCGCUCGCAAUUUGAGCAACACAUCGCAGUCAGUUAUCGUGGCAUCUCUCUAUUCGCCGCUUCUUUUCAGUUCGGAUAACUAUUCUAUUAGUUUCGAGCCUAUCACCGUCUCCAUGUUUGAUACGUUUUUUUGUUGUCUUCUUUACCGACCAAGUGAGUCUAAAUUAUUGAAACUUGAGUUUGUUCUCUUCACGGACCAAGUGGGUCUAAAUUAUUGGAGGAAGAUUGAAACUUGAGUUUGUUCUCUUCACGGACCAAGUGAGUCUAAAUUAUUGGAGGAUGAUUAAAACUUGCAAAGAGGCGGAUUUAUUCUCUUAUUGUGAAUACAAAUAAUGGUCUAAAUUAUUAGGGAAGUAUUCUAACUUGAGUGCAAAGAGCACAAAUUUAAGUGCAAAGGAGUGGACUCACUGUCUUAUUACGAGUGCAAAUGAUAAUCUAAAUUAUUAGAGAAAUAUUUAAAUUAUAUAGUGCAAAGAAGCGUACUCACUGUCUUAUUGUGAAUAUUCAAAUAUUCGAGCUCAAUGCUUCCUUUUCGAUUGAAAAAAAGAAGAAGCUCAAUGCUUCCAAGCCUAUACUAUAGAAAAGCUCUUUAGAGUCGUCAUCUUCUUCUUCUUGCCUUCAUUGUAGCACGUGUGUGGCCCAAUAGAAAAGCUCAAUGCUUCCAAGCAGGACCGGUCUUGAGAUUUUGAAGGCCCUGUGCAAAACCUUAAAUUGGGGCCUCACAUAAGCUAACACAAACUUACACCAUUAUGUAAUGCCAUACAAUAAAUUUUUUUUUUUUUUCAAGUGAUCAAAGUACCCCUACUCCCAAGGAAAAAAUUGAAAUUUCACAAAAGAAUUAAAUUGGAUUAAAUUGAUUACAUUGAGUCAGAGAUGUUACACCUUUUGAAUAAUCACCAUGAUUGUGACGAUGAGUCUUUGUCAUCAUAGGUCAUACUCAGAUAUUAAAUAUUUUUUAACACCUAAUUUAUUUUGUAUCAAUAUUCCAAGAACAUCAUUAAUUCGAUGCAAUUAUUUUGGUUGACUUAGUUGGAUGCAUUAUUUUUGCGAAAUUGAAUAUCUUAGCAUAAUUAUUGACUAAUUCAUUGUGAUCGGGUAUUUAUUAUUUCCGUUUGUGGUUGUGAAAGUAGAUGGGAUAUUGAAUGUUGGUGUUGACAUCGAACAAGCCUUUAACACAAGCAGAUUUUGAAGUCGAGUCCUGAAUAGAAGUUGAGGCCCUACAAACCAACACAACUAGAAACGUCUUUGUGUCAACAAUUUGCUCACUCUGUAUAUAUAUAACAUUUGUUAUACAUAUAGAGUGCUGCUAUUUCCACCCACUUGUCCUAUUUUCUCACCCACUAUGUAAAUUUGAAAAAUUAAAAUCCUACUUUUCCACCCAACAUUAUUCCUAAAAAACCCUUUAAUUAUUAAUUCGACCAAACACCAUCAACUCCAAGUUAAAAACAUAAAAAUUUUAAUCCAAAAAAAAAAAAAACAUUUUUCAUCUUCUUCAUGUGUUUUCAACAUCACGACCUUACCCUACCAUAUUAAUAUUCUCAUAAACCCCUUAGCAGUACUGGUGGCUUCACGACCACGACACCACCACCACAACAACAUACAACCAACAAGACUACAAUGGAUUUUUAAUUGAAGUGAUGUUAUAUGGAAUAAGGACCCGUAUGUGGGUUAAUCAGACUAAAAAAUCUUUAAAAUGGAAUAAAAUUAUAGGACAAUUUGGCCUCUAUUAUCAACACCUACCAACCCUGACACAAUAUUAAAGGUGGAGUUGAGAAUUUGAUUUGAAUUUUUUUUUAAAAACUUUUCAAAUGAUUGAGAUGGGUAGAUCAAUGCUCGCUGAAUUUGUUGAGGCCAGGAAGAUGGAAAGAAUAUGGAGAGUAAAAGAAAAAAUUUAUUUUCUUUUUAAAAUUUGUUUUAUUUUUAGGGUUUUAGAAGUCAUUUUACAUAGGGAUAAAUUUGUCUUUAAAUUUUUUAAAAUAAGGUGGGUGGAAAAAUAUGAGGUGGGUGAAAAUAGCUGUACUCUACAUAUAUUAUACACAUGAAAAAAAAUUGGGGCCCCUAAAAAAUUAAGGGCCCUGUGCCGUGGCACCACUUGCACACCCUCAGGACCACCCCUGCUUCUAAGCUAAUGUCCCUAUACUAUAUUAAAGCUCUUUAGAGUCCUCAUCUUCCUCUUGCCUUCAUUGUAGCACGUGUGUGGCCCAAUAGAAAAGCUAAUGUCCCUAUACUAUAAGGACCAUGCGGAUAAAUAAAUGUAAUGUUUAUCUCUGACAGGUCAUGCUUUUUGAGCCGUGAUAUUUUUGGAAUAGCGUUCGCGUGCAUUUUACCUGGACUGCCAUGUUGAUUUUCACCAGAGCAGCAAAGCUGCUUGCUUUGUGUUAUGAGGUCUGGUUUUGUUAACAAACUAUAUUGCUUGACCUAGAAGAAAAUGCAAUAUCAUGUGGAUCCUCAUUUCGCAGUUGCAUGAGGAUGGUUGUGAAAAUACAAGAGCUAAUUCUGGACAACAUGAUAUUUGUGGGAGCGAUUUCUUCCCACGAGAAUAUUCAAUUGAAAGAUUUCUCUUUCAUCUUCGCCGCCCCUUUCUCAUUGCAAAAUAGAUCGAAACAAGAGGACCACACUCGUGAGGUGUUGGCCAAAAGCCCUCAGAUGCCUAAGUUAGUUCAAUUGAUUCGUAGAGAAAACAAUAGCUAAAUAGGGUACGGAGAUAUAUAUAUAUGUAAGGUGAAAACCGGAUGGCCGGAGCCGUGAGUGGUGGUCGGAGCCUUGUGUAAAAGGAAGAGAGAGUAUGGCGGCUAAGGUUUGUGAGGGAUAAUUUCUGCAGAGUUUCAGUAAGAAUUUAGACGUACCUAAACCCUUGUACGUAGCCAUUUAUUUACAGGGGCCUCAGAGGCUAGGGUUUUAGAGGAAUAAUUCCGCAUAUGGAAAUGAAUUAUUCCUCCCUGAUUUGGCGAGAUUGGCUUAAUUAGGGAUUUGAAUGUAGGAAUCAAAUCAAUCCCAAUUAAAUUAGCAACUCUGGUUGGCCAUGCCACGCUGCUGCGGUAACCAGAUUUACAUCAGUGACACAACGAUCUAUUGGAUUCGCUUCCGCAAACGUCCCCCCUGACACAACCACAUGAGCCUUAAUCCCUGGGUAUCCAGUAAAUUUCUUCCCCUGAAAUAUAGCCAAUUAAACCAAUUAUGUCAUGUUAAAAAGUGCCUAAUCAAGAAAUAAGUACAUUAACCACUAAUCAAAAGAAACAGAAAAAAUAUUAUCUCGUUUGCGAUUUUAAAGAGUACUCACCUCCUUCUUCCCAAUAGUUAUUUACAAUUGAGAGGUUAAUAGGUCACAACAGAUCAGCUCAACAGAACCGAAAUACAAAGCACUAGAUGUAACCUUUUUUACUUCCUUUUCAAGUUCAAUCGAUAAAGUAUUUCAAUCUGUUUUACUUUAUCUUUAAUAAGUAGCAUUAAAACUGGAAGCAUUAUAUUAAUGUUUUAGUGACAAACGUUUAACCACUAAAAUGCAGGUAGGAUAUAUGUUUUUUCUUUAAGACCAUACCUGCAGAACACCAGCAGCAACUAAAAUUUCCAGGCCAUGGCAGAUGGAUGCAAUUGGUUUCCUGGCUUCCAUAAAUUGUUUCGCUAGUACAAUAACAUCCUCAUUUAGUGACAAAACCUCUGGAUCUUUUCCUCCAGGGAGUACAAGAGCGUCGUAACUUGAGGCAUCUACGGAUUCAAAGUCAGCUGUUAAAACAAAAUUUUGUCCCUGCGUUUCACUGCAGGUUUGGGCCCCUUCAAGAUCACGGAUAGCAGUUGGGCAGGUAUCACCGGCUUUCUUCUUGGGGCAAACCACAUCAACAUGGCAUCCUAGAACUUUAAGGGUCUGAUAAGGCACAGUUACCUCAUAAUCUUCCACGUAGUCCUACAAAUAUUACAAAUAUUGGGGAGGGGAGCAAUUAAAUGAUAAUGAUUAGUAUCUAACAGUUUGAUCAUUGGCUAGAAGCCUAAAACCAUGAACUUGUCGUGGCGAAACUGGUAAAGCCGACUCGGGCUUUCUCCCCUUUCUCUUUUAAUAAUAUUAAGGUUGGUUGUCACUUGAACUUGAGCAUACUAUUUUGUCCUAUAUAUGUCAUUGCAAUAUUAAAGAAAAAGAAAAGAAACCUUACUCCACAGAUGAUGAGGACCCUUCUCCCAGAACCAGAUAUGUUGCCUCCUAGUGCCUUGAGAAAAAGCCUAAUGAACUCAGGAUUGCCAUAAUACGUGACCCCAGUAACUAUAUUAUCAUCAACAACGCCCACUGACAAUGUAUCGGGUUCUACCCAGUGAGCACCAGCAGCAACCAAUCCAGGUUUCACAGUUGGAAACGCUGUGCACUUGCGACCUUUAACAGCGCCUGCAGCUGCUAAGACCAACUGCCCAUGGCAAAUAGCAGCAAUUGGCUUUCUGGAGUCAGAAAAUUUUCUCACCAAUUCUACAACCGAUGCAUUCAUAGCAAGAUGUUCAGGAGAUCGUCCUCCUGGUAUAAGUAGACCAUCAUAUUCGUCAAAUUCAAUCUCAUCAAAUGUUGCAUUCAGUGUGAAAUUGUGACCACGAGAUUCGGUAUAAGCCUGUAACCCAAAAAGGUACGUACGUCCGUACAGAAAACCAAACCAAACACACACAUUAAAACAGGAGUAAGGGGAUACAAAAUAAAUAAAUGAACAGGAAAGACAGAGUUUGACCCGGUCAGUGGACUCCACUUUAAUGGUUAUGGCUGUGGCGCAGAUAUCACCCGCUUUCUUGCCAGGAGAAACUGCAUCAACAGAGACUCCAAAUGCCUGCAGUGCUUGAAAUGGGACCAUUGCCUCGUAAUCUUCCAUGUAGUCCCCGCACAGUAACAACACCCUCCUCUGCUCCUCGCCUUUCGGAUUUCCCAUUUCUUUUCUUAUUUCCUUCUUUAGUUUCUUUCUUGCUUUUUCUUUCUUCUUUCUUCUUUCUUCUUUUUCAGAGAGAGAGAUGGUCUAAUAAAGGAAGGAAGGCCUGCUUUAAAUACUAAUACUCACACAAGCGUUUUUGGAGGUUUGUGGAGUCAGCUAGACACGUCGCAGUUAGUUAUCGUGGCAUCUCUUUCUAUUCCUCUCUUCUUUUCAGUUCGGAUAACUAUUCAAUGAGUUUCGAGCCAAGUUUGAUAUUCUCUGUUGUCUUAUAAUUAUUCGAGGAAGAUUCAAACUUGUAAUGUUUAUCUCUAACAGGCAUGGACAAUAAAUGUAAUGUUUAUCUCUAACAGGUAUGGAUAGUUUCGAAUAGCGUGCGCGUUGAUUGUACCUCGACUGCCAUGUUGAUUUUCACCAACGCAGCAAAGCUGCUUGCUUGGUGUUAUGAGGUCUGGUUUUGUCAACAAACUAUAUUAAUUGACCCAAAAGAAAAUGCAAUAUAAUGUGGAUCCUCAUUUCGCAGUGACAGGAUGGUUGUGAAAUACAGGCUAACUUUGGGCAACAUGAUAUUCAAAAGAAAAUUCAAUAUCUUGUCGAUCCUCAUUUUGCAGUUACAGGAUGGUUGUGAAAGUAUAAGCUAACUCUGGACAACACGAUAUUCAAAAGAAAAUGCAAUAUCUUGUCGAUCCUCAUUUCCCAGUUGCAGGAUGGUUGUGAAAGUAUAAGCUAAUUCUAGACAACUGAUAUUCAUUCAGGUAAAACUUCGAGGUGUACGAUGAGAGAGAGAGAAACCAAGGGGGCCGAUGACUAAUAAAGCAUAAGUAGUAUAAUACAAGCUUCAUCCACAACCAAACUUGCAUGGAACAUGGCAUAUACAUAUCGAGACCAGAAUCAUUUGUUCCCUCAUAUAUACAAACGUCACCUUAACAUAACACAACAUACAUGCCUUAUUCUUUCAUGAAUUACAUAUAGUACAUGCAAGCAGCUGACCCAAUAAACAGCAAAUGAUACUCGAAUAUCAAGCAAUGUCAUCAACUGAGAAAUGAACUCUGGGUUGCCCAGUCCAAAUUUCCAUCUGUGAAGCAAUGAUCUAUUGGAUCAGGUUCCAGCCAUGUUGCUCUUGACAAAACCGCAUUAAGCUUCACCGCUGGAUACGCAGUACAUUUCUUUCCCUAAAAUGAAGCAUACCACCAAAACAUUGAAAAUACACAUAGGAAUGAAUGAUGGAACCCUAUCACACCAGAAUUGUGGCAAAUCUGGUGAAGCCUAUUCAGGUUAUUUUCACUAUAUAUCUUUCAGAAGUAUCUGUAAUGGGGCAAAUCUCCAUCAAUUCUCUUCUUUUCACUUUAUCUUUAUGCCCAUUCAUGCAUGUACAUAUUAUAGGAAGAAGUUUUUGACAUAUGGCAUGUAUUGUGUGUCAAAUGUAUACCGAUUCAUGAAGACAGGUUCAACAGCACAUACACCAUUUUGACCUUAUUCAUUUAUUUUUGUUUAUUCUGGGUUACUGCAAUUUGAAUCACAUUAAAAAACAAAUACUGAACAGUGAUAUAUUCAAUAUUGAUUGGCAUCACAACUUCAUAUUUCUCAUUGCACUACGAAGGAAAAUAAAAAUUACCCCACAGAGAAACAGGAUCCUCCUAUCUGAACCAGUUAUGUUACUUCCUAUAGUGCCUUCAAAAAAGACUAAUGAACUCAGGAAGGCCUUCAUAUGUAGCCCCAGUUAUUAUAUUACCAUCAACAACACACGCCACCAUGGUCACGGGCUCCACCCAAUAAGCACCUGCAGGCUGCAGCAACAAGUACAGGUCUGACAGCUGGGAAGGCCGUUAUAUUUUAAAGGCAUCGCGGCGGAGCUAUACUCUAUAAUCAAAAUAGAAAAUCUAAAACGUAUAGCCGUUCGGCUAUACUCUAUAAAUAUAACUCCAUAAAUAGAAUAUCAUAAACAUAUAGCCGCGCGGCUAUAUGCGAUAAAUAGAAUAUUUCAAACGUAUAGCCGAUUGGCUGUACCCUAAAAUAGAACAUUUUAAAAGUAUAGCCGAUCGGCUGUACUCUAUUAGAAGAUCUUCAAAAAAUACAGAAAACCCAAAAACAUUUUAAAACAAAGGGGGACCAGAAAGACAUAUAUAGCAUUUGAAGAUUUGUAAAUUAAACACAGAUAAGAUUAUUUUCACUUAGAGACGAAGGCACUAAUGCAAUUUUGUUUAUUGAAUAUGGUGUACGCAGUGACGUUGGAGCCAAGAAUUUGUUCACGCUGUCUUUUCCCCAGAACUCAAAGCUCAAUACAGGUCGGUUCUCUAGCUCAUAAUGAAUGAGCAAAGCACUCUAACAAAACUCCUAACAUGUGUUCUUGUUUGAGCUUACUUUAGUCUCGCUGUCCACACAACCUAGAAACUAUGACCUACGGAUUGCUAUUUGUCAAUCUAAUAGAGUGGCUCUAAUCAACAGUAAAACUUAAUUCAUUUUGUCUAUUAUUAACGCUACCAACCACUGGCUGAUGCAAAAACCUAAACUUGUAAACUUGACAAACUUAUUUCCAGUCCCAACAUAUUCCAAAUUUUAGAGGAGGCAGCAUAAUCCCAUAUGUGAGAAUUGUAAGCACUUCAAUCUUUGAGACAAAUUUCUUGUUUUGGGUUUACAAAUUCAAGUGAAGUAAGCAUUCAAUCUUCAAUCCAAUUGAGUGUGCUUGAUUACAGAGCAUGGAAAGACCAAUUGACAGUGCUCAAAUGAUGUAAUGAGGCUAAAGAAUAAAUUUUUAUCAUAUAAUCAUUAAAUAUGUUCACUAAAAGAUGUGUCAUCGUUAUAUGUAAAAUUUUUAGAAAUAUAUAAACUAGCUAGGAUUUACGUGAAUUCGAAUUUGAAUACAUGAAAUAUUAUUACCUACUACAUCAUUUGAUGAACAGAUUUGAUGUUCCUAACAAUUCUAUGCGUACUAGUAAAGUACUUUGUCUUUAAUUUGGAAGUACCCGAAAGCAUAAUGUUUUUCAUAUAUUAUCUGGCAGGAGGCAAUUCAAGAAAAAAAGCCAUCAUUAUUGGAGUCGUAGUUGGAGGUGUAGGUCUUUUUAUUCUCAUUGUUGGAGUUUUUCUCUAUUUUAAACUUUCAAGAAAGCCCGAGGCUGCAACAACCACAGAAUUCGAAGUUGCACUUCCUCUUGCAUAUAUACUAUUACAGUCAUGAUUUCUUGGAUUACAAGUACAAGGGUUUAAGAGAUUUGUGAUCACUCACCGUUGGAUGUAAAUUCAACGGUUCACUCACUCUUGCACUUCUUUUAAGAAAUUUUUUUGAACCAUUGGAUUAAUAUCUAACGGUGGGUGACCACAAUCUCUUGGACUCCUGUAUUCCAAGAGAUCGGAUUGUAUACUAUAAGUCCUGAUCUCUUAGACUACAAGAGUACAAGAGAUUUGUGGUCACUCACCGUUGGAUAUAAAUUCAACGGUUCACUCAUUAUUGCACUCCUUUUAAGAAACUUUUUUGAACCAUUGGGAUUAAUAUCCAACCGUAAGUGACCACAAUCUCUUGGACUCCUGUAGUCCAAGAAAUUUGUGGUCACUCACCGUUGGGAUGUAAAUUCAACGGUUCACUCACUCUUGCACUCCUUUUAAGAAACGUUUUUGAACCAUUGGAUUAAUAUCCAACAGUGGGUGACCACAAUCUCUUGGACUCCUGUAGUCCAAGAGAUCGGGACUGUAUACUAUUAGUCCUGAUCUCUUGGACUACAAGGGUCCAAGAGAUUUGUGGUCACUCACCGUUGGAUGUAAUUCAAUUAGCUCAUGCUCUAACCAUGUAUAUAUAUAAACAUAAAAAAUUUAAAAAAAUUUGGUAUUAGACAUAAUUAUCUUUACUAAUUAGUAUUCGAGAUAAACAAUAUUUAUGUUUUAGUUUUAAUACAUAGGAAUUGAAUUUUGUUUUGGAUUUGGACAAAGAGGAGGCCCAGAUUCAUUAGCCCACCUUAUAUUAAUCACUAAUUUUAAUUUAAAAACCUGACUCAAAUUCAUUGGUUUACCUUUUUUUUAAGAGUGCUACUAAACGAACCCUAACAUUAACUGAGUACACCCUAUGAUCUAAGUACACCCUGAUAUUUUAAUUUAAAUGUAAAAUUAACUAAGCACACCCUAUAGAACUACCAAAAAUAUCUCUGGUACACCAUAAUAUUUGUAGCAUUAUUUUAUAGUUGAUUUUUAGCUUGAUUUUUUUAAUAGUGUUUAUAAAUCUUUGACUUUUCAUAUGGAUUUAUGCUUCUACUAAAAUUGUUGACACUUUUUUUGCAAUUUCAAGUUCUUGCAAUCACCACCUCUUUCGUUAAUAAUGAUUUUUUUAUGCAUGUUUCAGUUAUAUACUACUAUGCUACUGUGAAAUUUAUUUGUUCUCAACGAAGUUAAAAACAAGCUAAACAAAUAGAGACACUUUCGCAAAAGACACCUCGUUUGUGAUAAAUUCGUUUUUGUAGUCUAAAACACAUUGUUUAUUGAUGUCGGUGUCUUGCUUAGAUACAUCUUCUAGAUGCUGUAAAAAAAAAAACCUCAUAUUUGUCAUUUUUCGGUACACAUGCUUUAGCCUAAACCAAAAAAAAAAAUCAAAGUUAAUACCUCUUUUGAUGACUUCCUCAAAAUAUAUGAAGCAUCCAUUCCAAAAUUUCAAAAGUAACCCAACUUGCAAAUCUGCAUAAAAACAUAAGAGAAAAACAAUAAGAAAGGUGCAUGAGUGGCAAACGAAAGUCACUGCAAACUUCAUCAAAUUGGCCCUAGUAGUACUAAUUAAGAUAUUUUUAAUCAUACACGCUCACAAGCCAGAAAAACUAAGUCCUAAAAGAGGGAUGAAGAUGCUGCCACCACAAUUUUCAUUCAUGUUGUUAGUGAACUAGGCAAAAGUAAUAUGCAUAAAUUCUAUUUUUACAGUAUAUAAGUCAAUUCACCAUAAUAUUUUUUUGACAACUUAUUGGAUUGUCAGGAAUUCAAUGAUCAAUCAGGCCUUCACAUAAUCUCCACCGCUGCACUUCCUUUUGGACCUUGAGAAGAAGCAGAUUUGAGCCCAAGUCUUCUUCUGCUUAGCAGGUUGUGCUUUAACUUCUCUUUUCACGACAAGCUCAAUCAUGUAUUGAACAACAGCCUAAGAUUAUAUUUGCUCCAAACCAUUCUGACUCGCAGAUCACAAAGAUGAGAACCAAAUAAUCUCUUGAGUAGGGUUGAAUACGAUUAGUAGGGUGUACUUAUUAAAAUUAUAUUUGUUUCACAAUUUCAUAUAUCAUUUUUGGUCAUUUUAUAUUAGAGUAAAUCAGUAAUUCAAUAUAUGCUUUUGUAGUAGGGUGUACUCAGUUAAUUUUAGGGUUCGUUUAGCAGCACUCUUUUUUAAUCAUAUCAGAUCUGCUAUCAUCAAUCCAAGAUCAAGAGACCGAUCUGCGAUGCAAUUCUCAACCAUCUCCCUCCUCUACCCAACCCCCCCCCCCCAACCCCCCAAAAAAAAGGUUUGGGAAAGUCCCAAAAACUAAAAAACAGAUUUCUUCAGAUACAAAAAAAUUUAAAAAAAGAGGAGAGGAUAUGAAAGACGCAGAAAAUCGNNNNNNNNNNNNNNNNNNNNNNNNNNNNNNNNNNNNNNNNNNNNNNNNNNNNNNNNNNNNNNNNNNNNNNNNNNNNNNNNNNNNNNNNNNNNNNNNNNNNNNNNNNNNNNNNNNNNNNNNNNNNNNNNNNNNNNNNNNNNNNNNNNNNNNNNNNNNNNNNNNNNNNNNNNNNNNNNNNNNNNNNNNNNNNNNNNNNNNNNNNNNNNNNNNNNNNNNNNNNNNNNNNNNNNNNNNNNNNNNNNNNNNNNNNNNNNNNNNNNNNNNNNNNNNNNNNNNNNNNNNNNNNNNNNNNNNNNNNNNNNNNNNNNNNNNNNNNNNNNNNNNNNNNNNNNNNNNNNNNNNNNNNNNNNNNNNNNNNNNNNNNNNNNNNNNNNNNNNNNNNNNNNNNNNNNNNNNNNNNNNNNNNNNNNNNNNNNNNNNNNNNNNNNNNNNNNNNNNNNNNNNNNNNNNNNNNNNNNNNNNNNNNNNNNNNNNNNNNNNNNNNNNNNNNNNNNNNNNNNNNNNNNNNNNNNNNNNNNNNNNNNNNNNNNNNNNNNNNNNNNNNNNNNNNNNNNNNNNNNNNNNNNNNNNNNNNNNNNNNNNNNNNNNNNNNNNNNNNNNNNNNNNNNNNNNNNNNNNNNNNNNNNNNNNNNNNNNNNNNNNNNNNNNNNNNNNNNNNNNNNNNNNNNNNNNNNNNNNNNNNNNNNNNNNNNNNNNNNNNNNNNNNNNNNNNNNNNNNNNNNNNNNNNNNNNNNNNNNNNNNNNNNNNNNNNNNNNNNNNNNNNNNNNNNNNNNNNNNNNNNNNNNNNNNNNNNNNNNNNNNNNNNNNNNNNNNNNNNNNNNNNNNNNNNNNNNNNNNNNNNNNNNNNNNNNNNNNNNNNNNNNNNNNNNNNNNNNNNNNNNNNNNNNNNNNNNNNNNNNNNNNNNNNNNNNNNNNNNNNNNNNNNNNNNNNNNNNNNNNNNNNNNNNNNNNNNNNNNNNNNNNNNNNNNNNNNNNNNNNNNNNNNNNNNNNNNNNNNNNNNNNNNNNNNNNNNNNNNNNNNNNNNNNNNNNNNNNNNNNNNNNNNNNNNNNNNNNNNNNNNNNNNNNNNNNNNNNNNNNNNNNNNNNNNNNNNNNNNNNNNNNNNNNNNNNNNNNNNNNNNNNNNNNNNNNNNNNNNNNNNNNNNNNNNNNNNNNNNNNNNNNNNNNNNNNNNNNNNNNNNNNNNNNNNNNNNNNNNNNNNNNNNNNNNNNNNNNNNNNNNNNNNNNNNNNNNNNNNNNNNNNNNNNNNNNNNNNNNNNNNNNNNCCCCCCCCCCCCCCCCCCCAAAUAACACUGUUCGGACCAUCCUCAACACCCCAACACACGUCGCCCUCAAGUCCGAAGAACUUAUAAGAAUGGAGCAGGAAUUGAUAGUCCGCGAAAUCGAAAUGCGGAAAGCCAAAGAGGAUCUCAACCGUCGGAUUCACAAUGAUCAGGUCGCGAGGGAGAUCAUGAAGAUUCCAUAGGACGAGUGGCAAGAGUCUGGCCAACUCUUCGCCAAACCCUUCGGUGUAGGCUCCUCCUCAUCGUCGUCGACGAAGAGGGUCAAGAGUGAAAGAGUGUUCUAUCAGAUUGGUCAAAAAAUAAUACUUCAUUUAUCUUAAUAUAUAACAAAUAGGAAGGUUAUAUAUACAAAGCCUAGGAAACUAUUCUAGGAAAGUAAUUAUGUUCCUAUAAUCUUGCAUAAUCAAAUAGUUGACUUAGACUAAUUAGGAAUGUACAGCUCAUUGACACUCCCCCUCAAGUUGGAGCAUAUAUGUCGUCAAUGCCCAACUUGCUAAAUGAGCUGUGAAAUACCCUGCCUGUGACUGCUUUGGUAAGGACAUCUGCAAGUUGAUCUUCGGAUUUAACAAAUGAUACCUUAAUGAUCUUUGCCUCGAGCUUCUCCUUGAUGAAAUGUCUGUCAACUUCAACAUGCUUGGUUCUAUCAUGUUGCACUGGAUUAUGUGCAAUGUCUAUUGCAGCUUUGUUGUCACAAUUCAGUUGCAUGGCAUGUUUGGGUUUGAACCCCAAUUCCUCCAACAAAUUCCUUAUCCAGAGUAGCUCACAUACUCCGUGCGCCAUACCUCGAUAUUCUACUUCAGCACUUGAUCUUGACACUACUUUCUGUUUUUUACUUCGCCAAGAUACUAGAUUGCCUCCUACAAAGGUAAAGUAUCCAGAUGUAGAUCGCAUGUCAGUAACAGAGCCCGCCCAGUCUGCAUCAGUGUGACCCUCAACAUCUAGAUGACCAUGUCGUGCGAACAUCAAUCCUCUUCCAGUAGAUGACUUCAAGUAUCUCAAAAUUCGGUUUACCGCAUCCAUGUGGGCUUCACUUGGUGCAUGCAUGAACUGACUCACCAUACUUACAGCAUAUGCUAUAUCAGAUCUAGUGUGUCCUAGAUAGAUUAACUUACCCACAAGGCGUUGAUAUCUUUCUUUGUUGGUGGGUACUUGAUCAGGAUAUUCACCAAGCUGAUGAUUCAACUCCAUUGGCGUAUCUGCUGGUUUGCUGGCUAACAUUCCAGUGUCAGUCAAAAUGUCAAGGAUAUAUUUCCGUUGUGAUAGAAAUAUUCCUUGUUCUGAACGAGCCACUUUGAUGCCUAGGAAAUACUUCAGAGCACCAAGAUCUUUCAUUUCAAACUCACUUGCCAAGUGGUGCUGCAAUGCUGCCUUUUUCACUAGGUCAUUCCCGGUAACUACCAUGUCAUCAACAUAUACAAUAAGGGCAGUGACAUUACCUUUCUUAUGUUUCAAGAAAAGAGUAUGAUCUGAGUUACUUUGCUUGUAUCCAAAAUCCUUCAUUGAUUUGCUGAACUUGUCAAACCAUGCUCUGGGUGACUGCUUCAAGCCAUAAAGAGACUUUCUCAGUUUACACACCAUGUUGCUAGUAUUGGGCCCCAUCUUGCAUCCUGGAGGGGAAUCCAUAUAGACUUUUUCUUCUAGGUCGCCGUGCAGGAAGGCAUUUUUGACAUCAAACUGGUGUAAUGGCCAGUUUAGGUUUGCUGCCAGAGAAAAAAGUACUUGAAUUGUGUUUAUCUUGGCUACAGGGGCAAAUGUUUCCCUAUAGUCAAUCCCAUAAGUCUGAGUAUAACCUUUCGCCACCAAUCUUGCUUUGUAUCGUUCAAUGGUGCCAUCUGCCUUGAAUUUUAAUGUAUAUAUCCAUCUACAACCCACUGUUCUCUUUCCUUUGGGAAGGAUAGUCAUCUUCCAAGUGGAAUUCUUCUGGAGGGCCUCCAUUUCAUCAUUCAUCGCUUGAGUCCACUUGGGAUCUUUCAGAGCUUCCUACACAUUACUUGGAAUAGAUACAGUGGAUAAUUGACAUACAAAUGAUGCACAUGACGGAGACAACCUAUGUAGGGACACAUGAUUAGCAAUAGGGUAUUUAACUUUUGUUUUUGGGUCCGGGUCAUACUGUUGUCUAGGAAUCCCUCUAGUGGUACGAAUAGGUAACUGAUAACCUGUGUUUCCUGUAUGACUCGACUCAUGUAAAGUACUUAAGUUGGAGUUUAAAUGCUCAGUUACCUGCGGGGAAUCUUCAGGACCUGAUUGGAUGAUUGGUGAUGGUACUGUAGUUGGAGGGAAAUUAUCUGAACCAUCAUCUGGAGUUUCUAGUAACUCUUGAUCUUGUUGCACUACUGUAGCUGGUUGCUCGGAUACUGACUGCUCUAAAAUAGUUUGUUGAAUUUGGAUGCUCUGAGUAUCUUCUGCAAAGAUAGAGCUCUCCCCCUGCAGAGGAUGCUCAGAAACUCCCCCUGAGUAAUAGAACUCACUCUCGUGGAAAGUCGCAUCUGCGGUAACAUGCAUGGUCUGAGUGGGAUGAUGGAAACACUUAUAGCCCUUCUGAGUGUCAGCAUAACCCACAAAGACACAACGCAGUGCACACGGAUCAAGCUUGCCACGCUGAUGUGGAUACACCUGAACAUAAGCAACACAACCAAAGAGACGUGGUUCGAGAUUUGGUGUGGAUGGCAUGGUGAGGAGAGUGGUCAAUGUCUGAAAUGGAGUUUGAUACUGAAGAGUGCUGGAUGGGGUUUUAUUAAUGAGGUAAGCAGCAAAACAAAGAACCUCCCCCCAAAAAUGAUGAGGCAUACGGGCCUCAAAUAAAGAGGCACGAACAACCUCCAAGAGAUGACAAUUCUUACGCUCUGCGACGCCAUUCUGUUGUGGUGUAUAGGCACAUGUGGUUGAUGAACAAUUCCAUGUUGACUUAAAAAAAUUAUAUAGGUCUUGGUUGACAUACUCUCCUCCAUUGUCAGAUCGAAGCAUGGUGAUUUUCUUGUCAAACUGAGUAGCAACAUAUUGAUAAAAUAACUUGAAUUUGGCGGUGACUUUACUUUUCUGCUUUAAGGGAAAAACCCAGGUCAUCCGGGUGCAAUCAUCAAUAAACGUCACAAACCACUUAAAACCGCUAAUAGUAGGAACUCGUGAUGGUCCCCAAACAUCAGAAUGGACAAUCAUGAAAGGCAAAGAACUUUUAUUCAAUCUUAAUGGGUAAGAAAUACGAUGACUUUUGGCCAAAAUGCAAGUUUCACAAUGAAAGUCUGAUUCAGCAAACUGGGAAAAUAAAUCUGGAAAUAAAAGUUUCAGAUGACCAAAAGAAGCAUGCCCUAAUCGUCUAUGCCAUAGCCAAAUUUUCUUCAUCCUGAUAGACUCAUCUCCUCUCACAUGAUGUGUCUGACUCAAUCUUGUACUGCUGUCUUCUGUCAAGUCCAGAUAAUACAACUUUCCCCUCCUAGUACCACAUCCAAUCACGGUCCUGGUGAGAAGAUCCUGAAAUAGACAAUACAAUGGCCAAAAACACAUAGUACAAUUAAGGGAAUCAAUGAUUUGAGGAACAUAUAACAAGUCAUAGUCGAGUGAAGGGACAACUAAGACAUGAUCAAGACUUAAUGAAGAUGUAAGAGAUAAAGACCCUUCUCCCAUAACUUGGGAGGUGGUUCCAUUGGCACUGGUAAUAUGUGUUUGGCUUGAUGGUUUGGUAGAGUGCAACCCAGUAAAACUAGAUGUCAUGUGAUCAGUAGCGCCAGUGUCAAUAAUUCAUGAUCUAUUACAAAUAAGUGAAGAUGUGCAAGAGGUACCUGAGGUGGCCAAGGCCUUGGAGCCAGAUGUACCUGAUGGAGGUUCUGAUGCAGUCUCCUUGGAUGACUGAGCGGAUGCAAAUGAGGCUCUGGUAGAAUCCUUUUUUCGCCCUUUGUGGACCCAUCCUUCUGGAUAACCAAUGAUCUCAUAACAGCCCUUAAUUGUGUGGUUAUCUAAACCACAUUUGGUACACUUCAUUGGAGGCCAGUUACAAGUAGGGUCGACACUAUAGUUGUUCGGCCGAGAUUGUUUGGACCUCGCAGUAGCCAAGGCCGUGGCUUCAGAGGUUACACCAACUUCAGACAUGGUUCCCUGUCGGUUACUUUCUCUUUUAAUAUGUGCAUAUGCGGCCUCCAAUUCGGGUUUUGGCUCCAUCCGCAAAAUCUCUCCUCGGAUUUGAUCGAAAUUAUUGUCCAAACCUGCAAGAAAUAUAUAAACUCGGAGACGAUCAACCUCUUUGCGUCUAGUCUCAAUGUCUUUCGGAUGCUCCAUGGUGCUUGGACUUAAUUGAUCAAGCUCCUGAAAAAUCUCAGUGAGCUCACUGUAAUAUUUGGCAACUGAUGCGCCAGCUUGCUUCAUUAUUAAUGACCAUCUGUGAAGGUCAUAAAUCUUGGCUUCAUCAGCACCAUUUGAAUAGGUUUGCUUGAUUGCGGCCCAAACUUGCUUUGCUGUGUCAUAACGAAUAAAUCGUUUAAUCUGAUUAGGUUGCAUGGCGUCGAACAACCAACUCUUGACUUGGCAAUCCGAUGCAUGCCAUUUAUUAAAUGUGGGAUCUGUGUCUGUAGGUUGGGCAAUAUCACCGGUCAAGUGGCCAUGUUUUUCUCGCCCAGCUAUCUUCAUCUCUAUGAUUUGAUGCCAUAGAGAAUAAUUAUUCUCAUCCGAUUUGAUUCCUGCGGAGAAGUUGGAGGUGUCACUCUGUAAAGUGACGAUUUGUGUGGUAGUUUUGGAGCCUCCCGACACCAAGGAUUGAUUGGUGUUUGCUGACCCGUCAUCGUUGGCCAUGAUAUUGGCUGACAACCAAUGAAAAAAGGACAAAAAAGAAAUAUCAAGUUGAGGAAAAGCAAGUGAACGGUGGACAAAGGCAAUAAGAAAUAUUGGGUUGAAAGGGAAAAAAAGAACAAGGGGAACGGUUUGAAUGGGUCUGUGAGUGGAUCUGUGAGUGGAAAGUGAUUUGCAAUAUUGCAAAACGUGAUUUGACUAGAGGAAAGGUUUGAAUGGGUUUGUAAGAUGGAAUAUGGGUGGUAUUGGUGCUGGGUUUGUGAGAUGGAAUAUUGCUUUUGGUGCUGGUGCUGGUGCUGCGUACUAGAUGGAAUAUUGCAAAACAGUGAUUUGAGAUGGAAUAUGUGACAGGACCCACCCCGGAAUUUCCACAAAACCGGGGCGAAUCCAGUCUUUGUUCCGACAUCACCCCGAUGUCGGGCCCACUUACUAGAAACCGAGACUUCCUGCCGAAAUUUCGGCAGAGUCUCCCUUAUGAAUUGGACAAACCAACAAAAUUCAACCUGCAUAAAAAUAUAGAAUAAUCCCAACCAGCAGCAUGCUUUACAGCGAAUAAACAGUUUACAACAAAAUGGCCUCCGGCCUCACAAUUCAGACCCUAACAGGGCGAUAACAGAGCAUGUCUAAGAACUUCAAUUUCAACAAAACAGAGUACAAAGGAAAUAACAGGAAGAAAGAGUCCUACGAUGACUCAAGGCUCAAAAGCUCACGAUCCGGCUCUGCUGCGGAGCUCAGUCAACUACUGGCUGGGGGGCGCAAAACAGAAAAUUGUGAGUGGACAAAAAUAAAUUCAGUUCGGUGCAAACCAACGUAAUAUAACCCCACCGUUUAGAAAACCAUGCAAGAAAUACCAUGCAUCUCAAAACCGUCAUACACAAGUAUAUAUAUAUAUAUAUAUAUCAAAACAAAUCAAUACCAAAUGCCAAGUCCAAAAUUCAUAAAGAACACUUUACAAAACCCACCAUCCAAAAACUUAUAAAUCCCGCAACCAAACUCUCGAAAGCGUACCCAUUGGCACGACCGGCAAGGAAGUAUCCACACCGAGAAACAAGAAUGAAUGAAUAGAUAUAUAAUUAUAUAAUAUAAGAGAUAUAUGUAUAUAUAGUAUAAAUAUAACCAUCACCUAGUUGUACCGGGGAAACAAUCCAACCGGGGGAUUGUUUGACUAGUCACCCUGGCAGAGUCCUCGUGAUGAGUCCUCAAUCCACCAUGUGACUAGGGAACGAGCCGUUUAACUGAGGGACCAACUCUCAGCCAGAACGUACAGUCGAUAACCUCAAAACCCGUACGUCUGUGAACAGUCCUACGCGUGCAGACUACCCAAUUAAGGGUCUACAGCAACAUCCCGUCAAGGAUGCCCCGGGUCCCGACAAUUCCAAGUAUCUCAAGUCUCCGUAUCCAAGUUCCACAUCCGGGGAGGUACAUAGGGUAGUGCUUACCGCACACCAAACUGACAUUCUAUACUCACCACUUUCCACAAUCUCAUCUCAACAACCCAAGUACCUCACACAUAACCAAAUAUAUAUAUAUAAAUCCCCAAAAUCCAUAUAUUCAUACUCAAGAUACUCAAAUACGUCAAAACCCAAAAUAUAUUUUCAGUGCCUCAUAAAAAUAUCACUUUCAACAAUUUCAUAAAUAAUAUAUUCAAAAUACCAUUUAAAACAUCAUGCAUAAUAUUUCCCAAAAUCCAUAUAUAAAAUAUACUUUCAAUACCCAAUUAUACCAAACCCACAAUAUUUUACCAAAGCGCUUAUAAAAACAUCAAGCUCAACUCAUGAAUAUAAUAUAUUCAAUAAAUCAUUAAAAACAUUAUGCACAAAUGUUUCAUCAAUAAAACCAUGCAUAAGAUUUGAAAACAAGAUCCACUCACAAGUAGUCCCACGCUGCUUGACCCUGAGAGGGUCCCGCCUGCUGCGUAUGCGUGGUCGGAGUACCUCACCCGUCUGAAAUAGUGAUCGGAGGAGAGAGAACGGGCGACUGGAAGUUCAGACGAGAAUCGGCCUGAAAUCUGUGUUUUUCGGCGACGAGGAGGCGGCUGGCGGCUGGAGAUGGGUCGGGGAACGUCGGCGAGGUCUGGCCGGUUGUUUUGGGUCCGGUCUCGGGGCUGGCCGUGGCCUGUGGCGGCGGCUCCGCGUCUGCAAAUCGGAGAAGGAGGAAGAGGGACGCGGGAGAGAGAGAGAAUCGGGAGAAAGAGAGAGAAAGAGAGAUAAAACUGAAAAAUCUGAUUUUUACUCUAUCCCUUUUCGAAAUAUUUACAAGUUUGCCACUGACACUAUUUUGCCCGUAACUUUUUCGUUACAACUCCGAUUCAAGCCUACCGCGUGUCUACGAAUUCGUCUCAGUACCACCUACCCAGAAAUACCAGUUACUGCCCCAAACACUUUUUGGGCAAGAAAAUGACCAAUUUACCCCUACCCUGAGGGUAAAUUCGUAAAUUCACUUAAAUAAUUUAAAAUAGGAAUUAAAUUUAGAGUCGGGGUGUUGCAAUAUGGGCUGGUGCUGGGUCUGUAUGACGGCUGUUGCUGCGGAAGCGAUUAGGGUUAGGGCAAGAGACAGUCAAGAUUGACUGCUCUGAUACCAUAUCAGAUUGGUCAAAAAAUAAUACUUCAUUUAUCUUAAUAUAUAACAAAUAGGAAGGUUAUAUAUACAGAGCCUAGAAAACUAUUCUAGGAAAGUAAUUAUGUUCCUAUAAUCUUGCAUAAUUAAAUAGUUGACUUACACUAAUUAGGAAUGUACAGCUCAUUGACAUGUUCAGGCUCUACUUCAAGGGUUUGGUGAGCGACGCAAUGGUUGGAAAUGAGAGAAUGGUGCUGGCUGGGGUUGGGGUUGCUCUAUGCGACUCCAGGGAUAAUUUGGUGUUCGAGGUUUGGAAACCCCUGAUUGGGAAUGGGAUGAGCAAGAAUGGUGCCCUGUUGAAAGCCUUGAUUGAAGGACUUAAUGCUGCUCUUGCUCUGGACUUGAAGCGCAUCACCUUUUUCUGUGAGAAUUUUCCCAUUUUUUUAGUUUGUGAGUUGCUAUCUCUUCUCUGUCUCGUUUCAGUCUAUUGAUGAAAAUUAAUUAGGCUAAUUGUGGGUUUUGCAUUUUAAUAUAACGACAUAUAUGGUUAUGGACGCUGUGGUUUACACUGACCAUGAAAGAGACUCUUGUGAAAGAGGUCUAAAGGAAUGGAACUUAUUAUUAUAUUAGUGUAUACGAUGUUGUAGGUUUUGUUAAUUAAUAUUUUUUUUCUUGGAACAAUAAUGAACUUUCAAUUUUCAGAUAUACUUCAUGAAAUUUGAUAGGGCAAAUCGUAUAUCAUCCAUUGUGGACAAAGAGAUGCAUUCGCUUUGAGAAAUUUUACUUGUGUCUUCUCAACAUUUGCUAAAUUAGUUUGCUAUCUUGUAUUUAAAUUGACCAUUAGAGAAAGUCUUGUGAACAAGGUCUAAAAUAAUGGAGUUUAUUAUGACAUUUAUGUGUGCAAUGUUGUAGUAUUUGUGUUGAAACCAAGAAUAUUGGAUGUACUAGUCACUGUGCUACGGUCUAUUUACACCCAUGAAUAGAGCUUGUUGAAUUUCUGACAUUAUAUUUUAUGUAUGAAGGUUAAUGGUAAAUGGCAAGCAAAGAACUACCCAAGAGCAAGAGAACUCAAAAUUGGACUUUCGAAAACUGCAUUGCAGUUCAGAAAUUGCAUUGCAGUUUUUAUUUAAUUACAAUUGAAUUUUUGCUCUUUCUUUGGUCUUCAACCUCACGAAUUUGAAGAGUAGAGGCUACCCAAAUGAGGAAUUGGGGAAAGAGAAAAGUAGAACUACCCAAGAGCAAGAUAACUCAAAAUUAGACUUUUGGAAACUGCAUUGUGGAUUUAGAAACUGCAUUGCAGUUUUAGAAACAGCAUUACAGUUUUCUUUUAAUUACAAUUUGAUUUUUAUUCUUUUCUUGGCCUUCAACCUCAUCAAUUUGAAGAGUAGAGGCUACCCAAAUGAGGAAUUGAGUGGGCAAGAGAAGAUUAGAACUACCCAAGAGCAAGGGAACUCAAAAUUGGUCUUUUGGAAACUGCAUUGCAGUUUUCAUUUAAUUACAAUUUGAUUUUUUGUUCUUUCCUUGGCCUUCAACCUCACCAAUUUAAUUACAAUUUGAUUUGUGUUCUUUCCUUGUUUUUUUUAAACAUAAUUGAUAUCUACCUUGUAUUUUUAUUGCAGUUUCUGUUUUUAUUUUCAGUUUUUGUGUGAAUAUGUGUUGAAAUGAUUUUUUUUUUUUUUUUUAAACUGUUGAUUGUUGUUAUAAAUAUUGUAUAACUGAAUAAAUAUUACAAAAUCAAGUUUGGUGUAGUGGUUUGUGAGUGAGCCUUCCUCCUUUGAGGGUCAAGGUUCAAGUCCCUUCAAUGACACAAAAUAUUUUUUUUAAAGGUGAAUAAAGGGCAAUGGAGUUGGUCCCCUACAGACGGUGGCAGGUGGUGGCCCGCAACGGUGGCUUGCAGCGGGAGUCCGGUGGUGGUGGCCGGCGAAGGGUGGCUGGAGGCGGGAGUCCGGUGGUGGGAGCCCGGCGGUGGUGGCCAACGAAGGGUUGCCGGAGGCGGUAGUCUGACGGUGGCCUAAGGCGGUGACGGCUGCGGUGGCCGGCGGUGGUGGCUAUAUAUGGACAUGUGGCAUAGUAUGCUUGCCUUAGAAGGAGUGGCAUUGUGUGCAAUUGCAAUUUUUUUUAAGGGAGCUUUAGGUGAUAUAUUGGGUGCAACCGAGUUGCAAGGCCAAGGACCAUUGAAUUACAAAAAUAAAGAUUUGACGGCGGCAACAAAAAACUUCAGUGAAGAAAAAAAACUUGGAGGAGGAGGAUUCGAGGGCAUCUACAGGGUAAAUUAUGUGCUAAAGAGCUCUAAAAUAAUUUAUGUCAGUUCAGUUUAGCACGGUCGAAUAUGGUGUACUCUUUUUUUACAUAAAUAAAGUUUUAAAAAACUGGGAAAAUUGCAUUGUCAAGCUUUUGAUUAUCCAUGCAUAAUGUUCAUUUACAAUUACAUGGUUGGUCAGGGUACUCUAAACAAUGGAAAAGUACGUAGUUGCAGUUAAAAAACUAGCAAUUCUCCAAUCUGACAGGGCAAAGGCGAAUUUCGUAAACGAGGUGAAGCUGAUAUGUAACGUUCAUCACCGGAAUCUCAUUCUUCUUGGAUGUUGUAGCAAAGGACCGUAAUUGCUUCUCAUAUAUGAAUACAUGGCAAACAACAGCCUCUACAGAUUCAUAUUUGGUAAUAAUUUUCGGCUUUUCAGCUCAGCUACCUCUAAAUGCAUGCCUCUCAACUGGAAACAACUAAAUGACAUAAUCCUGGGUACAGCGGGGUCUGGCCUAUUUACAUGAGAAGUUUCAUGAGAUGUAAAAACCAGCAAUGUUAUUUUGGAUGAUAAUUUCCAGCCACCAGAUCUGCCGGAACAUUGUAAGUUAAAGUACUUUCCCACAGGCAUAACCCCUGAUUGAGAUCUAUAUGAUCAUUACUCUUCUACAAUAUUUAUACCGAUAUUGUGUUUUGCCCUACUUAUCUUUCUAUCCGCACACAAAAAGUGUUAUGAAUCUACUACAUACAUCUUGUGUAGCUUCUCACAUUCCAGGAUCGACUCUGCCGUAGCACGAUAUUGUCCGUUUUGGGCCCCCUUCUCUGCCCUCACGGUUUUAUUUCUGAAAACUCACGAGCAACUUUUCAGUGGACCUCCUAUCCUGGGAUUGCUCUAACCCCCAACUCGCUUAACUUCGAAGUUCCCAUGACUCCGAAGCCAGUGAACUCCCAAAAAACCUCGUACUAGAUAGAAGCAGGCAUGUAUAUAUAAGGCACAUCAUCCUCUCUCCGUUGAUCGAUAUGGGAUAUUACAUAGCCGAAGAGGAGUACAUCACCAUCAUGGUGAUGCUCUAUAGUGUUUCUCUCUGUGGAAGUGUUUCUCACUUCUGUUUUAGCCUAUCUGAGCAAUGGUGCUCACGGCACCUCCUACCAAGCCUUCUUUAAAUAACCAAAGAAUUUGGUCCAACAGACACAAAACAUUAAUGCACUGAAAAAGCACAACCACCAGCAUUGGAAAAGAAGCCAGCCGCUCCUCUUUCUCAUGUCCUUGGUGCAGCACAGUGGGGCACACCUGCCCACACAUCUCCUGCUGCCAACGAAGUCCCUCUUUAUGCAUAGCUCAAGUUUGGCUUCUCAAAGAACCCAAGAGCCAAAAGUAAUAGCAAUAAUACAAAGCCUAUUCUACCUCUCUUUUUCUCUCUCUCUCUCAUGAAAAACAUCUCUCAUGAAAAACAAAUGUUAGCUUGUUUGAUGCAUUCAUUUCAUUGUUUUAAGUUUUAGAAAAGUGACACAUACCAUGAGAAAGUGAAAGAAUGUCCAAAAGAUAAAGUUAGAGAGAAAUUGCUAUCAAAGCUUUUUCACAAAGUUAGGACACACAUGCCCACCAAGUUGGAUUCCAAUUGCCUUAGGUGUAGAUCACCCAAGUGCUGGAACCCACUCCAUCUGUGUCUCCAGCCUUUUAACAAAGAUGGCAUGUGCCGUCGUUUCCCCAUUUGAAAAACCCAAGGCAUGACAAAUAAAUGAAGAAAGCUAGCAAACAAACAAUGAUAAAGUAGCCCUUACACAAUUAACAAUACAAUUUGGGCCAAUUUUCAACAGUGAAGGCAUCUUAUUACGGUGGGAUCAUUUGCAUCCUCGGAGCCUUUCUUUUUCGAAAUAAGGAUAGAUUUUAAUCAUUAAACUAGGAAUGUAAACGCUAGAUCUGAAAGCAGAUUCAAGGAUUUCCGUAAAAAUCAUAAUCAACAUUACGUAGUUACAAACAUACAAAAUCCAUCCACAAUUCGUACAGAUACAGCAGAAUUACACGGAGUUUCUGGCUAUGCUUCUUUUUCUUUUAUUCUCUUAUUCGUUUAUGGAAUUCCAUAUAUUACUUGGAAGCAGCUGACCUGGUAAAGGGUGCCUAGAAUGAUACUCGAAUAUCAAGCAAUGUCAUCAACUGAGAAAUAAGCUCUGGUUGGCCAUGCCACGCUGCUGCGGUAACCAGAUUUCCAUCAGUGACACAACGAUCUAUUGGAUCCGCUUCCACAAACGUCCCCCCUGACGAAACCACACGAGCCUUAAUCCCUGGGUAUCCAGUACAUUUCUUCCCCUGAAAUAUAGCCAAUUGAACCAAUUAUAUGACAUGCUAAAAAGUGCCUAAUCCGUUAAUAAGUACAUUAACCACUAAUCAAAAGAAACAGAAAAAAUAUCAUCUCCUUUGCGAUUUUAAAGAGUACUCACCUCCCUCUUCCCCAUAGUUAUUUACAAUUGAGAGGUUAAUAGGUCACAGCAGAUCAGCUCAACAGAACCAAAAUACAAAGCACUACCACUAACUAUGUUUUUUUCUUUAAGAACCAUACCUGCAGAACACCAGCAGCAACUAAAAUUUCCAGGCCAUGGCAGAUGGAUGCAACUGGUUUCCUGGCUUCCAUAAAUUUUUUCACUAGUACAAUAACAUCCUCCUUUAGUGCCAAAAACUCUGGAGCUUUACCUCCAGGGAGUACAAGAGCGUCAUAACUUGAGGCAUCUAUGGAUUCAAAGUCAGCUGUUAAAACAAAAUUAUGUCCCCGGAUCUCACUGUAGGUUUGGCCCCCUUCAAGAUCACGGAUAGCAGUUGGGCAGGUAUCACCGGCUUUCUUCUUGGGGCAAACCACAUCAACAUGGCAUCCUAGAACUUUGAGGGUCUGAUAAGGCACAGUUACCUCAUAAUCUUCCGCGUAGUUCUACAAAUAUUGGGAAGGGGAGCAAUUAAAUGAUGAUGAUUAGUAACUAACAGUUUAAUCAUUGGCUAUAUUUUGUCCCAUAUUUGUCAUUGCAAUAUAAAAGAAACAGAAAAGAAAGCUUACUCCAAUGAUGAUGAGGACCCUUCUCUCUGAAGCACAUAUUUUGCCUCCCAGUGCCUUGAGAAAAAGCCCAAUGAACUCAGGAUUGCCAUAAUAUGUGACCCCAGUAAUUAAAUUAUCAUCAGCAACACACACUGACAAUGUAUCGGGUUCUACCCAGUGAGCACCAGCAGCAACCAAUCCAGGUUUCAUAGUUGAAACCGCUGUGCACUUGCGACCUUUAACAGCGGCUGCAGCUGCUAAGACCAACUGCCCAUGGCAAAUAGCAGCAAUUGGCUUUCUGGAGUCGGAAAAUUUUCUCACCAAUUCUACAACCGAUGCAUUCAUAGCAAGAUGUUCAGGAGAUCGUCCUCCUGGUAUAACUAGACCAUCAUAUUCCUCAAAUUCAAUCUCAUCAAAUGUUGCAUUCAGUGUGAAAUUGUGACCACGAGAUUCGCUAUUAGCCUGUAACCAAAAAGGUACAGAAAACCAAACACAACACACACAUCAAAACAAGAGUAAGGGUUAGGUGAAUUCAAGCUUCUUUCUUUGUCCUGAUCAGAGGAGGUUCAAAAUAAAUUAAUUAACAGGAAAGACAGGGUGUCACCUCAUCAGUGGUCUCUACUUGAAUGGUUAUGGCAGUGGCGCAGAUAUCACCAGCUUUCUUGCCAGGAGAAACUGCAUCAACAGCGACUCCAAAUGCCUGCAGUGCUUGAAAUGGGACCAUUGCCUCGUAAUCUUCCAUGUAGUCCCCGCACAGUAACAACACCCUCCUCCUCCGCUCCUCGCCUUUUGGAUUCCCCAUUUCUUUUCUUAUUUCCUUCUUUAGUUUCUUGCUUUUACUCUCUUCUUUUUCACAGAGAGAGAGAGAGACAGAGAGAGAGAAAGAGACUGAAAGUUUGAGAGUCUGAAGACAAGGUAGGUGAUAGCUAGCGCUGCUCUGCUUUGCUUGCUUAAUAGUAAUAUAUUAAUACUCACGAAAGCGUUUCUGGAGGUUUCUGGAGUCAGCUAGACACGUCGCACUCAAUUUGAGCGACACGUCGCACUCAAUUAUUGUAGCAUCUCCCUAUUCCUCUCUUCGUUUCUGGAGGUUUCGCGCCAUUACCAACAAUAUCCAAGUUUGAUUAUUUGAGGAAGUGACAAGUCUAAAUUAUUUGAGGAAAGAUUCACCAACACCGACCAAGUGAUAAGUCUAAAUUAUUUAAGGAAAGAUUCAACCUGAGUGCAAAGUCAAUGCUUCCAAGCUAAUGUCCCGAAAGAGAGAUGGAUAAUGUAAUGUUCAUCUCUAACAGGUCCUAAAAUCAUAGAGUUUGAUAUCUUGCUUCUCCCAAAAAGACGGUUGAUUUCGUUUUGAGUAGCGCUCGCGUUGAUUUUAUCUUGACUGCCAGAUUUUUCACCAGAGCAGCAAAGCUGCUUGCUUUCUGUUAUGAGGUCUGGUUUUGUCAACAAACUAUAUUGCUUGACCCAAAAGAAAAUGCAAUAUCAUGUCAAUCCUCAUUUUGCAGUUGCAAGAGGACGGUUGUGAAAAUACAAGCUAACUCUGGACAACAUGAUAUUCAUUCAGGUAAACCUUCAAGGUGUACGGUGAGAGAGAUUGCGACCAAAAAUCACUGUGUCCUGCUAAAGCAUAAGUAGUAUAAUACAAGCUUCAUCCACAACCAAACUUGCAAGGAACAUGGCAUAUACAUAUCAAAACCAUGUCACUUAUUCCCUCAUAUAUACAAACGUCACCUUAACAUAACACAACAUACAUGCCUUAUUCUUUCAUGAAUUACAUAUAGUACAUGCAAGCAGCAGACCCAGUAAACAGCAACUAGAAUGAUACUCGAAUAUCAAGCAAUGUCAUCAACUGAGAAAUGAACUCUGGGUGGCCCAGCCACGCUGCUCCAGUAACCAAAUUUCCAUCCGUGAAGCAACGAAAUAUUGGAUCAGGUUCCAGCCAUGUUGCUCCUGACAAAACCACAUUAAGCUUCACUGCUGGAUACGCAGUACAUUUCUUUCCCUAAAAUUUAGCCAGUUAACAACAAUUAGGACAUGAUUAAAAAAAGUUCAUAAUGUGAAAAUAUGUAAAUCAACCCUCAAUCAGAAGAAUCAGCAAAAGGCAAACAGAUUACAACUUCAAGUGGGUUUCUUUUUUACCUUGUCGUAAAAUACUCACUCAGUAAAUCAACCCUCUUACAAAAUUGAUGAUACUCCCAACUCCUCCUAACACCUUCUGAAAAACUGAAACUGCCUAGCUCAGCCAAGCCUUUUGGUUUUCCUUACUAGGUAAUUUCUUGUUUUAUCCCAUUCUUAAACCAUUCCAUCUAGCAUAGAUUUUUACUGCUUCAUAUAUUCCUUCAGAGAAUUUUGCAUUACAGUACACACCUUCCGACUUUUAUAUUACAGCACAAAUGUUCAUGCACCAACUGGCAAGCUUGCUCAUCAACACCCACAACAGAACAAACAUCUAAAUUUACAAUCAACUACAUAGAUAGUGAGUAAAAGAACAAAUAAAUCCACAGAUUAUUUGUAUUGUCUUUUUGGUUAAACAUGUUUAACUUCCCACACAAAAAAUUAAUUUUACUCUAGCAUUUUAGUUGAUGUUAAAAAGCGUAAGAAGUUAAAAUUUUAUGUAAUCUACAUUAUAUCUACCACGGAAAUGCUAUAAUGAGGGGUUGUGGGUGAGGGGUUCAAUACCACUAUCCAAUAAUAUAAAGGAAAUUUUGAACUUGAAACUUUUUUAAUGGUUGGAUGGUUGGAUUGAACCCCUCACUCAAACCCCCCACGCAGAUCCCUCUCAUUGUAGCAUCUCCCAUAUCUACCAUAUCAUGCUUGGACUUUAAAAUUCCAAAAUUUAUAAUCUCGAUUUUGUGAUAUGAUUUUGGAUUGUUGAUGAGGAUUUUGCUUCCUUGUUUGUGUGCCUAACAAAUUAACUUUAUAUUAUUGUUUCUGCAUUUUGUACAUUUCAACUCAUUUAGUUUCAGAAAUCAACUUGGACUUUAGAUUGAACUUCUGGACAGCAUGGGACUGAUCCCAACAACAUGGGACCCAUCCCUAUUAAAAGAUGAGCUAUAUAUACAAUAAAACUACACUGCCACAUAAACAGGGAUUACAGCUUCACUUCGUUUCAGUUGAACCACAUGGAAUUAUAGAAAGUCAGCAAUAUUUUUAACAAUAUCAAUACUAUGUUUGACGACGCAACGAAUUGAAACAAUAUGAAAAUAGUCGGAUGUGAUUGAGAAACUUAAAGAAUAUGGACCAAAUUGAAAUUCAGAUCAAAUUUCUGGAAACAAAAGAGUAGCCUGGCUGAAAGGGAGUAACCUUACCUGUAGAACACCAGCAGCAGCUAAAAUCUGCUGACCGUGGCAGAUGGAUGCAAUUGGUUUCCUGGCUUCCACAAUUUGCUUCACUAAUGCAAUAACAUUCUCAUCCAAUGCCAAAUAUUAUGGGGCUCGACCUCCAGGGAUUACAAGAGCAUCAUAACUUGAGACAUCUAGAGCUUCAAAGUCAGCUGUUAAAGUGAAAUUAUGGCCCGGCUUCUCACUGUAGGUUUGGUCACCUUCAAAAUCAUGGACAGCAGUUGCACAGAUUUCACCAGCUUUCUUCUUGGGACAAACUGAAUCAGCAUGGCAUCCUAGAGCUUGAAGAGACUGAAAAGGCACAAUUACCUCAUAAUCUUCCAUGAAGUCCUACAAAUGUUGAGGGAGAGAAAGUGAAUGAUGCUUAGUAACUGUGAGAAGUAUAAAAUUUUGAUCAUUGACUAGAAUAAUACGUAGAUAACAAUUAGUUCAUAAACAAAAGACACGCAGCUUUAACGUUCUUGUCAAGGGGUUUACUAGAUUUACAGUGGAUUAAAACACGUAGCCAAACUUGAUUUAUGGACCAUCUUAUCACUAUUGAUAUUGACAAGUAAAAUAAUAUUUUGAAUUUGGUGGGCUUUAAAGGUUUGUCAAGUAGCCAAUCUUGAUUUAUGGACCAUCUUAUCACUGUUAAAUAACCAGCUUACAAAACGUGGUGGGCUUCAAGGUUUGUCAAGUUGUAUAACUUUUGGCAUUGCAGGUAGAGAAGUUUAGGUAUGCUUCAAAGGAUUUGGUUUUAAAGAGAAAACAAACAACUGGUUUCAAGAAAUAGGUUCUUAUGAAAUCUGACAGCAACUAAUUUAUGAGUCUAAGGCAGUAGUAGCAUUUCGAAUUUGGAGACCUAAUUGGCUUGGGUAUUGGAGGUAUUCAGUUUUGGGGGAAGGGGGAAAUUGAAAUUCUUCAGUAGUCAACUUUCCGGAAAAUUAAAGUAAAGGAGUCUUUUAAAAUUCAUAAAGGAUGUAGUUGUCUAUGUAUCAUGUUUAGAAUCCAUAAUUCAAACAACUUGAAAAAUGACCAGUAUUCAUGUUUGGAUUUACUUUCACAAGUUCACAACUUACACAAAUGACCUAACAAACAAGUAUUCCAAUGGGCAACGGACCCAGGUAGGCAGACCAAUGAAGCAUACCACCAAAACCUUGAAAAAACACACAUAGGAAUGAAUGAAUGAACCCUAUCACACCAGAAAUGUGGCAAAUCUGGUAAAGCCUAUUCAGGUUACUUUCACUAUCUUUCAGAAGUAUCUGUAAAAGGGCAAAUCUCCAUCAAUUCUCUACAGUUUAUCUUUAUGCCCAUUCAUGCAUGUAUAUAUUAUACGAAGAAGUUUUUGACAUAUGGGCAUGUAUUGUGUGUCAAAUGUAUACGCUUCAUGAAGACAGGUUCAAGAGCACAUACACCAUUUUCACCUUAUUCAUUCAUUUUUGUUUAUUCUGGGUUACUGCAAUUUGAAUCAUAAUGCACAUUAACUUCAGCAGAAUAUUUUGCCAUGAACAAUGCACAUUAAAAAAAAAAAAAUACUGGACAGUGAUAAUCACGAUAAUAUAUAUACUCAAUAUUGAUCGGCAUCACAAUUUCAUAUUUCUCAUUGCACUACGAAGGAAAAUAAAACUUACCCCACAGAGAAACAGGAUCCUCCUAUCUGAACCAGUUAUGUUACCUCCUAGUGCCUUCACAAAAAGCCUAAUGAACUCAGGAUGGCCUUCAUAUGUAGCCCCAGUAAUUAUAUUACCAUCAACAACACACGCCAACAUGGUCUCGGGUUCCACCCAAUAAGCACCUGCAGCAACAAGUACAGGUCUGACAGCUGGGAAGGCCGUACACUUCCUACCUUUAACCGAGCCUGCAGCUGCUAGGACAAGUUGCCCAUGGCAAAUCGAAGCAAUUGGCUUUCCGGAAUCAGAAAACUUUCUCACCAAUUCUAAAACCGAUGCAUCCAAAGCAAGAUAUUCAGGUGCCCGUCCUCCUGGUAUUAUUAAUCCAUCAUAUUUGUUAAAUUCAAUGUCAUCAAAUGUUGCAUUCAGUGCGAAAUUGUGACCACGUGAUUCAGAAUAAGUCUGCAACCAAAGAAAAAAAAUACAGAAAACCAAAAAACAUAUUAAAACAAAGGGGGACCAGAAAGACAUAUAUAUAGCAUUUGAAGAUUUGUAAAUUAACCACAGAUCACGAUUCAGCAAACCUAGGUAGCGCAUUAUCAGAGUAUUUUCACUUAGAGACGAGGGCACUAAUGCAAUUUUGUUUAUUGAAUAUGGUGUACGCGGUGACGUUGGAGCCAAAAAUUUGUUCACGCUGUCUUGUCCCCCAGAACUCAAGCUCAAUACAGGUCGGUUCUCUAGCUAGCUCAUAAUGAAUGAGCAAGCACUCUAACAGAACUCCUAACAUGUGUUCUUGUUUGAGCUUACUUUAGUCUCGCUGUCCACACAACCCAGAACUAUAACCUACGGAUUGCUAUUUGUCAAUCUAAUAGAGUGGCUCUAAUCAACAAUAAAGCUUAUUCAUUUUGUCUUUAAUUAAGGCUACCAACGAUUGGCUGAUGCAAAAAACUAAACUUGAAAGCGUGAUGUUCGUUCGUAAACUUGACAAACUAAUUUCCAGUCCCAACAGAUUCCAAAUUUUAGAGGAGGCAACAUAAUCCCAUAUGUGAGAAUUGUAAGCACUUCAAUCUUUGAGACAAAUUUCUUGUUUUGGGUUUACAAAUUCAAGUGAAGUAAGCAUUCAGUCUUCAAUAUAAUUGAGUGUGCUUAAUGAGGCUAAAGAAAACGUUUUUCAUUAAAAAUAAACAAAGGAAAAGGCAAAAGAAGCAGAGGUGGGUAACCUGGUGAGCAGGAGAAAGUUGAUGAAUGGCUGUGCGGCAGAUAUCACCAGCUUUCUUGCCAGGACAGACAGCAUCAACGGACACUCCAUAUGCCUGCAGUGCUUGAAAUGGAACCAUCGCCUCGUAGUCUUCCACGUAGUCCCCCAAUACCAACAACACCCUGCGUUCGCCUUUCGCCAUUUUCUUGUGUUUAAUUUCUUGGAAUUUCAGAGAGAGAGAGAGAGAGAGAGGAAGGGGUGACAGAGAAUUUCGGCGGACUAAACUCUCGGAUAAAGAAACAGAAUCUCAUGGCUUUCGGCUCUACUCAAUAAAUAGAAUAUGUUGAGAGUAUAGCCGAGCGGCUAUACGUGGCUAUAUACUGUAUAAGUAAAAUAUGUUAAUAGUAGAAUAACAGUACAGCCGAGCGGCUAUAUUAUGUAAAUAGAUUAUUCUACACGUAUGGGCGCCGGGCUGUACUAUAUAAAUAGGAUAUAUGUAACAGUAUAGCCGGGCUGCUAUACUAUAUGAAUAGAAUAUCUAAACGUAUAGCCGCCCGGCUAUACGCUAUAAAUGGAAUAUUUUAAAACUUAUAGCCGAUCGACUAUACUAUAUACAUAGAAUAUUUUAAACCGUACCACGGUCCCGGCCACCACCCUCUACCUAGAUCCAUCAUCGCAAUCACCAUCUUCUUCGUCAUUGUCAUCAUCGUCGUAAAAUUCCGAAGACUUAUCGUCUGAUCCCAAAACUGGAUGAAAUUUCAAAGAGUUGUGGGAGAAAUUCAUAGCUGGGUUUGUUGUUGUUGUUUUGCUGAUAGUAAAACUCGAGUCUCCAAAUUGGCUGUGGCCUCCUAUUUUCCCUUCCAUUACACCGUGUCUCAAGUUUUUCACCAUUGAUGAUCGUUCUUGCUUUUUUCUUUCACUUACCACACCCUUCUCUUUUCUUUCCAUAUCUCUCUCUCUCUCUGAAUUUCUAAACGCACACAGACCGUAAUACAAUAAAGUAACAGCAAUAAUACAACGCCUAUUCUACCUCUCUCUCUCUCUCUCUCUCUCUCUCUCUCUCAUGAAAAACAAAUGUUAGUUUGUUUGAUGCAUUAAUUGCAUUGUUUUAAGUUUUAGAAAAGUGACACAUAUCAUGAGAAAAAGAGAGAAUGUCCAAAAGAGAAAGUUAGAGAAAAAAUUGCUAUCAAAGCUUUUUCACAAAGUUAGACACACACGCCCACCAAGUUGGAUUGCAAUUGCUUUAGGUGUAGAUCACUCUAAUGCUGGAACCCACUCCAUGUGUGUAUCCAGCCUUUUAGAGCAUCUCCACCUAUAAGGGCUAAGGCAAGGGCAAGUAAGGGCUGCCACUAUUCAUGUGAAUAGUGGCAGCCUUGCCUUUUUUGGUUCCACCCCAAAAGGCUAUGGCAAGGGCAAGAAAAAAAAAAAAGGAUAUGCAACAAAAUAUAAAUUUGUUAUGUAUUUUAUAGGGAAAGUGAAUAAAAUUGUUAUGUAUUUAUAGGGAAAACAUCCAUAAUUUUUUGGUAUUUUUUUAAAAAAAAUUUUGAUUUUGAUUUUUUCAUUUUUUUCAAUUUUUUUGACUCGCUGACGUCAGCGUGACAUCACCACUGACAUCAGCGCCCUAGGGCUGAAGCCCAGGCAAAAUCUGCCCUUGGGCUUGCCCAGGCUGGUGGACCCAGGGCUUGCCCGGGCUGCAGGUCGUGCGCUGGAGGGUCUUUUGGGCUGGCAGUGGGCCUUUUGCCCAGGUCGUGCGCUGGAGGGUCUAUAUGAUCAUUACUCUUCUACAAUAUUUAUACCGGUAUUCUGUUUUGCUCUACUUACCGUUCUAUCCGCACACAAAAAUUGUUAUGAAUCUACUACAUACAUCUUGUGUAGCCGAAGAGGACUAGUAUAUCUCCACCACCAUGGUGAUGCUCUCUAGUGUUUCUCUCUAUGGUGAAGUGUCUCUCACUUCUGUUUUAGCCUAUCUGGGCAAUGGUGCUCACGGCACCUCCUACUAAGCCUUCUUUAAAUAACCAAAGAAUUUGGUCCAGCAGCUGCAUGCAUGAAAAAACCGUGCAAGUUGUCUGAGCACCUUCAAAGUCCUCCACAAGACACAGAACAUUAAUGCACCGAAAAAGCACAACCACCAGCAUUCGCAAAGAAGCCAGCCGCUCCUCUUUCUCAUGUCCUUGGUGCAGCACAGUGGGGCACACCUGCACACACAUCUCCUGCUGUCAACCGAAGUCCCUCUUUAUGCAUAGCCCAAGUUGGCUUCUCAAAGAACCCAAGCCAAAAGUAAUAGCAAUAAUACAAAGCCUACUCUCUCUCUCUCUCUCUCUCUCACGGGUACACAGACCAACAAUGUGGCCAAUAAACGAAGGAAAAUGCUGGCAACCUUAUCUCCGACCUUAUUUUUGGACAUUUUCCCUUUUCCUCAUGACAUAUGUCACAUCCCAUACACUUGUAAACAAUGACAUUAAUACAUUAAACAAACUACCUUUUGUUUUCGAAGUUUACCCUUAUUAAAUGUAUUGUCUUUCAAUUUAUCCAAAUUUUUUUACAACUCUCUUACUAUAUUUAAAAAAUUAAAAAAAUUCAGUUAAAAAAAAAAAAAACAUGUCUAUUUUUUUAGAUUGGAAAACGUUUUUUUUUUUUUUAACACAAGAAUGACCUCAAAAAAAAAAAAUCAACGAAAGAAAGAUUGUUUUUUUAUACGGACAAAAGACAUCCUUCUAAAGAAGUCUGUAGUCAAAGGAAGUUCAUUGAUUGGAUUUUCAAACCAUUAAUUCGGUAAGUUUGAUUAUUGAUUUUUUUUUCAAGACCAUUAAUUAGGUAAGUCUUAUUUGGAGUCUUUCAGAAAAGGAAAAAAAAAACAAACGUUUUUUCUUAUUUAAUUUUUUAAGUCUUAUUUGAAUGUCUCCUUAUUCCCUUUGGAGUCUUAAAAAAAAGACUUUUUCUCAAUUAAUUUUUGAACAAGGCGAUAAGAAAAUUGUAAAAAAUUUAGAUAAGAAAUUUAAAGAAAUAUUAAAAUCAAUACGUUUAAUAAGGGCUGAUUUGAAAAACAAAUGUUAGCUUGUUUGAUGCAUUAAUUGCAUUGUUUUAAGUUUUAAAAAAGUGACACAUAUCAUGAGAAAGAGAGAGAAUGUCCAAAAGAGAAGGUUAGAGAAAAAGUAGCUAUCAAAGCUUUUUCACAAAGUUAGACACACACGCCCACCAAGUUGGAUUCCAAUUGCUUUAGGUGUAGAUCACUCUAGUGCUGGAACCCACUCCAUGUGUGUCUCCAGCCUUUUAACAAAGAUGGCACGUGCCGUCAUUUCCCCAUUUGAAAACCCACGGUAUGACAAAUGAAGAAAGCUAGCAAACAAACAAGGAUAAAGUAGCCUUUACACAAUUAACAAUACAAUUUGGGCCAAUUUUCAACAGUGAAGGCAUCUUAUUGCAUUCUCCGGAGCCUUUCUUUUUCGAAAUAAGGAUAGAUUUUAAUUUAAACGCUAGAUCUGAAAGCAGAUUCAAUGAUUUCCAUAAAAAUCAUAAUCAACAUUACGUAGUUACAAACAUACAAGAUCCAUCCACAAUUGGUACAUAUAGAGCAGAAUCCGAGCAUCAUUGUUCCCUCACAGAUACACACAACACCUUCACAUAUGCUCUUAUUCUUUUAUUGAAUUACACGGAGUUUCUGGCUAUGCUUCUUUUUCUUUUAUUCUCUUAUUCGUUUAUGGAAUUCCAUAUAUUACUUGGAAGCAGCAGACCCGGUAAAGGGUGCCUAGAAUGAUACUCGAAUAUCAAGCAAUGUCAUCAACUGAGAAAUAAGCUCUGGUUGGCCAUGCCACGCUGCUGCGGUAACCAGAUUUCCAUCAGUGACACAACGAUCUAUUGGAUCCGCUUCCACAAACGUCCCUCCUGACGAAACCACACGAGCCUUAAUCCCUGGGUAUCCAGUACAUUUCUUCCCCUGAAAUAUAGCCAAUUGAACCAAUUAUAUGACAUGCUAAAAAGUGCCUAAUCAGUUAAUAAGUACAUUAACCACUAAUCAAAAGAAACAGAAAAAAUAUCAUCUCCUUUGCGAUUUUAAAGAGUACUCACCUCCCUCUUCCCCAUAGUUAUUUACAAUUGAGAGGUUAAUAGGUCACAACAGAUCAGCUCAACAGAACCAAAAUACAAAGCACUACCACUAACUAUGUUUUUUUCUUUAAGAACCAUACCUGCAGAACACCAGCAGCAACUAAAAUUUCCAGGCCAUGGCAGAUGGAUGCAACUGGUUUCCCGGCUUCCAUAAAUUGUUUCACUAGUACAAUAACAUCCUCCUUUAGUGCCAAAAACUCUGGAGCUUUACCUCCAGGGAGUACAAGAGCGUCAUAACUUGAGGCAUCUAUGGAUUCAAAGUCAGCUGUUAAAACAAAAUUAUGUCCCCGGAUCUCACUGUAGGUUUGGCCCCCUUCAAGAUCACGGAUAGCAGUUGGGCAGGUAUCACCGGCUUUCUUCUUGGGGCAAACCACAUCAACAUGGCAUCCUAGAACUUUGAGGGUCUGAUAAGGCACAGUUACCUCAUAAUCUUCCGCGUAGUUCUACAAAUAUUGGGGAGGGGAGCAAUUACAUGAUGAUGAUUAGUAACUAACAGUUUAAUCAUUGGCUAUAUUUUGUCCCAUAUUUGUCAUUGCAAUAUAAAAGAAACAGAAAAGAAAGCUUACUCCAAUGAUGAUGAGGACCCUUCUCUCUGAAGCACAUAUGUUGCCUCCUAGUGCCUUGAGAAAAAGCCUAAUGAACUCAGGAUUGCCAUAAUAUGUGACCCCAGUAAUUAAAUUAUCAUCAGCAACACACACUGACAAUGUAUCGGGUUCUACCCAGUGAGCACCAGCAGCAACCAAUCCAGGUUUCAUAGUUGAAACCGCGGUGCAUUUGCGACCUUUAACAGCGCCUGCAGGUGCUAAGACCAACAGCCCAUGGCAAAUAGCAGCAAUUGGCUUUCUGCAGUCAGAAAAUUUUCUCGCCAAUUCUACAACGGAUGCCUUCAUAGCAAGAUGUUCAGGAGAUCGUCCUCCUGGUAUAACUAGACCAUCAUAUUUGUCAAUUUCGAUGUCAUCAAAUGUUGCAUUCAGUGUGAAAUUGUGACCACGAGAUUCUUUAUUAGCCUGUAACCAAAAAGGUACACGAAAGAAAACCAAACACAACACACACAUUAAAACAAGAGUAAUGGUUAGGUGAAUUCAAGCUUCUUUGUCUUGCUUGUCUCUCAAACUCAAACUCAAACUCAAACUCAUCAGAGGUUGUUUUCCAACAACUGUGUUCAAUAUUAAACAUAUAAAAUAUAUUCCUCUUGUUUACAAAUAAAAAAGAACAGGAAAGACAGGAAAGACAGAGUUUGACCUGGUCAGUGGACUCUACUUGAAUGGUUAUGGCAGUGGCGCAGAUAUCACCAGCUUUCUUGACAGGAGAAACUGCAUCAACAGAGACUCCAAAUGCCUGCAGUGCUUGAAAUGGGACCAUUGCCUCGUAAUCUUCCAUGUAGUCCCCGCACAGUAACAACACCCUCCUCUGCACCUCGCCUUUCGGAUUCCCCAUUUCUUUUCUUAUUUCCUUCUUUAGUUUCUUUCUUCUUUUUCAGAGAGAGAGAGUUUUCAGAGAGAUUUUUCACACAGAGAGAGAGAGAGAGAGAGAGGGAGAGAGUCUGAAUACAAGAAGGUAGGUUAUAGUUUGAGCUGCUCCGCUUUGCUUACUUAAAUACUCACAAAAGCGUUUUUGGAGGUUUGUGGAGUCAGCUCGAUACGGUCGCACGCAACUUGAGCAACACAUCGCAGUCAGUUAUCGUGGCAUCUCUCUAUUCGCCGCUUCUUUUCAGUUCGGAUAACUAUUCUAUUAGUUUCGAGCCUAUCACCGUCUCCAUGUUUGAUACGUUUUUUUGUUGUCUUCUUUACCGACCAAGUGAGUCUAAAUUAUUGAAACUUGAGUUCGUUCUCUUCACGGACCAAGUGGGUCUAAAUUAUUGGAGGAAGAUUGAAACUUGAGUUUGUUCUCUUCACGGACCAAGUGAGUCUAAAUUAUUGGAGGAUAAUUAAAACUUGAGUGCAAAGAGGCGAAUUUAUUCCCUUAUUGUGAAUACAAGUAAUGGUCUAAAUUAUUAGAGAAGUAUUCUAACUUGAGUGCAAAGAGCACAAAUUUAAGUGCAAAUGAGUGUACUUACUGUCUUAUUACGAAUGCAAAUGAUAGUCUAAAUUAUUAGAGAAAUAUUCAAAUUAUAGUGAAAAGAAGCGUACUCACUGUCUUAUUGUGAAUAUUCGAAUAUUCGAGCUCAAUGCUUCCUUUUCGAUUGAAAAAAAGAAGCUCAAUGCUUCCAAGCUAAUGUCCCUAUACUAUACAAAAGCUCUUUAGAGUCGUCAUCAUCUUCUUCUUGCCUUCAUUGUAGCACGUGUGUGGCCUAAUAGAAAAGUUCUUUAGAGUCCUCAUCUUCCUCUUGCCUUCAUUGUAGCACGUGUGUGGCCCAAUAGAAAAGCUAAUGUCCCUAUACUAUAAGUAGGGGUGGGCAUCAAUCCGGCCGAUCCGACCAAACCGGCCGAACUAAACCGUAUUUUCCAGUUUGGUUUGGUUUUGACUUUAAAAAGUCAACAGUUUUAAAAUCCGAACCAAACAGGAGUAAUUUGGUUCAGCUGCAGUUUUAAGUUUUAAAAAACUGUGUUAAUCCGAACCGAACCGUUUAAAUAUUAAUUAAUUAUAUAUAUAUUAAUUUACAUGUGUCAAUGGUUGAGUGGCUACUUAGAAGUGUUAGUGUACACCCAGCCACAUUGAAUUGGACUCCAACCCAUCUAUUUUCAGACUCAACGCAUUCCAGAGUUGUCUUCCUUACGCAGCCUCCCUCACUCAACCACUUCAACCCUAGAAAAGCCACCAUUGAUUUGAACCACCACAACCUCCACUGCUUCAAUCAAACCCAUUCUCACAUAGCAAAAAUCUCUUUGGCGUCGCACCUCCAUCGUCAUCGGUGCACAGCCAUCGUCAUCGUCGCACGGCCAGAGUCAUCGUCGCACAGCCAUCGUCAUCCCUGCACAGCAGCGUCAUCGUCGAACACCAGCGUCAUCGUCACACACCAGCAUCAUCGUCGCACAGUUGAUUGAUGUUCGAGAAGCCCAAGAAGUGUAUGUUCUAAUAUUUAAUUUCUAAUUAUCUACAUAUUUUUCUUUUGAUGGAUGUUCUGAUUUCAAUUUCUUGGAAUGAACUUUUAGUUGUGGGUUUAUCUAUAUAUAUGAUCAUAUUAUAUUGAGAAGUUCAAAUUUGAAAGUUAGCAAUUAACUUCUGAGUCUCAAUUCCAAAUAACACAGCAGCAGAGGAUUUAAUUAAUUACCUUCCACCAUAACCUCUUUCCAUAACAACCACGCCUCCAUUGCCAAAGUUAUUCAGCCUCUCAAAUUGCUCCACUGUCCAUAACCUCAAAUUGCCUCUAUAAGGACCAUGCGGAUAAAUAAAUGUAAUGUUUAUCUCUAACAGGUCAUGCUUUUUGAGCCGUGAUAGUUUUGGAAUAGCGUUCGAGUGCAUUUUACCUGGACUGCCAUGUUGAUUUUCACCAGAGCAGCAAAGCUGCUUGCUUUGUGUUAUGAGGUCUAGUUUUGUCAACAAACUAUAUUGCUUGACCUAGAAGAAAAUGCAAUAUCAUGUGGAUCCUUAUUUCGCAGUUGCAGGAGGAUGGUUGUGAAAAUACUAGAGCUAAUUCUGGACAACAUGAUAUUUGUGGGGGCGAUUUCUUCCCACGAGAAUAUUCAAUUGAAAGAUUCCUCUUUCAUCUUCGUCGCCCCUUUCUCCUUGCAAAAUAGAUCGAAACAACAGGACCACACUCGUGAGGUGUUGGCCAAAAGCCAUGAGAUGCCCAAGUUAGUUCAAUUGAUUCGUAGAGAAAACAAUAGCUAAAUAGGGUAUAGAGAUAUAUAUGUAAGGUGUAAACCGGGUGGCCGGAGCCGUGAGUGUUGGUCGGAGCCUUGUGUAAAAGGGAGAGAGGGUAUGGCGGCUAGGGUUUGUGAGGGAUAGGCAGUGUCCCUCUUACAAAAUUGAUGACACUCCUAACUCUUCCUAACAAAUUCUGAAAAACUGAAACUGCCUAGCUCCACCAAGCCUUUUGGUUUUCCUUACUAGGUAAUUUCUUCUUUUACCCCAUUCCCGGGAACUUGUCCUCCUUGGCUCAUUGAAUGUUCGUUAUGUCUCCACCCAUACUCAGCCAAACAUUUGAUGUACUUUAAAUCUUUAGUAUUCAAUAAUACAGCAUAACUGUUGAUAUUUACAUGAAUGGUUCAUAAAACUGAAGUGGAGAAGAAACUAUCUUAAGAGUUGAGAAUGAGUUUGGGUGGCUUGAGUGAAAAAACUUUAUCCAUCAACACAAGGAGAUGGUGAAGGCAUCUUAUUAUGGUGGGAUCAUUUGCAUCCUCCGGAGCCUUUUUUUUUCAAAAUACGGCCAGAUUUUAAUCAUUAAACUAAGAAUGUAAACGCUAGAUCCGAAAGCAGAUUCAAGGAUUUCCAUAAAAAGCAUAAUCAACAUUACGUAGUUAAAAACAUACAAGAUCCAUCCACAAUUGUUACAUAUACAGCAGAAUCAGAGCAUCAUUGUUCCCUCACAGAUGCACACAUCACCUUAACAUAUGCUUUUAUUCUUUUAUUGAAUUACACGGAGUUUCUGACUAUGUUUCUUUUUCUUUUUUUACUCUUAUUCGUUUAUGGAAUAACAUAUAUUACUUGGAAGCAGCUGAACUGGUUACGUUUGCUUAAAAUGAUACUCGAAUAUCAAGCAAUGUCAUCAACUGAGAAAUAAGCUCUGGUUGGCCAUGCCACGCUGCUGCGGUAACCAGAUUUACAUCAGUGACACAACGAUCUAUUGGAUUCGCUUCCGCAAACGUCCCCCCUGACACAACCACAUGAGCCUUAAUCCCUGGGUAUCCAGUAAAUUUCUUCCCCUGAAAUAUAGCCAAUUAAACCAAUUAUGUCAUGUUAAAAAGUGCCUAAUCAAGAAAUAAGUACAUUAACCACUAAUCAAAAGAAACAGAAAAAAUAUUAUCUCGUUUGCGAUUUUAAAGAGUACUCACCUCCUUCUUCCCAAUAGUUAUUUACAAUUGAGAGGUUAAUAGGUCACAACAGAUCAGCUCAACAGAACCGAAAUACAAAGCACUAGAUGUAACCUUUUUUACUUCCUUUUCAAGUUCAAUCGAUAAAGUAUUUCAAUCUGUUUUACUUUAUCUUUAAUAAGUAGCAUUAAAACUGGAAGCAUNNNNNNNNNNNNNNNNNNNNNNNNNNNNNNNNNNNNNNNNNNNNNNNNNNNNNNNNNNNNNNNNNNNNNNNNNNNNNNNNNNNNNNNNNNNNNNNNNNNNNNNNNNNNNNNNNNNNNAGAUGGAUGCAAUUGGUUUCCUGGCUUCCAUAAAUUGUUUCGCUAGUACAAUAACAUCCUCAUUUAGUGCCAAAACCUCUGGAUCUUUUCCUCCAGGGAGUACAAGAGCGUCGUAACUUGAGGCAUCUACGGAUUCAAAGUCAGCUGUUAAAACAAAAUUUUGUCCCUGCGUUUCACUGCAGGUUUGGGCCCCUUCAAGAUCACGGAUAGCAGUUGGGCAGGGAUCACCGGCUUUCUUCUUGGGGCAAACCACAUCAACAUGGCAUCCUAGAACUUUAAGGGUCUGAUAAGGCACAGUUACCUCAUAAUCUUCCACGUAGUCCUACAAAUAUUACAAAUAUUGGGGAGGGGAGCAAUUAAAUGAUAAUGAUUAGUAUCUAACAGUUUGAUCAUUGGCUAGAAGCCUAAAACCAUGAACUUGUCGUGGCGAAACUGGUAAAGCCGACUCGGGCUUUCUCCCCUUUCUCUUUUAAUAAUAUUAAGGUUGGUUGUCACUUGAACUUGAGCAUACUAUUUUGUCCUAUAUAUGUCAUUGCAAUAUUAAAGAAAAAGAAAAGAAACCUUACUCCACAGAUGAUGAGGACCCUUCUCCCAGAACCAGAUAUGUUGCCUCCUAGUGCCUUGAGAAAAAGCCUAAUGAACUCAGGAUUGCCAUAAUACGUGACCCCAGUAACUAUAUUAUCAUCAACAACGCCCACUGACAAUGUAUCGGGUUCUACCCAGUGAGCACCAGCAGCAACCAAUCCAGGUUUUACAGUUGGAAACGCUGUGCACUUGCGACCUUUAACAGACUGCCCAUGACAAAUAGCAGCAAUUGGCUUUCUGGAGUCAGAAAAUUUUCUCACCAAUUCUACAACCGAUGCAUUCAUAGCAAGAUGUUCAGGAGAUCGUCCUCCUGGUAUAAGUAGACCAUCAUAUUCGUCAAAUUCAAUCUCAUCAAAUGUUGCAUUCAGUGUUGUUUGUGCAAAUAAUCUCACGGGAGAAUAUUCGCCCAAGAUUCCUUCGUCUUCUCCGCCUCUCUUUCUCCUUGCAAAACAGAUUGGAGUAAAAGGACCACACCCGGGGGGUGUUGGCCAAAGGCCCUCCGAUGCCUAAGUUAGGUAAGGGAAUUGAAGGAAAACCGGGUGGCCGGAGCCGUGUGUGGUGGCCGGAGCCUUGUGUGAGAGAGAGAAAGAGAGGAGGUGCCUAGGGUUUUUGAGAAAUAAUUUAUGCAGAGUUUCAGUAGGAAUUUAGACGUACCUCAUCCUUGUGUGUAACCAGGUAUUUAUAGUGGCCUUUGGAGAGGUAGGUGGGGUUGGUGUAGUUGGUGUGGUUGGUGGGGUUGGUGCAUUUAGGGAUUAUGGAUGAACCGAAUCCCUAAUUAAAUUGGGGAUCAAGUAACCCCCAAUUUGAUUAGGUAAUUCCCAAUUAGGUUAGGUAACUCCUAAUUAGGUCAAAUAAUUCCCAAAUUGAUUGGCCUAAUUAAUUGACCUAGGGUUUUGGUUUAAUUAGGUUCCCACAAAUGCCCCCCAGCUUCUGCAUGGCGCGUGGUGGCAUGUAAGAGAUGUAAAUUAUCCGUUGGGCUGUCCAGCUGUAACUGGGCUUCCUUCGUGGACAUGGGCUCCCGCGUAGAGGAGGUGUUUGACUUGCCAAUUUUAUGAACUCCCAGGUUGGAAAGAAUUUGUGAUUCCUUGUAGGUCAAGGAAUUUUCAUUCUUAUAAAUGUAGGGCUCCUCCAAUUUAUUCUUCACAUCCAAAAUCCAUUCUGAUUUUAUUAGUGAGAGAGAGUAAACUUUGGAGAAUUUUUUCCUUCUUCUUGAGCUCUUGUCUUCAUCGCACACCCAAGGUAAUUUAGACUUGAGUUAUAUAUAUAUAUAUAUAUUUUGUUCCAAUUUCCCGCAGCUUGGCUCAUGCUUCUAGCUGAUGUGGGGAGCUGAAAGGGAGGUCAGCAGGCUUGGGACUGUACAUUUUGGGCUCGAGCAUGGAGGUCCAAGGGCUAUGGGUUCUUGCUGGAGCAAACUGGCUGCAGCUGAGGCAAGGAAGGGUUAGGCCUGGCUCACGGUUGGGCUGCGCGCGGAAAGCCCAAGGCGCUGGGCUUCGAGCAAUGGCCUGAAGGCGCUGCUGGGCAGAGGCGACGGGCCACCUACGCUGGGCUUCGUCUGAUUGGGCUAAGGUGAGAGCUGGAGCUGGCCUGCGCGAUCUGGGCUGGAGACGAUGGGUCACGCGUGCUGGGCUGCGAGCUGGAGCUGGUCAUCUGGGCUGAAGGUGAUGGGCCACGCGUGCUGGGCUGCGAGCUGGAGCUAGUCAUCUGGGCCUCCGUGCUGGGUUGCGAGCUGGGCUGCCUUCUGUUUUUUUUUUUUUUUUUUUUUGGCAUUCUAACAUGUAAAAUUAUUUUAUUAUUAUUUUUUUUUUCAGCUGCUCAACGACCAUGUCUUCUGAAGGAAAGAGCCGAUCACCAAACUCAAGAGUGCCUUUGUACCUGUGGGGCGGUUCUCAAGUUCCCAAAGAGAAGUUUGUGGCCAAUUUGCACCGUGUCACCAACGAGGCCCAGUUCAAAACGUGGCGUGCCCUUUUCGACUCUGCUAUACCCAAGGAUGUACAUGUCAAGUUGGCAGAGCCCUCAUCUGACAGUAUACCUCGUGUGGACCCGAACAAUCCAGGCGCCAGGAUUAUCACGUUCCGCCCCUUCUAUUUCUCGCUGGGUUUCACGUUUCCGUUGUCGAAAUUUUUCAGGGAGGUGUUCUGCGCCAUGGAAUGUGCCCCGAGCCAGUGUACUCCGAAUGUUUAUCGGGCGGUCAUCUGCUUUGAAAAUUUGAGCCGCUUCUUCAAGUUGGAUUUGACCGUGAAGGAGUUCUUCUACUUCUUUGAGGUGAGACACUUCGAGAAAUAUGCCCAACUCCGCGCAUGCGAACCCAAGUUGUUUGAUAGUCUGAGUCAGGGCGAUCAUGUGUGGAGCAAGGAUGUGCUAGAGGUUAGUGGCAGAUGGGAAGGAGAGGUUGGCGACGGUCCGCUCGUUCCUCUCACCUACUGUGAUGGUAAGUUGCAUCCCUCUGAUCUGCUACUAUUUUCCAUGGGAUUCCUUAGUGUGUCUGACUAACUUUUGUCUUAUGCUUGCAGAUGAUGCCAUUCGAAAGAAGCUUGUUCUCGACCCGGACAUGACGAAGGUUCGACAAGCUUUGAGCAUCCCUGCUAAGUUUCGUGAAUGGCGCUGGUUGCUGAGCGAACACCGGAAGAAAGUCAGUGGCCUGCCCCCUGCUGAAGAUAUUGAAAGGUGGAAGUCGCGCUGCUUGAAACUAAGUGACUUGCCAGUUGAGCAGGAGUCAUCGACUGAGUCCCCCGAGGGUGGGAAAACGUGCAGCAGCUCUGCUCGGGAUAAAGUUGCAGUUUCCCGAUCAGUAGAUACAUCUCCACAGCGACAGCAGCCGAGAUUUUCUCUUGCCACGAACAAGUCUUCCACAAGGGAGGUCUCGCCUGCUCAGAAAGCCCAUAUGGGAAUUGUUCCUACUCCAUCUGCCGGGAUCAGCAAGAAGGCCAAUGGCAUGCAGGAGGUUCGGGAAAUUCUGCUCAAGUCCUUGCCCGUACCGCCUAAGACCCGUGAUCUGCCAUGCAAGGAAACUGCUGGGAAGCAAGGUUUGGGUCGUCCGUGCCGAUCUGGGAAUCAAGCUGAGAGGACCGUACCUCUGCCUUGCAACCAUGACUCAUCUGUGGGGCCACGAGCAGUCAAGCGCGGGGCUGACUCAAUGUUACAAGCUGCAGUCAAAAGAGCUAAAGAGUCGUCUGCUCGAGCGAAGAGUCCUCCAAUCGCGCGAACUGCUGGUCCGGGAAUUGGUGAUGGCUCUGCUGGGGGGAGCCCGUGUCUGAUCUGCUGAAAACAGGCUUUCUGUCAAGUCCGUCUGCUUGCGCUCAGCUGGCUGAUCACGUGUAUCGAGCCUGCGACCUUUGUGCUUUUUCGAACCUUCCUUUGGAUAAGCAAGAAGAAGCUGCUAUGUAUCAUCUUCAAAAAGGAAUGGUUUUUGCUGUUGGGGCCAUGCGGAACUCGCGUGAUGUUACCCCCUCUUCUGCCCUGCUUGACGAGCUGGUGAAGAAGAAUGCCGACUUGACUGGCAAGCUCUCGAGCGAGCGGAUUCGCCAUGAUGCGAUGAUUUCCGAGAUGAAGGAGAGUUUGUCCGUGCUCAAGAGUUCUGUUGGCCAAAAGGAUGGUGAACUCAAGUCUCUUGCUGCUACCCUGCUCGAACGUAAAGAAGCCUACUUCUGCCUCGAACACAAGCAUGCUGCUUUGGCCCAGGAUCGUGACAAACUGCUGGUCAAGUUUGACACCCUUGUGGAAGCCACGGAGGCAUCCAAACUGGAGAUUGCUGCUAACGCGUACAAGCUGGGAUACCUGGAUUGCCAGAAUGGUGUUUCUCCUUGCUGCUCUCUCGAAGAUGAUGAUGGUGAGCAGACUGGUCUUGACCUGCCCCCCGCUCAGAGUGAGCAGGUGGAUGUUGUGGAUGCAGAAGCAGCGGUAAUUGAGGAAGAUAAAUGCCAAGGUGGGUCAACUGAUGAGGCUAAGGCGGAUGCGAAGGAGCAGGCAGCCGAGGCGGUUGAGCCAGUUGUGCCCGUUGGGUAGAAUGAGGCUGUUGCCAGCGCAGUUGAGGAUGUGAUCGGCUGAGGGUCACCUGCUGAAGUUCCUUAGCAGUUGUAGUCCAUUUUUGCUAUUUUUGAACUUUGUUAUUUUUCUUUCAAUAAGUGGUCUUUGGUUGACCAUCUUACUUCUUGUUGAACUUGGCUGAUUGGCCGCUUUGUUAUUGAAUUUUCAAUUGUUUUUCAAACUUCAAUUCUCUUUGUAUCUUGUAAGUGUGCGUCUGGAGACAUAGCACUUGAAAGACAUAGCACUUGAAAAAAGACUCCAUUGAGUUUGUGCUCCGGGGAGCAGCUCGUCUGCAAUGGAGGUAAGGCUUGUCGCCUGUGAGCGUAUGUCGGGGACAUAGCUCUUAAAAAAGACUCCAUUGAGUUCGUGCUCCGGGGAGCAGCUCGUCUGCAAUGGAGGUAAGGCUUGUCGCCUGUGAGCAUAUGUCAGGGACAUAGCUCUUAAAAAAGACUCCAUUGAGUUCGUGCUCCGGGGAGCAGCUUGUCUGUGAUGGAGGUAAGGCUUGUCGCCUGUGAGCGUAUGUCGGGGACAUAGCUCUUAAAAAGGACUCCAUUGAGUUCGUGCUCCGGAGAGCAGCUUGUCUGCAAUGGAGGUAAGGCUUGUCGCCUUUGUGUAUAUGUUUGUGGGACAUAAAGCUCGAAAAAAGUACUUCAUUGAAAAGCUUGCUUUUGUAUUGAUGUUGAUGUGAAUACAUCGCUUUAUUGAAUAAAGGAAAUUAAUAACAUAGGUAACAUCAAAAGCAGUUUGCCUUUAAUAGAAGUAUGAGAGGCUCGUUGUCUGCUAGGAGUCGAGCUGGUAAGCGAAGAGCUUCAUGGAUAGUAUCUCCGAAGGUGGUGGGCAUUCCACUGUCUUGGAAUUUCCUUCCCUUCUAGAGUGUCGAGGGUGUAACUUCCUCUGCCCCCAGACGGCUGAUCAUGUAGGGGCCUUCCCAAUUUGGCUUCAUCUUCUUUGAUCCUUGCCUUGGUGAUGUGAUAAAAGUCUUUCUGAGCACAAGGUGCCUUUUCUCGUUCUUCUUCGAGCAGGUCAAGGUUAAUUCUCAUCUGCCUGCAGUUUUGAUCAAGACUGCCCACUUCAAUGCUCAUGGAAGGGACUGUGAUGUGUGGGGGAAUGAUUGCCUCCGUCCCAUAAGCCAAGGAAAACGGUGUUUCUCCGGUCGAUCUCCUUUUGGUUGUGCGAUAAGCCCAUAGAACUCCUGGCAGCUCGUCGACCCAUUUUCCUUCUGUGCCUUCCAGUCUUUUCUUUAGGCAGUCCAGCACGAUUUUGUUGGAUGCCUCUGCUUGACCAUUGCCUUGCGGGUAUCUGGGAGUUGACAGGUGCUGCUUGAUGCCAUACUUCGCAAAAAAUGCAGUGAUCUGCCUGCCCACGAACUGUGUACCAUUGUCAGUAACUAUCGAUUGCGGGCAACCAAAUCUGCAGAUGAUGUUCUUCCAGAUGAAACGUUCAACGUCAGCUUCCUUGGUAGAAGACAAAGCCUCGGCCUCGAUCCAUUUAGUGAAGUAAUCAGUGGCAACGAUCAUCAUCUCUUUAUUGGCAGGUGCUGUCGGCAUAGGUCCCACCAAGUCAAUGGCCCACUGCAUGAACGGCCAUGGGCUGUUCUGCGGAUGGUAUUCCUCAGCUGGCAAGCCAGGGACUGGCUUGUACCGUUGGCAUCGAUCACAUCUUCGAGCAUACUCCGUGGAAUCUUUACGCAUGGUAGGCCAGAAAUAGCCGAUGCUGAGAGCCUUCUGAGCAAGCGACCUGCCUCCAGCGUGAUUUCCACAUUCGCCGUCGUGUAUUUUGCAGAGAACCUCGAGCGUUUGCGGGUACUUGAUGCAAGUGAGAUGAGGCCCGUAGUAUGAUCUGCGGAUAAGCGUGUCGCCUUUCAUGUAAUAUCUUGCAGCCUUCUGCUUGAUUUUUCUGGCCUCGGACUUGUCUUGGGGCAAGUUUUCAUUCACUAGGUAGUCGAUGAUGGGUUCUUGCCAGCUAGGAUCCUCGUCGAUUUGCAUCAGGUCUGGUUGUUCUGCCUCUUCUAUGCUAGGCUGAUCAAGGUGCUCGACCGGGAUGGAGCGUCUGAAUUGGGUAUCCAGUGCUGAUCCUAAGCUUGCCAGUGCAUCUGCGUGUGCGUUCUCUGCUCGGGGCACCUGCUGGAUGGUGAAGGUGGAAAAUGCCUUCAACAGCUCUUGGACUUUGUCAAGGUACAAGAUCAUCCUUGGGUGCUUCGCCAUGUAUUCUCCUGAGGCUUGACUUGUGAUCAGCUGGGAAUCUGAGUAGAUGGCCAGCUUCUUGAUUGAUAGCUCCUUUGCCAGGCGCAAGCCAGCGAGCAAUGCCUCGUACUCUGCCUCGUUAUUUGAAGCUGGGAAGCCAAGUGUGAUAGCUUUCUCUAACAGGGUUCCAUCUGGAGUGACGAUGACGACACCUGCUCCAGCUCCUUUCUGGUUCGACGCUCCAUCUACGCGUAGCUGCCACAUGUCUCUGGGUUGGUCAGGUUCCGCGGAGGUCUUGUCUGCUCUCGAACUUUCCUUCUUUUUGCUGACCAGCUUCUCUUCUUCGGCUGAUGGUGUGUACUCUGCAACAAAGUCUGCUAAGGCCUGGGCUUUUAUAGCAGUCUUUGGCCGGUAGAGGAGGUCGUAUUGGCUUAGUUCUAUCGCCCACUUCAUAAGCCGCUGAGAAGCAUCAGGGCUGUGGAGGAUUGAUCUUAAAGGAAAGUCAGUCAUAACGAUGACUCGGUGAGCUUGGUAAUAAGGCCGCAGCUUUCGCGCGGAAACGACAAGGGCCAAAAUGAGCUUCUCCAAUUUUGGGUAGCGAGUCUCUGCAUCGAGGAGAGCUUUUGACGUAUAGAAUAUCGGAUGUUGGGCCCCAAGUUCUUCUCGGAUGAGAGCUGAGCUGAUGGCUGAGUCGGACACUGCCAGGUACACGAACAAGUCUUCACCAGGAACGGGCUUCGAGAGCAGGGGAGGUGAAGUAAGGUAGGUCUUUAGACUCUGGAAAGCUACUUCGCACUCCUCGUCCCACUUGUCUUUUUGCCCCUUCUUCAAAGCUUUGAAGAAUGGUCUGCACUUGUCGGUAGACUUUGAGAGGAAUCGGUUGAGAGCUGCUGCUCUGCCCGUCAGACUUUGUAUUUCUUUCACCGUGGAAGGUGACUUCAUCUCGAGGAUGCCUUUAAUUUGGCAUGGGUGUGCCUCGAUACCUCGUUGUGUGAUACACCGAACGUGCAUUUACUUGGAUUCAGCUUCAUGCGGUAUUGGCGGAGCAGGCUGAAUGCCUCGGUGAGGUUUUUGAGGUGGUCUCCACGCUUGGGGGCUUUGACCAGCAUAUCAUCCACGUAGACUUCCAUGGUUCUGCCGAUCUGCUCCUUGAAAAUCUUAUUCACGAGCCUUUGGUAUGUUGCUCCAGCGUUCUUCAACCCGAAGGGCAUGACCUUGUAGCAGUAGGUUCCUCUCUCAAUGAUGAAAGAGGUCUUCGCCUUGUCAUCGUCGUACAUCAUAAUUUGAUUAUAGCCUGAGUAGGCAUCCAUGAAGCUGAGCAGCUGGUUGCCGGAAGUUGAAUCCACGAGCUGGUCGAUCCUCGGCAAUGGGAAGUUGUCUUUAGGGCAUGCUUUGUUGAGGUCGGUAUAAUCGACGCACACUCUCCAUUUUCCCUUUUCUUGUUUUGCCACCAAAACGACGUUGGCCAGCCAUUCUGAGUAUGAGACUUCUUCAAUAAAUCCGGCUGCUAGAAGCUUGUCGAUCUCGGCUUCAAUGAUCGCGACUCGCUCGGGAGCGAAGUUACGUCUCUUCUGCACCACGGGCUUGCUGGCAGGGUUGACAUGGAGGCGGUGGCAGAUGAUGUUUGGGUCGAUGUCGGGCAUGUCAGAUGGUGACCACGCGAACAUGUCUUUGUUGUUUUGGAGGAAGGUGGUAAGCUCCACCUUCUCGUCUGGGCUUAGGCGCGAGCCGAUCCGCGCUUUCUUAUCUGGCUGGUUAGGAUCGAGGGGUACUAACUCGACGUCUUCCUCAGGCUUCCAACCCUCUUCAAGGGAGCCUUCCGGGCGGAUUCCCUCCUCUCGAUCCUUCUUGUUUGGAUUCUAGCACGAGCCGAUCUGUGCUUCUUUGUCUGGCUGGCCAAGAUCAGGGGGUACUAACUCAACGUCAUCCUCAGACUUCCAACCCUUUUCAGGGGAGUCUUCCGGGCGGAUUCCCUCGCCUUGAUCCUGGCUCAUUAAUUGCUAUUGUGAGGUAACAGCUCCCUUCUCGUUCGAGCUUGCUUGUCUGCUGGGAGCACUUCGUGCCUCGUUGGCAGCUUGCAUUACUGGUGUGAACUGCAUCUGCUUGCUCUUCUUGAGUCCGUGAGCUGUGCAUCUUCUUGCCAUGGCUUGGUCACUAUUGAUCUGCCCGAUUCCGCCUCCAGGGAUGGGGUAGCGAAUCUUCUGGUGUAGAGCAGAUGUGAUAGCCUCGAUCUUGCUGAUCCACGGUCGGCCCAGAAUUCCGUUGUACGGGGAGAUCUCGUCGAUGACCAUGAAGGUUUGUGUGCAGACUACUGGGGGCGAGUGGACGUCAAGGUCGAUCUGUCCAACAGUGAUUGAUGUGGCCCCAUUGAAGCCAGUGAGCGACCUUGCAAGUUUGCUAAUCUUGGGCUCCAAUCCCAUCUGUUGGAUGACAGAUAGUUGCAGGAUGUUGGCUGCGCUGCCCUCAUCCACAUGAACUCGCUCGAUCACAGCUUGUUCAAUCCGAAUGCACAUGACUAGGGCGUCAUUAUGCGGCAGGUCAAGCCCGAUCAAGUCUUUCUUCUGGAAACCAAUGAUGGGUGUAUCCACGAUAACUGGUACUCCUGUUGUGACUUGGGAGACAUAAGUCGCCUGCGCGAUCUUCCUCUUGCGCUCCUUGGUGGUCAACCCGGACUCCUGAGAGUCAGCUAGAAUGGUGUUGAUUCGAAUGACCUUUUGGGGAGGUUCCUUGGCAGCCGCAUCACGAUCCUCGAUCUGUUGGAUGGCCUUCUUUGCGACGAAUUCUGUGCAAUGACCUUCUCUGACCAGCUCCUCCAGAUGCCUUUUCCAAGCAUUGCAAUUGUUGGUGUAAUGACCGUGCUCCCCGUGGAAUGCGCAGUAUUUACUGGUGUCCCUCUUAGAGGGGUCUCCUUUCAUGGGUGGCGGUCUCCUCACCCACGGCUUGUCCUUCACUUGAGCCAGGAUCUGAUGAAUUGGGAUAGCGAACUCAGUAAAGGUCCCAAUUUCUGAGCUUCCCUCUCGGGGCCGCGAUCUGCGCUUAUCUCGGGCUUUUUGCUCGAACUGAUUGCUCUUUUGGCUUGCCUGCUUCGUCGGGUGUUCAACUUGCUUGCUAGCUUUCUUUGCGGCGAUUCGAUCAUCGUCCCAAAGUGCGUAGCGUUCUGCCGUCGCGAACACUUCUGCCAAGGUUUGACUUGGUGUUAUGGCCAGUUCCCGGUAUAGCUCGUGCUCGGUUGGCAAGCCCUUCUUGAAGGCUGAGGAUGCAACUUGGUCAUUGCAUCCUAUGAUGUUAGCCUUUUCAGCCUUAAACCGUCUCAGGUAGUCUCGUAGAGACUCGUCUGGCUUCUUGCGCAGGUUGAACAGAUGGUCCGCAUGCUUUCUGACCGUCUUGUAGGAGGUGUACUCCUUUGUGAAGAUGAAGGCCAACUCCUUGAAGUUUCCUAUCGACGCGGACGGUAGAGUGUGGAACCAGUCUUGAGCUGCUCCUCGCAGGGUCAUCGCGAACACUUUGCACAUCAGGGCAUCAUCUGCCUUGUACAGGAUCAUGGCGCUCUUGAAGUGCCUCAAAUGGCUCUCAGGGUCAAAGUCCCCCUUGAAUGGAGUGAUGGAUGGCGUUGUGAACCGCUUCGGUGGAGGAGCUCGUUCCACUUUGUCGGUAAAGGGCGAGCAGUCAACUCGAUCAAUUUCCUUAUGCAGGGCCUCCUCCGCGCUUCCUUUAAGUUGGAGAACUUGGAGUCGGUCAUUUACUAGCUUCUCGACGUCCUCUGCUCGCAGGACUGGAGUCUCAGGCCGGCGUCUUCGGUGCCUCGAGCGCGACCGGCUAACCUCUUCCUCGGUUCCCAAAGGUCGAUCCCCUUGGGUGUUCUGCCCGUGGGGCAGAUUAGAAGAUUGAGCUUGUGAGGAUUCCUCUACAUCUUGUCGCCACGUGUUGGUCCUCGAGCAGGUUGGUGGGCGUCGAUCAUCACCUUCUACCCGCAAGGAGGGUCGCUCAGGUCGACGUCUUUGGUGUCUCGAGCGUGACUGGCUAACUCCUUCCUCGAUUCCCAAGGGUCGAUCCCCUUGGGUGCCCUGCCCGUGGGGCAGAUUAGGAGAUUGGGCUUGGAAUGAUCCCUCUACAGCUUGCCGUCGCGUGUUGGCCCUCGAGCGGGUUGGUGGGCGUCGGUCGUUGCGUUCGUCACGCGACUGCUCACGAACUCGAGCUCCUUGUGGGCCCAAGCGGGCGUGGACAUUGGAUUGUGGGCCUAAGCGGGCGUGGACAUUAUUCUGUGGGCCUAGCCUCUCGAGCACAUUGGUCCUUGGUUCUAGCCCGAACGGCUCAGAGUACGGCUCGCGGCUGUCUGCGUCUCAUCUACUCGAUCUCGAUCUCGAUCUCUCCUCUGCCGGUUUGCCCUUGUCUGACCAGCUUGGGACCUCUCGAACUGCUCGCCGACAUGCUGGUGUGCCCUCAUCUCCUCGUCACGGGGUCCAAGGUUAAGGCCUUGAUUCAAGUUGAUCUGCCUGAGCAGCUGGCCAAUCAGGUUGUUCUGAUCAUCGACCUUCUGUGUGAGUUAAUCGACCCGUGAGUUAAGGUCCACCUGACUGCGCGGGUCAAGUAGAGUGAUGUGCAUCGGGCCCACGGCAAAUGGGCUAGGGCUCCAUUAGACGCGUACACAGGUGCAUAUGUCGAGUGUGAUAGCAGAGGAGGGAGAGAAUGGAUCUGCUCCAGGACUGGGAAGACGUCGGAGUAGCCAUGGGGCUGAGCAGCAAAUCCGGUAGUUGAGUGGUGUGGCUGCUGCUGUGCUACGACGGCAGGACAGCGGGGCAGAGCAGCUCCUGUAAUCGGCGCUGGCAACUGCAAGGCUGUGGAGGUCCCGAGGUCAUGGUCCGGCUGUUCUGCAAUUCCAGCAGCUGAAUGCGGCUGCAAAGCACUGGAGGACGACUGCAAGGCGUUGGCAGCCACGAUUCCGUGCGGUUGCAUUGAGGUUUCCACCACGAAACCAUGAGAUGGGCCCAUCGUGGUGGCGUUACUCUUCGUACGUCUUGUAUCAACCAUAGUUGUUUGAAAAAAUGUGUGAAAGAUGGAUUUAGAGCACGCUUUGAAUAUACCUCGUGCUCUCAAUGAAAGCACCAAUUUGUUUGUGCAAAUAAUCUCACGGGAGAAUAUUCGCCCAAGAUUCCUUCGUCUUCUCCGCCUCUCUUUCUCCCUGCAAAACAGAUCGGAGUAAAAGGACCACACCCGGGGGGUGUUGGCCAAAGGCCCUCCGAUGCCUAAGUUAGGUAAGGGAAUUCAAGGAAAACCGGGUGGCCGGAGCCUUGUGUGAGAGAGAGAAAGAGAGGAGGUGCCUAGGGUUUUUGAGAAAUAAUUUAUGCAGAGUUUCAGUAGGAAUUUAGACGUACCUCAUCCUUGUGUGUAACCAGGUAUUUAUAGUGGCCUUUGGAGAGGUAGGUGGGGUUGGUGUAGUUGGUGUGGUUGGUGGGGUUGGUGCAUUUAGGGAUUAUGGAUGAACCGAAUCCCUAAUUAAAUUGGGGAUCAAGUAACCCCCAAUUUGAUUAGGUAAUUCCCAAUUAGGUUAGGUAACUCCUAAUUAGGUCAAAUAAUUCCCAAAUUGAUUGGCCUAAUUAAUUGACCUAGGGUUUUGGUUUAAUUAGGUUCCCACAAGUGUGAAAUUGUGACCACGAGAUUCGGUAUAAGCUGUAACCCAAAAAGGUACGUAAGUACGUACAGAAAACCAAACCAAAUACACACGUUCAAACAGGAGUAAGGGGAUACAAAAUAAAUAAAUUAACAGGAAAGACAGAGUUUAACCUGGUCAGUGGACUCUACUUUAAUGGUUAUGGCAGUGGAGAAGAUAUCACCCGCUUUCUUGCCAGGAGAAACUGCAUCAACAGAGACUCCAAAUGCCUGCAGUGCUUGAAAUGGGACCACUGCCUCGUAAUCUUCCAUGCAGUCCCCGCACAGUAACACACCCUCCUCUGCUCCUCGCCUUUCGGAUUUCCCAUUUCUUUUUUUAUUUUCCUUCUUUAGUUUCUUUCUUGCUUUUUCUUUCUUCUAUCUUCUUUCUUCUUUAUCACAGAGGGAGGUGGUCUGAUAAAGGAAGGAAGGCCUGCUUUAAAUAUAAUACUCACACAAGCGUUUUUGGAGGUUUGUGGAGUCAGCUAGACACGUCGCAGUUAGUAAUCGUGGCAUCUCUCUCUAUUCCUCUUUUCUUUUCAGUUCGGAUAACUAUUGUAUUAGUUUCGAGCCAUAACCAUAUCCAAGUUUGAUAUUAUUUGUUGUCUUCUUCACCGACCAAGUGAGUCUAAAUAAUUCAAGGAAGAUUCAAACUUGUAAUGUUUAUCUCUAACAGGUAUGGAUAAUAAAUGUAAUGUUUAUCUCUGACAGGUAUGGAUAGUGUUGAAUAGCCUUCGCGUUGAUUUUACCUCGACUGCCAUGUUGAUUUUCACCAGCGCAGCAAAGCUGCUUGCUUUGUGUUAUGAGGUCUGGUUUUGUCAACAAACUAUAUUAAUUGACCCAAAAGAAAAUGCAAUAUAAUGUGGAUCCUCAUUUCGCAGUGACAGGAUAUGGUUGUGAAAUACAGGCUAACUUUGGACAACCUGAUAUUCAAAAGAAAAUUCAAUAUCUUGUCGAUCCUCAUUUUGCAGUUACAGGAUGGUUGUGAAAGUAUAAGCUAACUCUGGACAACACGAUAUUCAUUCAGGUAAAACUUCGAGGUGUACAGUGAGGGAGAUAGAAACCCUUGAGCUGAAAUCCUUGGCGCCGACGACUAAUAAAUCAUAGUGUCCUUCUUGUUGAUGUGUAACCCUUGAGUUGAAAUCCUUGGCGCCAAAGUUGUUUUUUAUUUGCAUUUUAUUUCUUUUUUAUAUGUUUAAACUCUGUUUGUAAUAUGAGCCAUUGGAUCAUAGUCCAAGUGGUCUCUUAUCUAGCCUAGGAUAUAAUCUGUCAGAUUGUGACAAGUGUAAUCAUCUCAUAGGCUGAUAGGAUCAAUUGUUAGGAUUAAAUCCCUGUGUAAAUUAGGUAGAGAAGAAUCUCUCUUCUCUCUCCUCUAACGGAUAUAUUGGUAUAGUGGAAAUGGAAGCAUAACAGCUCCUUUAGCAAUAUUGCAGCUCAAUAAUCUCUCCUAUCUUUCCAAAAUCUAAAAUCUCCAGAAAACUAGAACACUAAAACUAUGAACUCUAAUAUGGUAUCAGAGCUAGGUUGGAUUGCUUAAACUGGGCGUGAAUCUGUGAACAGAGAAUCGGACUCGAUUCGAGCUAUUUUUUGUUGUUGAGCUUAUUUGAAGAUCGAAGCUGUGAUUUCUUGAAUCCAAUGUCUAAUAUGGCAGGAUCGGGAACAGCUGAGCUUCACACACCAGUUUUCAAUGGAGAAAACUAUUAGUGUUUUGGAGCAUUAGGAUGAAAACCAUUCUGAAAUCUCGUGGAUUGUGGGAUCUGGUCUAGAAUGGGAUAGAUAAUUCAGAUCUGAAGAAGGAGAACGAGGAGGCUACGGUUACUGAGAAGUCCACUAUGGCUCAGAUUUUGAUGAAGGAUGCUCGCGCACUUGGAUUGAUUCAAAGUGCUGUCUCAGAUAAGCUAUCCCCAGAAUUGUGAACGAAGAGACCUCAAAGGGUGCCUGGGAUAUUCUGAAGCUGGAGUUCAGAGGCGAUAAACAAGUAAGAAAUGUCAACUUGCAAGGGUUGCGUAGAGAAUUUGAAUAUACUCAUAUGAAGGAUAGUGAAUCUCUAUCUGUAUAUCUUGUUAGAUUGUUUGAUAUGAAUAAUCAAAUGAAGAGUUAUGGUGAGGAAUUACCUAGAGAGAGAGUUGUGCAGAAAUUGUUGUUUAGUCUGCCGAAAUCAUAUGACUCUAUUUGCUCUGUGAUUGAACACUCUAAGGAUCUUGAAACUCUGGAAGUUCAAGAGGUGGUUGCCCCUUUGAAGAGCUUUGAGCUCAUAUUUGAUCGCCAUACUGAGAAUUCUAUAGAAAGGGCAUUUACUAGUCUGAAUAUUGAGGAAAAGAAUUCUAAGAGUGGAAAUUUUCCUGGAGAUCAAAAAUCUCAGAAAAACUGGAAGUCUAAUGAUGAAAACAAAACAGCUUGUAAACACUGUAAUAAGCUGCAUUAUGGCAAGUGUUGGUUUGAAGGGAAACCUAAAUGCCAUGGGUGUGGGAAAUUUGGGCAUAUGAUCAGAGAUUGCAGUGGGAAUAAAAAUGUACAUAAGGUGAAUUAUGCAAAUCAAGUUGAGGAAACUGGUACUUUGUACUAUGUGUGCAAUGCUGCAACAGAUGUGAAAGUGAAUUAUUCAUGGUACAUUGACAGUGGUUGUAGUAACCACAUGACAGGAGAUGAGGGACUUUUAGUCAAUAUUCAAAGGAACUUGACCUCUAAGGUGAAGAUGGGAACUGGAGAAGUAGUUCCAGUUGCAGGAAAAAGGACUCUUGUGAUAAAAACCAAGUUGGGUAAGAAGCACAUUCAAGAAGUAAUGCUUGUACCUGGUCUUGAAGAAAAUAUGCUUAGUGUUGGGAAAAUGAUUGAGGAUGGAUACUAUCUUGUGUUUGGAGGGAAUAUGGUGAAUAUUUAUGAUGAUUAGUCACGGAGAAAUCUAAUUGUGAAGGUUCAAAUGACCGAUAACUGAUGUUUUCCACUUACAAUGAUGCCUGCAAGUGAUUUGGCCUUAAAGGCAAGUGUUACACACUGCUUGCAGACAAGGCAUAAAAGAUUGGGGCACUUAAAAGAAAGAAGCAUAAAAUUGCUUGAGAAUCAAUGCAUCGUUCAUGGCUUACCUCAUUUGGAGCAGAUUUUAGUAGUAUGUGAAGGCUGCAUGCUAGGAAAGCAACACAGAGAUUCUUUCCUUUUGGAGUCCACUUGGAGAGCUACAAGUCCUUUGGAAUUGGUUCACACAGAUACCUGUGGACCAAUGAAGACUGAAUCCAUUUCUGAAAAUAGGUAUUUCUUGCUAUUUACAGAUGAUUGCACUAGAAUGUCAUGGGUGUAUUUCAUCAUAAACAAGUCAAGUGCAUUUGACUGUUUUAGAAAGUUCAAGGCUAUGACUGAGCUACAAAGUGGAUAUAAGAUAAAAGGCUUGAAGAGUGACAAGGGUGAAGAGUUUUUAUCCAGUGAAUUUUACAGGUUUUGUGAUGAAUUUGGAAUUCAAAGGCAGCUUAUUAUAGCAUACUCUCCUCAGCAAAAUGGAGUAGUUGAAAGAAAGAACAUGACAGUAGUGGACAUGGCAAAAUCUAUGCUGCAUGAGAAGGGUAUUUCUUAUGAAUUUUGGGUGGAAGCUGUAAAUACUACAGUCUAUCUACUGAAUAGAUGUCCCACCAAGUCUCUCAAGAAGGUAACACCAUUUGAAGCUUAUACUGGCAGAAAACCAGGAAUUGCACACUUAAAGAUUUUUGGAUCUCCUUGUCAUGUGCUCAUCCCUUCAGCAUUAAGGCAUAAACUUGAAGAAAAUAGCCACAAGUGUAUUUGUGUGGGUUAUGGACUCUGUGAAAAGGGGUACAUGCUAUUUGAUCCAAGCAUUAGAAAGGUUAUUCUGUCCAGAGAUGUGCAGUUUGAUGAGAAUGGCUCAUGGAAGAGGGAGAAUGCAAGUGCAUGAGAAAUGACAGUCCCUGUGCCUACUGAGAAUCAAAACUGUAAUCCAAGUCAAAGCUUGGGUACACCAAUGCAAAUGGAUGAAGGAAUCACACUACAGAAUGAACCAAGUCAAAGCUUGGAUACACCAACAUAAAUGGAUGAAGGUAUUACUCUGCAAGAUGAAGGAAUAAGUGAAAGUUCUCAAGCUAUUGAUCACACACCAAAGAAAUGGAGAAGUGUUAACGAAAUCAUGGCUCAAUGCAAUAUCUGCAUUGUGGAACCUGAAAGUUUUGAAGAAGCUAAUCUUGAUAAGUCAUGGAGAAAUGCAAUGAAGGCUGAGCUGGAAAUGAUUGAGAAAAAUAAUACAUGGAAACUAGAGACAAACCAUUUGGCAAGCCAAUUAUUGGUGUCAAGUGGGUCUUCAAAACUAAGCUAAAUCUGGAUGGAUCUGUGCAGAAAAACAAGGCCAGACUUAUGGCAAAAGGCUACUCUCAGAAGCCUGGAAUAGACUAUAAUGAGACGUUUGCUCUAGUAACAAGAUUGGAUAUUAUUAGAACGUUGAUAGCACUUGCUGCACAGAAGGAAUGGAAUCUAUAUCAACUGGAUGUAAAAUCUGCCUUUCUGAAUGAAGUGUUAAAGGAAGAGGUUUAUGUGGAGCAGCCACAGGGUUUUGUGAAGGAAAAUGAAGAAAUCAGAGUGUAUAAGUUGAACAAGGCCUUCUAUGGACUAAAGCAAGUCCCAAGAGCCUGGUAUGAUGAGAUAGACUCUUACUUCAACAAGGCAGGAUUCAAGAAAAGUCCUAGUGAAGCAACACUCUAUGUCAAAACUAGUGAAGAUUCAGGUAUUCUUAUUGUUUCACUCUAUGUGGAUGAUAUUGUCUAUACUAGAAGUUGCCCAAAGUUACUUGAAGAGUUCAAAAAUGAUAUGAUGCAACAUUAUGAAAUGACUGAUCUUGGACUACUCUACCAUUUUCUUAGCAUGGGAGUAGUACAAACAGAUAAACAUAUCUUUCUUCAUCAGAAGAAAUAUGCAUUGAAGGUGAUUGAAAAGUUUGGAUUGAAGGACUGCAAGUCUGUGGUAACUCCAUUAGUUGCAAAUGAAAGCCUGUGCAAGGAAGAUGGCAGUGAGGCAGCAAAUGAGAGUGAAUAUAGACAGAUUGUAGGUAGCCUGCUUUAUUUGACAGCUACAAGACUAGACAUAAUGUUUGCCUCUAGCUUGCUUGCUAGAUUCAUGCAUAAUCCAACUAGAAAACACAUGGGAACAGCCAAGAGGGUAUUAAGAUACAUUUAGGGCACACUUGAUUUUGGAAUUGAAUUUAUAAAAGGGAAGACAACUACCUUGAUAGGGUAUUGUGACAGUGACUGGGCAAGAAGUGAAGAUGAUAGAAGAAUUACUUCAGGAUAUGCAUUCACACUAGGAUAUGGUAUGUUCUCAUGGGCAUCAAUUAAACAAAACACAGUAGCUUUCUCCACUGCAGAGGCAGAAUAUGUUAGUGCUGCUGAAGAAACAUCACAAGCUAAAUGGCUAAGGUUCGUACUUGAAGAUUUUGAAGAGGAGCAAGUGGAAGGUACACCAAUUCUGUGUCAUAACACCUCUACCAUAGCAAUGGCAAAGAAUCCAGUUUUCCACCAGAAAACCAGACAUAUUAGCCUAAAGUUUCAUUUCAUUCGAGAAGCUAUUCAAGCAAAGGAGAUUGAACUAAUCUACUGGAAAACAGAAGAUCAUAUUGCAGACAUCCUAACCAAGGCUUUGUCCAAGGAUCGUUUUGUGUAUCUCAGAGAUCUACUUGGUGUGAAAUCAGUCAAAGGGUUAUAGAAGGGAGUGUUGAUGUGUAACCCUUGAGCUGAAAUCCUUGGCGCCAAAGUUGUUUUUUGUUUGCAUUUGAUUUCUUUUUUAUAUGUUUAAACUUUGUUUGUAAUAUGAGCCAUUGGAUCAUAGGCCAAGUGGUCUCUUAUCUAGCCUAGGAUAUAAUCUGUCAAAUUGUGACAAGUGUAAUCAUCUCAUAGGAUGAUAGGAUCAAUGGUUAGGAUUAAAUCCCUGUGUAAAUCAGUUAGAGAAGAAUCUCUCUUCUCUCUCCUCUAACGGAUAUAUUGGUAUAGUGGAAAUGGAAGCAUAACAGCUCCUUUAGCAAUAUUGCAGCUCAAUAAUCUCUCCUUUCUUUCCAAAAUCUAAAAUCUCCAGAAAACUAGAACACUAAAACUAUGAACUGUAAUACUUCUAAAGCAUUAGUAUAAUACAAGCUUCGUCCACAACCAAACUUGCAUGGAACAUGGCAUAUACAUAUCAAAACCAGAAUGUCACUUGUUCCCUCAUAUAUAGAAACGUCACCUUAACAUAACACUUACAUAUAGUACAUGCAAGCAGCUGACCCAGUAAACAGCAAAUGAUACUCGAAUAUCAAGCAAUAUCAUCAACUGAGAAAUGAACUCUGGGUGGCCCGGCCACGCUCUCCAGUCCAAAUUUCCAUCUGUGAAACAAUGAUCUAUUGGACCAGGUUCCAGCCGUGUUGCUCCUGACAAAACCGCAUUAAGCUUCACCACUGAAUACGCAGUAUAUUUCUUUCCCUAAAAUUUAGCUAGUUAACAACAAUUAGGACAUGAUUUAAAAAAGUCCAUAAUGUGAAAAUAAGUAAAUCAACCCUCAAUCAGAAGAAUCAGCAAAAGGCAAACAGAUUACAAUUUCAAAGUGGUUUCUUUUUUACCUCGUCAUUAAAUACUCACUCAGUAAAUCAACCCUGUUACAAAAUUGAUGAUACUCCCAACUCUUCCUAACACCUUCCGAAAAACUGAAACUGCCUAGCUCAGCCAAGCCUUUUGGUUUUCCUUAGUAGGUAAUUUCUUGUUUUACCCCAUUCUUAAACCAUUCCAUCUAGCAUAGAUUUUUACUGCUUCAUAUAUUCCUUCAGAGAAUUCUGCAUUACAGUACACACCUUCCGACUUUUAUAUUACCGCACAAAUGUUCAUGCACCAACUGGCAAGCUUGCUCAUCAACACCCACAACAAAACAUACAUUUAAAUUUACGAUCAACUACAUAGAUAGUGAGUUAUAGAACAAAUGAAUCCACAGGUUAUCUGUAUUGUCUUUUUGGUUAAACAUGUUUAACUUCCCACACAAAAUUAAUUUUACUCUAGCAUUUUAGUUUAUGUUAAAAAGCGUAAGAAGUUAAAAUGUUAUGGAAUCUACAUUAUAUAUGUAUAUCUACCACAGAAAUGCUAUAAUGUGGGGUUGUGUGUGAGGGGUUCAAUACCACUAUCCAAUAAUAUAAAGGAUAUUUUGAACUUAAACUUUUUAAUGAUUGGAUGGUUGGAUGGUUGGAGACCAAGUAUAAAUAUCCUAGUUCUUUGUGAAUGUACAAAUCAUCCAAUUUCAAACAAAUUAACUUUAUAUUAUUGUUUCAACUCAUUUAGUUUCAAAGAUUGAAAUUCUGGCAGAUGGAUGCAAUUGGUUUCCUGGCUUCCACAAUUUGCUUCACUAAUGCAAUGACUUUCUCAUCCAAUACCAAAUGUUCUGGGGCUCCAGUUGUACGGCAUACAACAGUGAGGUUAAUUCUCAGUCUCGCAGCUAUGCACAAGUGGUCUUUGAGGCAAUUGAAUGUUAAGAACGCAUUCUUACAUGGGGAGCUUGAAGAAGAAGUUUUUAUGAGGCAACCUCAAGGUUUUGAAGACCCCAAGCAUCCUGAGUUUGUGUGUAAGCUGAAUAAGUCUCUGUAUGGACUUAAGCAAGCUCCACGGGCAUGGAAUGCUAAAUUUACAGGAUAUUUACCAGCUAUAGGGUUCAAAUAAUCUCGUUCUGAUCCCAACUUAUUUGUCAAGCAUGACGGCACUGAUAUUAUAAUUUUAUUAUUAUAUGUUGAUGGUAUCAUCUUGACAGGCUCCAAUGCAAAUUUAGUGCAGACAGUGAUUGAUGAUUUAGGAGCAGUGUUUGAGAUGAAGGACAUGGGUCGCCUUACCUAUUUCCUUGGUCUUCAAGUGUCUUACAAUUCUACAGGUGAUAUUUUUGUCCAUCAGCACAAGUAUGCUAAAGAUCUACUGCAAAAGGGCUGGUCUGAGUAAUUGUAAGGCUUCUCCUACUCCUUGCAAGCCACAUAAUCAAGUCUUAAUGUCUGAAGGAGAACCACUGCAUGAUCCUACAUUUUAUAGAAGUAUUGUUGGUGCCUUACAAUACUUAACUUUCAUAAGACCUGACUUAUCCUAUGCUGUCAAUACUGUGUGUCAGUGUAUGACUGCUCCCACUGAGAUACAUUUCAACCUGGUCAAAAGAAUUUUGAGAUACAUUCAAGGUACCAUGAAUUAUGGAAUUCACUUUAUUCAUGGUCCUUGGAAAUUACAAGCUUAUAGUGAUGUUAACUGGGCGGGGGAUUUAAAUGCUAGGAGGUCAACUACAGGUUUUGUGGUAUUGCUUGGACAUAAUCCUAUCUCAUGGCAGUCUAAGAAGCAAGGGUCUGCAUCCAGAAAUUCUACAGAGGCCGAGUAUAGGGCUUUGGCUAGUACAGCUGCAGAUUUGGGUUGGAUUCGAAAGGUUUUGCUAGACUUGAAAGUGUGCUUGCCUCUACCUCCUACCAUCUUUUGUGAUAAUCUAUCUGCUUUGGCACUUAGUAGUAAUCCUGUGUUUCAUUCACGAAUUAAACACUUGGAUACAGAUUUUCACUUUGUUCGUGAAAGGGUUCAAAGGAAUGAUCUGAUUGUUUAGUAUGUUCCCACUCAAGAGCAAAUCGCAGAUGUAUUUACUAAAGGACUGCAUAGUCCUAUUUUCUUGAGUCACUGUACUAGUAUGCGACUUGGAAAUCCAUAGCAGGAUCCAGAGUUGGGUUUGAGGGGGAAUGAUAACAAUAUUAGUUAGUUUGUUAAGCUGUCACGUGUGCUCACGUGUUGUUAGUUAGUAGUAACUAUAAUUAGUUAAGAGUGUUAAGUCUUGGUUAUUGAGAUAUAACACUAAUGAAACUGCCGUUGUAAUUCAUUAUAUACAGAGCAUAUCAUUUCUUCUUCCUUCUUAGUCUUCUCAAUUCUUAAGCUUCCUUUUCUAAACUGUUAUCAGAUGGAACCCUAUCACACCAGAAUUGUGGCAAAUCUGGUAUAGCCGAUUCAGGUUAUUUUCACUAUAUAUCUUUCAGAAGUAUCUGUAACGGGGCAAAUCUCCAUCAAUCCUCUUCUUUUCAGUUUAUCUUUAUGCCCAUUCAUGCAUGUAUAUAUUAUACGAAGAAGUUUUUGACAUAUGGCAUGUAUUGUGUGUCAAAUGUAUACCGAUUCAUGAAGACAGGUUCAAGAUCACAUACACCAUAUUCACCUUCAUUUCUUUUUGUUUAUUCUGGGUUUCUCCAAUUUGAAUCACAUUAAAAAACAAAUACUGAACAGUGAUAUAUUCAAUAUUGAUCGGCAUCACAAUUUCAUAUUUCUCAUUGCACUACGAAGGAAAAUAAAACUUACCCCACAGAGAAACAGGAUCCUCCUAUCUGAACCAGUUAUGUUACCACCUAGUGCCUUCACAAAAAGCCUAAUGAACUCAGGAUUCAUAUGUAGCCCCAGUAAUUAUAUUACCAUCAACAACAGACGCCAACAUGGUCUCGGGUUCCACCCAAUAAGCACCUGCAGGCUGCAGCAACAAGUACAGGUCUGACAGGUGGGAAGGCCGUUAUAGUAUAGCCGCGCGGCUAUACUCCAUAAGCAGAAUAUUUUAAAAGUACAGCCGCACCGCUAUACUCCAAAAAUUAUAAUAUCGUAAAAGUACAGCCGAUCGGCUAUACGCGAUAAAUAAAAUAUUUCAAAUGGCUAUACUAAAGGAACUUAAACGUNNNNNNNNNNNNNNNNNNNNNNNNNNNNNNNNNNNNNNNNNNNNNNNNNNNNNNNNNNNNNNNNNNNNNNNNNNNNNNNNNNNNNNNNNNNNNNNNNNNNNNNNNNNNNNNNNNNNNNNNNNNNNNNNNNNNNNNNNNNNNNNNNNNNNNNNNNNNNNNNNNNNNNNNNNNNNUAUUUUCACUUAGAGACGAAGGCACUAAUGCAAUUUUGUUUAUUGAAUAUGGUGUACGCAGUGACGUUGGAGCCAAGAAUUUGUUCACGCUGUCUUUUCCCCAGAACUCAAAGCUCAAUACAGGUCGGUUCUCUAGCUCAUAAUGAAUGAGCAAAACUCCUAACAUGUGUUCUUGUUUGAGCUUACUUUAGUCUCGCUGUCCACACAACCUAGAAACUAUGACCUACGGAUUGCUAUUUGUCAAUCUAAUAGAGUGGCUCUAAUCAACAGUAAAACUUAAUUCAUUUUGUCUAUAAUUAAGGCUACCAACCACUGGCUGAUGCAAAAACCUAAACUUGUAAACUUGACAAACUUAUUUCCAGUCCCAACAUACUCCAAAUUUUAGAGGAGGCAACAUAAUCCCAUAUGUGAGAAUUGUAAGCACUUCAAUCUUUGAGACAAAUUUCUUGUUUUGGGUUUACAAAUUCAAGUGAAGUAAGCAUUCAAUCUUCAAUCCAAUUGAGUGUGCUUGAUUACAGAGCAUGGAAAAGACCAAUUGACAGUGCUCAAGUGAUGUAAUGAGGCUAAAGAAUAAAUUUUUAUCAUAUAAUCAUUAAAUAUGUUCACUAAAAGAUGUGUCAUCGUUAUAUGUAAAAAUUUUAGAAAUAUAUAAACUAGCUAGGAUUUACGUGAAUUCGAAUUUGAAUACAUGAAAUAUUAUUACCUACUACAUCAUUUGAUGAACAGAUUUGAUGUUCCUAACAAUUCUAUGCGUACUAGUAAAGUACUUUGUCUUUAAUUUGGAAGUACCCGAAAGCAUAAUGUUUUUCAUAUAUUAUCUGGCAGGAGGCAAUUCAAGAAAAAAAGCCAUCAUUAUUGGAGUCGUAGUUGGAGGUGUAGGUCUUUUAUUCUCAUUGUUGGAGUUUUUCUCUAUUUUAAACUUUCAAGAAAGCCCGAGGCUGCAACAACCACAGAAUUCGAAGUUGCACUUCCUCUUGCAUAUAUACUAUUACAGUCAUGAUUUCUUGGACUACAAGUACAAGGGUUCAAGAGAUUUGUGAUCACUCACCGUUUGAUGUAAAUUCAACGGUUCACUCACUGUUGCACUUCUUUUAAGAAAUUUUUUUGAACCAUUGGAUUAAUAUCUAACGGUGGGUGACCACAAUCUCUUGGACUCCUGUAGUCCAAGAGAUCGGAUUGUAUACUAUAAGUCCUGAUCUCUUAGACUACAAGAGUACAAGAGAUUUGUGGUCACUCACCGUUGGAUAUAAAUUCAACGGUUCACUCAUUAUUGCACUCCUUUUAAGAAACUUUUUUGAACCAUUGGAUUAAUAUCCAACGAUAGGUGACCACAAUCUCUUGGACUCCUGUAGUCCAAGAGAUUUGUGGUCACUCACCGUUGGAUGUAAAUUCAACGGUUCACUCACUCUUGCACUCAUUUUAAGAAACAUUUUUGAACCAUUGGAUUAAUAUCCAACAGUGGGUGACCACAAUCUCUUGGACUCCUGCAGUCCAAGAGAUCGGGACUGUAUACUAUCAAUCCUGAUCUCUUGGACUACAAGGGUCCAAGAGAUUUGUGGUCACUCACCGUUGGAUGUAAUUCAAUUAGCUCAUGCUCUAACCAUGUAUAUAUAUAAACAUAACAAAUUUAAAAAAAUUUGGUAUUAGACAUAAUUAUCUUUACUAAUUAGUAUUCGAGAUAAACAAUAUUUAUGUUUUAGUUUUAAUACAUAGGAAUUGAAUUUUGUUUUGGAUUUGGACAAAGAGGAGGCCCAGAUUCAUUAGCCCACCUUAUAUUAAUCACUAAUUUUAAUUUAAAAACCUGACUCAAAUUCGUUGGUUUACCUUUUUUUUAAGACUGCUGCUAAACGAACCCUAACAUUAACUGAGUACACCCUAUGAUCUAAGUACACUCUGAUAUUUUAAUUUAAAUGUAAAAUUAACUAAGCACACCCUAUAGAACUACCAAAAAUAUCUCUGGUACACCAUAAUAUUUGUAGCAUUAUUUUAUAGUUGAUUUUUAGCUUGAUUUUUUUAAUAGUGUUUAUAAAUCUUUGACUUUUCAUAUGGAUUUAUGCUUCUACUAAAAUUGUUGACACUUUUUUUGCAAUUUCAAGUUCUUGCAAUCACCACCUCUUUCGUUAAUAAUGAUUUUUUUAUGCAUGUUUCAGUUAUAUACUACUAUGCUACUAUGAAAUUUAUUCGUUCUCAACGAAGUUAAAAACAAGCUAAACAAAUAGAGNNNNNNNNNNNNNNNNNNNNNNNNNNNNNNNNNNNNNNNNNNNNNNNNNNNNNNNNNNNNNNNNNNNNNNNNNNNNNNNNNNNNNNNNNNNNNNNNNNNNNNNNNNNNNNNNNNNNNNNNNNNNNNNNNNNNNNNNNNNNNNNNNNNNNNNNNNNNNNNNNNNNNNNNNNNNNNNNNNNNNNNNNNNNNNNNNNNNNNNNNNNNNNNNNNNNNUGUAUGAAGCAUCCGUUCCAAAAUUUCAAAAGUAACCCAACUUGCAAAUCUGCAUAAAAACAUAAGAGAAAAACAAUAAGAAAGGUGCAUGAGUGGCAAACGAAAGUCACUGCAAACUUCAUCAAAUUGGCCCUAGUAGUACUAAUUAAGAUAUUUUUAAUCAUACACGCUCACAAGCCAGAAAAACUAAGUCCUAAAAGAGGGAUGAAGAUGCUGCCACCACAAUUUUCAUUCAUGUUGUUAGUGAACUAGGCAAAAGUAAUAUGCAUAAAUUCUAUUUUUACAGUAUAUAAGUCAAUUCACCAUAAUAUUUUUUUGACAACUUAUUGGAUUGUCAGGAAUUCAAUGAUCAAUCAGGCCUUCACAUAAUCUCCACCGCUGCGCUUCCUUUUGGACCGUGAGAAGAAGCAGAUUUGAGCCCAAGUCUUCUUCUGCUUAGCAGGUUGUGCUUUAACUUCUCUUUUCACGACAAGCUCAAUCAUGUAUUGAACAACAGCCUAAGAUUAUAUUUGCUCCAAACCAUUCUGACUCGCGGAUCACAAAGAUGAGAACCAAAUAAUCUCUUGAGUAGGGUUGAAUACGAUUAGUAGGGUGUACUUAUUAAAAUUAUAUUUGUUUCACAAUUUCAUAUAUCAUUUUUGGUCAUUUUAUAUUAGAGUAAAUCAGUAAUUCAAUAUAUGCUUUUGUAGUAGGGUGUACUCAGUUAAUUUUAGGGUUCGUUUAGCAGCACUCUUUUUUAAUCAUAUCAGAUCUGCUAUCAUCAAUCCAAGAUCAAGAGACCGAUCUGCGAUGGAAUUCUCAACCAUCUUCCUCCUCUACCCAACCCCCCCACAAAUGACACUGUUCGGACCAUCCUCAACACCCCAACACACGUCGCCCUCAAGUCCGAAGAACUUAUAAGAAUGGAGCAGGAAUUGAAAGACUACGAAAUCGAAAUGCGGAAAGCCAAAGAGGAUCUCAACCGUCGGAUUCACGAUGAUCAGGUCGCGAGGGAGAUCAUGAAGAUUCCAUAGGACGAGUGGCAAGAGUCUGGCCAACUCUUCGCCAAACCCUUCGGUGAAGGCUCCUCCUCAUCGUCGUUGACGAAGAGGGUCAAGAGUGAAAGAGUGUUCUAUCAGAUUGGUCAAAAAAUAAUACUUCAUUUAUCUUAAUAUAUAACAAAUAGGAAGGUUAUAUAUACAAAGCCUAGGAAACUAUUCUAGGAAAGUAAUUAUGUUCCUAUAAUCUUGCAUAAUCAAAUAGUUGACUUAGACUAAUUAGGAAUGUACAGCUCAUUGACACUCCCCCUCAAGUUCGAGCAUAUAUGUCGUCAAUGCCCAACUUGCUAAGUGAGCUGUGAAAUACCCUGCCUGUGACUGCUUUGGUAAGGACAUCUGCAAGUGAUCUUCGGAUUUAACAAAUGAUACCUUAAUGAUCUUGCCUCGAGCUUCUCCUUGAUGAAAUGUCUGUCAACUUCAACAUGCUUGGUUCUAUCAUGUUGCACUGGAUUAUGUGCAAUGUCUAUUGCAGCUUUGUUGUCACAAUUCAGUUGCAUGGCAUGUUUGGGUUUGAACCCCAAUUCCUCCAACAAAUUCCUUAUCCAGAGUAGCUCACAUACUCCGUGCGCCAUACCUCGAUAUUCUGCUUCAGCACUUGAUCUUGACACUACUUUCUGUUUUUUACUUCGCCAAGAUACUAGAUUGCCUCCUACAAAGGUAAAGUAUCCAGAUGUAGAUCGCCUGUCAGUAACAGAGCCCGCCCAGUCUGCAUCAGUGUGACCCUCAACAUCUAGAUGACCAUGUCGUGCGAACAUCAAUCCUCUUCCAGGAGAUGACUUCAAGUAUCUCAAAAUUCAGUUUACCGCAUCCAUGUGGGCUUCACUUGGUGCAUGCAUGAACUGACUCACCACACUUACAGCAUAUGCUAUAUCAGAUCUAGUGUGUCCUAGAUAGAUUAACUUACCCACAAGGCGUUGAUAUCUUUCUUUGUUGGUGGGUACUUGAUCAGGAUAUUCACCAAGCUGAUGAUUCAACUCCAUUGGCGUAUCUGCUGGUUUGCUGGCUAACAUUCCAGUGUCAGUCAAAAUGUCAAGGAUAUAUUUCCGUUGUGAUAGAAAUAUUCCUUGUUCUGAACGAGCCACUUCGAUGCCUAGGAAAUACUUCAGAGCACCAAGAUCUUUCAUUUCAAACUCACUUGCCAAGUGGUGCUGCAAUGCUGCCUUUUCCACUAGGUCAUUCCCGGUAACUACCAUGUCAUCAACAUAUACAAUAAGGGCAGUGACUUUACCUUUCUUAUGUUUCAAGAAAAGAGUAUGAUCUGAGUUACUUUGCUUGUAUCCAAAAUCCUUCAUUGAUUUGCUGAACUUUUCAAACCAUGCUCUGGGUGACUGCUUCAAGCUAUAAAGAGACUUUCUCAGUUUACACACCAUGUUGCUAGUAUUGGACCCCAUCUUACAUCCUGGAGGGGAAUCCAUAUAGACUUUUUCUUCUAGGUCGCCGUGCAAGAAGACAUUUUUGACAUCAAACUGGUGUAAUGGCCAGUUUAGGUUUGCUGCCAGAGAAAAAAGUACUUGAAUUGUGUUUAUCUUGGCUACAGGGGCAAAUGUCUCCCUAUAGUCAAUCCCAUAAGUCUGGAGUAUAACCUUUCGCCACCAAUCUUGCUUUGUAUCGUUCAAUGGUGCCAUCUGCCUUGAACUUUACUGUAUAUAUCCAUCUACAACCCCACUGUUCUCUUCCCUUUGGGAAAGGAUAGUCAUCUUUCAAGUGGAAUUCUUCUGGAAGGCCUCCAUUUCAUCAUUCAUUGCUUGAGUCCACUUGGGGAUCUUUAGAGCUUCCUACCCAUUUACUUGGAAUAGAUACAGUGGAUAAUUGACAUACAAAUGAUGCACAUGACGGAGACAACCUAUGUAGGGACACAUGAUUAGCAAUAGGGUAUUUAACUUUUGUUUUUGGGUCCGGGUCAUACUGUUGUCUAGGAAUCCCUCUAGUGGUACGAAUAGGUAACUGAUAACCUGUGUUUCCUGUAUGACUCGACUCAUGUAAAGUACUUAAGUUGGAGUUUAAAUGCUCAGUUACCUGCGGGGAAUCUUCAGGACCUGAUUGGAUGAUUGGUGAUGGUACUGUAGUUGGAGGGAAAUUAUCUGAACCAUCAUCUGGAGUUUCUAGUAACUCUUGAUCUUGUUGCACUACUGUAGCUGGUUGCUCGGAAACUGACUGCUCUAAAAUAGUUUGUUGAAUUUGGAUGCUCUGAGUAUCUUCUGCAAAGAUAGAGCUCUCCCCCUGCAGAGGAUGCUCAGAAACUCCCCCUGAGUAAUAGAACUCACUCUCGUGGAAAGUCGCAUCUGCGGUAACAUGCAUGGUCUGAGUGGGAUGAUGGAAACACUUAUAGCCCUUCUGAGUGCCAGCAUAACCCACAAAGACACAACGCAGUGCACACGGAUCAAGCUUGCCACGCUGAUGUGGAUACACCUGAACAUAAGCAACACAACCAAAGAGACGUGGUUCGAGAUUUGGUGUGGAUGGCAUGGUGAGGAGAGUGGUCAAUGUCUGAAAUGGAGUUUGAUACUGAAGAGUGCUGGAUGGUGUUUUAUUAAUGAGGUAAGCAGCAAAACAAAGAACCUCCCCCCAAAAAUGAUGAGGNNNNNNNNNNNNNNNNNNNNNNNNNNNNNNNNNNNNNNNNNNNNNNNNNNNNNNNNNNNNNNNNNNNNNNNNNNNNNNNNNNNNNNNNNNNNNNNNNNNNNNNNNNNNNNNNNNNNNNNNNUUAAAAAAUUAUGUAGGUCAUGGUUGACUUACUCUCCUCCAUUGUCAGAUCGAAGCGUGGUGAUUUCUGUCAAACUGAGUAGCAACAUAUUGAUAAAAUAACUUGAAUUUGGCAGUGACUUCACUUUUCUGCUUUAAGGAAAAAAUCCAGGUCAUCCGGGUGCAAUCAUCAAUAAACGUCACAAACCACUUAAAACCGCUAAUAGUAGGAACUCGUGAUGGUCCCCAAACAUCAGAAUGGACAAUCAUGAAAGGCAAAGAACUUUUAUUCAAUCUUAAUGGGUAAGAAAUACGAUGGCUUUUGGCCAAAAUGCAAGUUUCACAACGAAAGUCUGAUUCAGCAAACUGGGAAAACAAAUCUGGAAAUAAAAGUUUCAGAUAACCAAAAGAAGCAUGCCCUAAUCAUCUAUGCCAUAGCCAAAUUUUCUUCAUCCUGAUAGACUCAUCUCCUCUCACAUGAUGUGUCUGACUCAAUCUUGUACUGCUGUCUUCUGUCAAGUCCAGAUAAUACAACUUUCCCCUCUUAGUACCACAUCCAAUCACGGUCCUGGUGAGAAGAUCCUGAAAUAGACAAUACAAUGGCCAAAAACACACAGUACAAUUAAGGGAAUCAAUGAUUUGAGGAACAGAUAACAAGUCAUAGUCGAGUGAAGGGACAACUAAGACAUGAUCAAGACUUAAUGAAGAUGUAAGAGAUAAAGACCCUUCUCUCAUAACUUGGGAGGUGGUUCCAUUAGAACUGGUAAUAUGUGUUUGGCUUGAUGGUUUGGUAGAGUGCAACCCAGUAAAACUAGAUGUCAUGUGAUCAGUAGCGCCAGUGUCAAUAAUUCAUGAUCUAUUACAAGUAAGUGAAGAUGUGCAAGAGGUACCUGAGGUGGCCAAGGCCUUGGAGCCAGAUGUACCUGAUGGAGGUUCUGAUGCAGUCUCCUUGGAUGACUGAGCGGAUGCAAAUGAGGCUCUGGUAGAAUCCUUUUUUCGCCCUUUGUGGACCCAUCCUUCUGGAUAACCAAUGAUCUCAUAACAGCCCUUAAUUGUGUGGUUAUCUAAACCACAUUUGGUACACUUCAUUGGAGGCCGGUUACAAGUAGGGUCGACACUAUAGUUGUUCGGCCGAGAUUGUUUGGACCUCGCAGUAGCCAAGGCUGUGGCUUCGGAGGUUACACCAACUUCAGACAUGGUUCCCUGUCGGUUACUUUCUCUUUUAAUAUGUGCAUAUGCGGCCUCCAGUUCGGGUUUUGGCUCCAUCCGCAAAAUCUCUCCUCGGAUUUGAUCGAAAUUAUUGUCCAAACCUGCAAGAAAUAUAUAAACUCGGAGACGAUCAACCUCUUUGCGUCUAGUCUCAAUGUCUUUCGGAUGCUCCAUGGUGCUUGGACUUAAUUGAUCAAGCUCCUGAAAAAUCUCAGUGAGCUCACUAUAAUAUUUGGCAACUGAUGCGCCAGCUUGCUUCAUUAUUAAUGACCGUCUGUGAAGGUCAUAAAUCUUGUCUUCAUCAGCACCAUCUGAAUAGGUUUGCUUGAUUGCGGCCCAGACUUGCUUUGCUGUGUCAUAACGAAUAAAUCGUUUAAUCUGAUUAGGUUGCAUGGCGUCGAACAACCAACUCUUGACUUGGCAAUCCGAUGCACGCCAUUUAUUAAAUGUGGGAUCUGUGUCUGCAGGUUGGGCAAUAUCACCGGUCAAGUGGCCAUGUUUUUCUCACCCAGCUAUCUUCAUCUCUAUGAUUUGAUGCCAUAGAGAAUAAUUAUUCUCAUCCGGUUUGAUUCCUGCGGAGAAGUUGGAGGUGUCACUCUGCAAAGUGACGAUUUAUGUGGUAGUUUUGGAGCCUCCCGACACCAAGGAUUGAUUGGUGUUUACUGACCCGUCAUCGUUGGCCAUGAUAUUGGCUGACAACCAAUGAAAAAAGGACAAAAAAGAAAUAUCAAGUUGAGGAAAAGCAAGUGAACGGUGGACAAAGGCAAUAAGACAAACUGUUUUGCAAUAAGAAAUAUUGGGUUGAAAGGGAAAAAAAGAACAAGGGGAACGGUUUGAAUGGGUCUGUGAGUGGAAAGUGAUUUGCAAUAUUGCAAAACGUGAUUUGACUAGAGGAAAGGUUUGAAUGGGUUUGUAAGAUGGAAUAUGGGUGGUAUUGGUGCUGGGUUUGUGAGAUGGAAUAUUGCUUUUGGUGCUGGUGCUGGUGCUGCGUACUGGAUGGAAUAUUGCAAAACAGUGAUUUGAGAUGGAAUAUGGGCUGGUGCUGGGUCUGUAUGACGGCUGUUGCUGCGGAAGCGAUUAGGGUUAGGGCAAGAGACAGUCAAGAUUGACUGCUCUGAUACCAUAUCAGAUUGGUCAAAAAAUAAUACUUCAUUUAUCUUAAUAUAUAACAAAUAGGAAGGUUAUAUAUACAGAGCCUAGGAAACUAUUUUAGGAAAGUAAUUAUGUUCAUAUAAUCUUGCAUAAUCAAAUAGUUGACUUAGACUAAUUAGGAAUGUACAGCUCAUUGACAUGUUCAGGCUCUACUUCAAGGGUUUGGUGAGCGAGGAAAUGGUUGGAAAUGAGAGAGUGGUGCUGGCUGGGGUUGGGGUUGCUCUAUGCGACUCCAGGGAUAAUUUGGUGUUCGAGGUUUGGAAACCCCUGAUUGGGAAUGGGAUGAGCAAGAAUGGUGCCCUGUUGAAAGCCUUGAUUGAAGGACUUAAUGCUGCUCUUGCUCUGGACUUGAAGCGCAUCACCUUUUUCUGUGAGAAUUUUCCCAUUUUUUUAGUUUGUGAGUUGCUAUCUCUUCUCUGUCUCGUUUCAGUCUAUUGAUGAAAAUUAAUUAGGCUAAUUGUGGGUUUUGCAUUUUAAUAUAACGACAUAUAUGGUUAUGGACGCUGUGGUUUACACUGACCAUGAAAGAGACUCUUGUGAAAGAGGUCUAAAGGAAUGGAACUUAUUAUUAUAUUAGUGUAUACGAUGUUGUAGGUUUUGUUAAUUAAUAUUUUUUUUCUUGGAACAAUAAUGAACUUUCAAUUUUCAGAUAUACUUCAUGAAAUUUGAUAGGGCAAAUCGUAUAUCAUCCAUUGUGGACAAAGAGAUGCAUUCACUUUGAGAAAUUUUACUUGUGUCUUCUCAACAUUUGCUAAAUUAGUUUGCUAUCUUGUAUUUAAAUUGACCAUUAGAGAAAGUCUUGUGAACAAGGUCUAAAAUAAUGGAGUUUAUUAUGACAUUUAUGUGUGCAAUGUUGUAGUACUUGUGUUGAAACCAAGAAUAUUGGAUGUACUAGUCACUGUGCUACGGUCUAUUUACACCCAUGAAUAGAGCUUGUUGAAUUUCUGACAUUAUAUUUUAUGUAUGAAGGUUAAUGGUAAAUGGCAAGCAAAGAACUACCCAAGAGCAAGGGAACUCAAAAUUGGACUUUCGAAAACUGCAUUGCAGUUUCGGAAAUUGCAUUGCAGUUUUCAUUUAAUUACAAUUGAAUUUUUGCUCUUUCCUUGGUCUUCAACCUCACCAAUUUGAAGAGUAAAGGCUACCCAAAUGAGGAAUUGGGGAAAGAGAAAAGUAGAACUACCCAAGAGCAAGAUAACUCAAAAUUGGACUUUUGGAAACUGCAUUGUGGAUUCAGAAACAACAUUGCAGUUUUAGAAACAGCAUUACAGUUUUCGUUUAAUUACAAUUUGAUUUUUGUUCUUUCAUUGGCCUUCAACUUCACCUAUUUGAAGAGUAAAAGCUACCCAAAUGAGGAAUUGAGUGGACAAGAGAAGAUUAAAACUACCCAAGAGCAAGGGAACUCAAAAUUGGACUUUUGGAAACUGCAUUGCAGAUUUGAAAACUGCAUUGCAAUUUCGGAAACUGCAUUGCAGUUUUCAUUUAAUUACAAUUUGAUUUUUAUUCUUUUCUUGGCCUUCAACCUCAUCAAUUUGAAGAGUAGAGGCUACCCAAAUGAGGAAUUGAGUGGGCAAGAGAAGAUAGAACUACCCAAGNNNNNNNNNNNNNNNNNNNNNNNNNNNNNNNNNNNNNNNNNNNNNNNNNNNNNNNNNNNNNNNNNNNNNNNNNNNNNNNNNNNNNNNNNNNNNNNNNNNNNNNNNNNNNNNNNNNNNNNNNNNNNNNNNNNNNNNNNNNNNNNNNNNNNNNNNNNNNNNNNNNNNUAUUUUUAUUGCAGUUUCUGUUUUUAUUUUCAGUUUUGUGGGAUAUGUGUUGAAAUGAUUUUUUUUUUUUUUAAACUGUUGAUUGUUGGUAUAAAUAUUGUAUAAUUGAAUAAAUAUUACAAAAUCAAGUUUGGUGUAGUGGUUUGUGAGUGAGCCUUCCUCCUUUGAGGGUCAAGGUUCAAGUCCCUUCAAUGACACAAAAUAUUUUUUUUUUAAAGGUGAAUAAAGGGCAAUGGAGUUGGUCCCCUACAGACGGUGGCAGGUGGUGGCCGGCGACGGUGGCUUGCAGCGGGAGUCCGGUGGUGGUGGCCGGCGAAGGGUGGCUGGAGGCGGGACUCCGGUGGUGGGAGUCCGGUGGUGGGAGCCCGGUGGUGGGAGCCCGGCGGUGGUGGCCAACGAAGGGUUGCCGGAGGCGGUAGUCUGACGGUGGCCGAAGGCGGGUGACGGCGGUGGUGGCCGGCGAUGGGUGGCUGGCGGUGGUGGCCGGCGAUGGGUGGCUGGCGGUGGUGGCUAUAUAUGGACAUGUGGCAUAGUAUGCUUGCCUUAGAAGGAGUGGCAUUGUGUGCAAUUUUGAUAUUUUUUAAUGAUAUGUUUGUAAAAUUGAGUACUAUAUUUGGUCUUUGGUCUUAUGCUAAUUAGAUGAAAUUGUAUUCUUAUCUUUCAAAUUAGUAAAUUAUAUUAUGUUUUGAAAACUAAAGCUCCCCCUAAAAAUAAGUAAAUUUAAACAAUUGAAGACACGUACGAGCAAUUUUUUUUAAGGGAGCUUUAGGUGAUAUAUUGCGAGUUGCAAGGCCAAGGACCAUUGAAUUACAAAAAUAAAGAUUUGACGGCGGCAACAAAAAACUUCAGUGAAGAAAAAAAACUUGGAGGAGGAGGAUUCGAGGGCAUCUACAGGGUAAAUUAUGUGCUAAAGAGCUCUAAAAUAAUUUAUGUCAGUUCAGUUUAGCACGAUCGAAUAUGGUGUACUCUUUUUUUACAUAAAUAAAGUUUUAAAAAACUGGGAAAAUUGCAUUGUCAAGCUUUUGAUUAUCCAUGCAUAAUGUUCAUUUACAAUUACAUGGUUGGUCAGGGUACUCUAAACAAUGGAAAAGUACGUAGUUGCAGUUAAAAAACUAGCAAUUCUCCAAUCUGACAGGGCAAAGGCGAAUUUCGUAAACGAGGUGAAGCUGAUAUGUAACGUUCAUCACCGGAAUCUCAUUCUUCUUGGAUGUUGUAGCAAAGGACCGUAAUUGCUUCUCAUAUAUGAAUACAUGGCAAACAACAGCCUCUACAGAUUCAUAUUUGGUAAUAAUUUUCGGCUUUUCAGCUCAGCUACCUCUAAAUGCAUGCCUCUCAACUGGAAACAACUAAAUGACAUAAUCCUGGGUACAGCGGGGUCUGGCCUAUUUACAUGAGAAGUUUCAUGAGAUGUAAAAACCAGCAAUGUUGUUUUGGAUGAUAAUUUCCAGCCACCAGAUCUGCCGGAACAUUGUAAGUUAAAGUACUUUCCCACAGGCAUAACCCCUGAUUGAGAUCUAUAUGAUCAUUACUCUUCUACAAUAUUUAUACCGAUAUUGUGUUUUGCCCUACUUAUCUUUCUAUCCGCACACAAAAAGUGUUAUGAAUCUACUACAUACAUCUUGUGUAGCUUGUCACAUUCCAGGAUCGACUCUGCCGUAUCACGAUAUUGUUCGUUUUGAGCCCCCUUCUCUGCCCUCACGGUUUUAUUUCUGAAAACUCACGAGCAACUUUUCAGUGGGUCUCCUAUCCUGGGAUUGCUCUAACCCCCAACUCGCUUAACUUCGAAAUUCCCAUGACUCCGAAGCCAGUGAACUCCCAAAAAACCUCGUACUAGAUAAAAACGAGUAUGUAUAUAUAAGACACAUUAUCCUCUCUCCGUUGAUCGAUAUGGAAUGUUACAUAGCCGAAGAGGAGUACAUCACCAUCAUGGUGAUGNNNNNNNNNNNNNNNNNNNNNNNNNNNNNNNNNNNNNNNNNNNNNNNNNNNNNNNNNNNNNNNNNNNNNNNNNNNNNNNNNNNNNNNNNNNNNNNNNNNNUCAGCACAAGUAUGCUAAAGAUCUACUGCAAAAGGGCUGGUCUGAGUAAUUGUAAGGCUUCUCCUACUCCUUGCAAGCCACAUAAUCAAGUCUUAAUGUCUGAAGGAGAACCACUGCAUGAUCCUACAUUUUAUAGAAGUAUUGUUGGUGCCUUACAAUACUUAACUUUCAUAAGACCUGACUUAUCCUAUGCUGUCAAUACUGUGUGUCAGUGUAUGACUGCUCCCACUGAGAUACAUUUCAACCUGGUCAAAAGAAUUUUGAGAUACAUUCAAGGUACCAUGAAUUAUGGAAUUCACUUUAUUCAUGGUCCUUGGAAAUUACAAGCUUAUAGUGAUGUUAACUGGGCGGGGGAUUUAAAUGCUAGGAGGUCAACUACAGGUUUUGUGGUAUUGCUUGGACAUAAUCCUAUCUCAUGGCAGUCUAAGAAGCAAGGGUCUGCAUCCAGAAAUUCUACAGAGGCCGAGUAUAGGGCUUUGGCUAGUACAGCUGCAGAUUUGGGUUGGAUUCGAAAGGUUUUGCUAGACUUGAAAGUGUGCUUGCCUCUACCUCCUACCAUCUUUUGUGAUAAUCUAUCUGCUUUGGCACUUAGUAGUAAUCCUGUGUUUCAUUCACGAAUUAAACACUUGGAUACAGAUUUUCACUUUGUUCGUGAAAGGGUUCAAAGGAAUGAUCUGAUUGUUUAGUAUGUUCCCACUCAAGAGCAAAUCGCAGAUGUAUUUACUAAAGGACUGCAUAGUCCUAUUUUCUUGAGUCACUGUACUAGUAUGCGACUUGGAAAUCCAUAGCAGGAUCCAGAGUUGGGUUUGAGGGGGAAUGAUAACAAUAUUAGUUAGUUUGUUAAGCUGUCACGUGUGCUCACGUGUUGUUAGUUAGUAGUAACUAUAAUUAGUUAAGAGUGUUAAGUCUUGGUUAUUGAGAUAUAACACUAAUGAAACUGCCGUUGUAAUUCAUUAUAUACAGAGCAUAUCAUUUCUUCUUCCUUCUUAGUCUUCUCAAUUCUUAAGCUUCCUUUUCUAAACUGUUAUCAGAUGGAACCCUAUCACACCAGAAUUGUGGCAAAUCUGGUAUAGCCGAUUCAGGUUAUUUUCACUAUAUAUCUUUCAGAAGUAUCUGUAACGGGGCAAAUCUCCAUCAAUCCUCUUCUUUUCAGUUUAUCUUUAUGCCCAUUCAUGCAUGUAUAUAUUAUACGAAGAAGUUUUUGACAUAUGGCAUGUAUUGUGUGUCAAAUGUAUACCGAUUCACGAAGACAGGUUCAAGAUCACAUACACCAUAUUCACCUUCAUUUCUUUUUGUUUAUUCUGGGUUUCUGCAAUUUGAAUCACAUUAAAAAACAAAUACUGAACAGUGAUAUAUUCAAUAUUGAUCGGCAUCACAAUUUCAUAUUUCAUAUUGCACUACGAAGGAAAAUAAAACUUACCCCACAGAGAAACAGGAUCCCCUUAUCUGAACCAGUUAUGUUACCUCCUAGUGCCUUCACAAAAAGCCUAAUGAACUCAGGAUUCAUAUGUAGCCCCAGUAAUUAUAUUACCAUCAACAACAGACGCCAACAUGGUCUCGGGUUCCACCCAAUAAGCACCUGCAGGCUGCAGCAACAAGUACAGGUCUGACAGCUGGGAAGGCCGUUAUAGUAUAGCCGCGCGGCUAUACUCUAUAACACUUUAAAGGUAUAGCCGCACUAUACUCCAUAGAAUAUCGCAAACAUAUAGCUGCGCGGCUAUACGCCAUAAGCUGAAUAUUUUAAAAGUACAGCCGCACCGCUAUACUCCAAAAAUUAUAAUAUCAUAAAAGUAUAGCCGAUCGGCUAUACGCGAUAAAUAAAAUAUUUCAAAUUGGCUAUACUCGAAAAAUAGAAAACCAAAAAACAUAUUAAAAUAAAGGGGACCAGAAAGACAUAUAUAUAGCAUUUGAAGAUUUGUAAAUUAAACACAGAUCACGAUUCAGUAAACCUAGGUAGCCCAUUAUCAGAUUAUUUUCACUUAGAGACGAAGGCACUAAUGCAAUUUUGUUUAUUUUGGGUUUACAAAUUCAAGUGAAGUAAACAUUCAAUCUUCAAUAUAAUUGAGUGUGCUUGAUUACAGAGCAUGGAAAAUACCAAUUGACGGUGCUCAAGUGAUGUAAUGAGGCUAAAGAAUAAAUUUUUAUCAUAUAAUCAUUAAAUAUGUUCACUAUGUCAUCGUUAUAUGUAAAUUUUUCAGAAAUAUAUAAACUAGCUAGGAUGUACGUGAAUUCGAAUUUGGAUACAUGAAAUAUUAUUACCUACUACAUCAUUUGACGAACAUAUUUGAUGUUCCUAACAAUUCUAUGUGUACUAGUAAAGUACUUUGUCUUUAAUUUGGAAGUAUCCGAAAGCAUAAUUAAUGUUUUUCAUAUAUUAUCUCGCAGGAGGCAAUUCAAGAAAGAAAGCCAUCAUUAUUGGAGUCGUAGUUGGAGGUGUAGGUCUUUUUAUCCUCAUUGUUGGAGUUUUUCUCUAUUUUAAACUUUCAAGAAAGCCCGAGGCUGCCACAACCACAAAAUUCGAAGUUGCACUUCCUCUUGCAUAUAUACUAUUAUUCAAUUAGCUCCUGCUCUAACUAUGUAUAUAAGAAUGUGAAGGCAAAGAGUCCCACAUUUGAAAGUUGUGAAACCUAGCAAGGGCUUAUAAGAAGUUGGGCUACUCCCCCCAUUGCCAAUUGGUUUUGGGCUUAUCAGAGCGGGUUGCCCACGUGUGAAAGCCCAAUCACGACACGUGCUCCACGUCACCCAAAAUGUGUUGUUUACGUGUUAGGCUUGAAAAUUCUCCACACGUGCAGGGACGUGUGAGAAUGUGAAAGUAAAGAGUCUCACAUUGGAAACUUGUGAAACCUUACAAAGACUUAUAAGGAGUUGGGCUACUCCCCCCAUUGCCAAUUGGUUUUUGGGUAAAUUAUAUGCUAAAGUGCUCUAAAAUAAUUUAUUAGUAUGCAUCAUACAUAGAGAUACAAAAACUAGCAAUAUUAUUUUGGAUGAUAGUUUCCAGCCCAAAAUCAAUUUUGGGCUGGCAAGGCUUCUACCAAAUGAUUAGACUCAUCUUAUUAGAACCAGAUCUGCUGGAACAUUGUAAGUUAAAUUACUUUCUCACAGGCAUAACCCUUGAUGGAGAUCUAUAUGAUCAUUACUCUUCUACAAUAUUUAUACCGGUAUUGUGUUUUGCCCUACUUACCGUUCUAUCCGCACACAAAAAGUGUUAUGAAUCUAUUACAUACAUCUUGUGUAGCCGAAGAGGACUAGUAUAUCUCCACCAUCAUGGUGAUGCUCUCUAGUGUUUCUCUCUAUGGUGAAGUGUCUCUCACUUCUGUUUUAGCCUAUCUGGGCAAUGGUGCUCACGGCACCUCCUACUAAGCCUUCUUUAAAUAACCAAAGAAUUUGGUCCAGCAGCUGCAUGCAUGAAAAAACCGUGCAAGUUGUCCUGAGCACCUUCAAAGUCCUCCACCACAAGACACAGAACAUUAAUGCACCGAAAAAGCACAACCACCAGCAUUCGCAAAGAAGCCAGCCGCUCCUCUUUCUCAUGUCCUUGGUGCAGCACAGUGGGGCACACCUGCACACACAUCUCCUGCUGUCAACCGAAGUCCCUCUUUAUGCAUAGCCCAAGUUGGCUUCUCAAAGAACCCAAGCCAAAAAGUAAUAGCAAUAAUACAAAGCCUACUCUCUCUCUCUCUCUCUCUCACGGGUACACAGACCAACAAUGUGGCCAAUAAACGAAGGAAAAUGCUGGCAACCUUAUCUCCAACCUUAUUUUUGGACAUUUUCCCUUUUCCUCAUGACAUAUGUCACAUCCCAUACACUUGAAAACAAUGACAUUAAUACAUUAAACAAACUACCUUUUGUUUUCGAAGUUUACCCUUAUUAAAUGUAUUGUCUUUCAAUUUAUCCAAAAAUUUUUACAACUCUCUUACUACAUUUAAAAAAUUAAAAAAAUUAAAAAAAUUCAGUUUAAAAAAAAAAAAACAUGUUGUUAUAAAACUAGAGGGAGAAAAUGUAGAGAGAAGUGAUAUGCUAAAGACAAAGUUUCACCAUGUUUAUUCUACCUUAAUCUUUGGUAGAACCACCUAUUUAUAGGCUUACAAGAUAGGAGAUUGAAUACCAUCAUUUACAAUAUACCUAUAGGUUACAAGCAUUAAUUACAAAUACUUAGUGCAUAGGUUACAUAAAAUCCAACGGUGGAAUAUUAAGAGGUAUGGUGGUCAUCCACCAACUCAUGCAUUUACAACACUCCCCCUUGGAUGUCCACCAUACAAUGACAUUGUUUCCUCAUUAAAAACCUUGCUUGGAAAACCCUGUGGGACAAAACCAAAGCGAAGGGAAAAAGAGUGAAACUUUCUUCUGAAUCAUUGAUAUGGUGUUGGAUGAGCUUAUAUUGCCUCGUUAAAACCUUGCUAGGAAAAACCCAGUGGGACAAAAACCUAGUCGAAGGGAAAAAGAGUACAACGCGCAUAUGCCUUGAAUGUAGUAGAAUUGGGAUGCUCCCCCUCAUUGAUAUCUCCCCCUGAUUAAUAUCUCUCCUUCUCUGAUUUGAGCAAUACAAGCAACAUUGUCUUCAUACAUGAUCGUCUAUCACACUAUUCAACCUGCUUUUCACUUUUCAAAUGAUUGAAAUCUUUAGGAGUAUCAACAACUAAUUUAGUAGUUAGAAUAUGUUACAACAAUAUCAAAUUUGAAUUCAAAAUACUCAAACUCUUAGUGUUAACUCUUAAUUAAGAAUAUUGUGGUACUUUAUAUCCUUCAAGAGGUUGCUUCAUCUGAUAUAUCUCAAAUAUUUCAUGAGCUUUGAGGAUUUCCAUGUACCAUAUAGUCUUAAUAAAUAUGCAUUUAACACAUACUAUAAGUUUUGCGUUAAAGUAACAACCGCACUUAUAGAAAUGUGGAUGCAUUUACGAUGAGAUUGGAGACUAAAACCACAUGUACCUCUCCCAGGAAACCUUAUGUCAUAUUAGUGAUCUUAUUUCACUUCACAAACACCAAUUCGUAACCUUCAUACUGAACAUUUGUAAUUUGGUGUUUGAGUUAUAGGUUCAAUAUCCAACUCUUCUUAUUUAGUGAUAAAUGGAAUUGCCUAUUUCCAUUUUUGGCCAAUCACUUAACUUGUCGACAUUCAUGAAACGUGAUUUAAUAUAAUCAUAGCCCUUGAUGAUUGUAGUAGUUACUAAUAAACCAAAUGUAUCAUCAAUUUGUGAUCCCACAAUUCUCAUGUGCAUGCGCAUGCAUAAUUUAUAAGCAUCUCAUUACUUUAGGGUACCAAUGCCUCUUCAAGGGCUUAUGUUGUCACUUAUGGGACAAACAUCUCUUUUACAAUAAAUUAUUUAGAAUAUGUGGAUCAUAACCUCCUAUAGAGCGUUAUUUUUUAUAGAGCUUGAAUUUUUCAAAUAAUCUCCAUUUCUAGGGAGUUAAGUUUUUAGAACCUAUAUUUUUGUCAUGCUUCAGGCAUGCAUUAUAUAUAUAGUCACCAUGUUAAUGGAUUGUGAUACGAGAAUAUCAAUCCAUGUUAGCAUAUGUACAACUUAUAUAUGCAUUUUCUUGAUGAGACAAAAGUGGAUUGAUUCAACACUAUUUCACGAUGUUCUUCAGGAACUGUCAUUUCUCCCCCUAACGGCGGGAAAAUUAUCUCAAAAUUUAGGAAAAUAAACUCACCAUCAUUAUCAAUUCAAAUUGACUGGAUUGGAUAAUGUGGGAGUUGUGCUCGUCAGCGUCUUGACAAGAGAUAAAUAUGUAACCACUUUAGUAGGCAUAUUCAACAAAACUGGUGAAGUGAUCCAUAAUUAAAUGUUGUAUAGGCUCACAAAUAUCCCAUUGAAUUAUGGCUCAAAGUCAAUUUUUGACUGAGAUGAUCUUAUGACAACUUUUAUUUGUGAGCGUUCUUUGUAAUGAUAUUGUUGGACAAGACAAUAAUUUGAGUCUUUAAACGAUGUCCUUACAAAUUUAUAAAAAUCUUAUGCAUCAUUGUGGGACAUGGAUUGCCAAGAUAGUCAUGUCACAACAUAAAAGUUAUUCGGUCAAUGAACUUCUAGUUCAUGACAUCAUAAUCUUCAACUAUAAUAGUUGUGUAAUAUUGGGGGCCUCAAGAACUUUUGGUUCAUAACAUCAUAAACUUCCUACCCACAAAAGAAAGUAGGAAGUUUCUCCAAUAGACGCCUCUGGCUAUCAAUAUUGGGGCGGUAAUACAAAACAUUACCAUUGUAAAACGAAAUUAAUUAAUAACCUAACAUAAAUAAAAUAAAAUAUAAUAAAAUAAGUAAAGUGGUAUAAACAAGGAAUAAAAUAAAUCAAUUAAAGAUUAUGAAAUUCCAAGAUAAUCCAGUAUUAAUGUGGAUUCAAUAUGUAGAUAAAACUACAAGUUUAAGAAUUGGAUUUCCAACCAAUUCAGGUUCAUAUAGGCACAAAUAAGUAAUGAACUUUAGGUUCAUAUCAAUCUAUAUUCGAAACUUCGGGUUCGAAUAUGUAGAUCUAAAUAAAUUGAAUUAAUAGUUGUGCUUUGAACUUCAUACUCAAAUCGAUGUAUAUGCACUCGAAACUUCUGGUUCGAGUUCUUGACACAUGUAGGCCUCAUGGAAUUCUGAUUUUGAUUAAUACAAAAUCGAGGAGUUUCAUGUCCUUAUGUGCUCUUUAAAUUCGCGGAACUUCACGCCCUCAAUUAUUUGGAAUCAAAGAACUUCAGGUUCUGAUUCAAUCAAAAGGACUCUAUAUCCUAAUCUAGUUAUAUGAUGAGGAUCACGGAACUUCGGGCCCCUGAUCUUUUGUAUAAUUCAAACUCAUCAUAAUAAUUAAGAUCAUACUUAAAAUUAAAUAAACAAACAAAUAAAAACAAAAACAUGGCAUUAUAUUCAUGUGUAAUAAGAAUAAGAAUUUUUUUUCUUAAACAAGCAUGAUGAAGUCUGAUGGUGAGUACAAAGAAACUCUAUACCAUGUGAUGACUCUAGCUCAUAUAAGAAGAAAGAAAAUUCAGAGAAAGAAAACAUACCAAGAGCAAUGUCGUGCUGAUAACAUGUUAUAAAACUAGAGGGAGAAAAUGUAGAGAGAAGUGAUAUGCUAAAGACAAAGUUUCACCAUGUUUAUUCUACCUUAAUCUUUGGUAGAACCACCUAUUUAUAGGCUUACAAGAUAGGAGAUUGAAUACCAUCAUUUACAAUAUACCUAUAGGUUACAAGCAUUAAUUACAAAUACUUAGUGCAUAGGUUACAUAAAAUCCAACGGUGGAAUAUUAAGAGGUAUGGUGGUCAUCCACCAACUCAUGUAUUUACAACACAUGUCUAUUUUUUUAGAUUGGAAAACGUUUUUUUUAACACAAGAAUGACCUCAAAAAAAAAAAAAAAUCAACGAAAGAAAGAUUGUUUUUUUUAUACGGACAAAAGACAUCCUUCUAAAGAAGUCUGUAGUCAAAGGAAGUUCAUUGAUUGGAUUUUCAAACCAUUAAUUCGGUAAGUUUGAUUAUUGAUUUUUUUUUUCAAGACCAUUAAUUAGUUAAGUCUUAUUUGUUGGAGUCUUUCAGAAAAGAAAAAAACAAACAAACGUUUUUUCUUAUUUAAUUUUUUAAGUCUUAUUUGAAUGUCUCCUUAUUCCCUUUGGAGUCUUAAAAAAAAGACUUUUUCUCAAUUAAUUUUUGAACAAGGCGAUAAGAAAAUUGUAAAAAAUUUAGAUAAGAAAUUUAAAGAAAUAUUAAAAUCAAUACGUUUAAUAAGGGCUGAUUUGAAAAACAAAUGUUAGCUUGUUUGAUGCAUUAAUUGCAUUGUUUUGAGUUUUUAAAAAGUGACACAUAUCAUGAGAAAGAGAGAGAAUGUCCAAAAGAGAAGGUUAGAGAAAAAGUAGCUAUCAAAGCUUUUUCACAAAGUUAGACACACACGCCCACCAAGUUGGAUUCCAAUUGCUUUAGGUGUAGAUCACUCUAGUGCUGGAACCCACUCCAUGUGUGUCUCCAGCCUUUUAACAAAGAUGGCACGUGCCGUCAUUUCCCCAUUUGAAAACCCACGGUAUGACAAAUGAAGAAAGCUAGCAAACAAACAAGGAUAAAGUAGCCUUUACACAAUUAACAAUACAAUUUGGGCCAAUUUUCAACAGUGAAGGCAUCUUAUUGCAUUCUCCGGAGCCUUUCUUUUUCGAAAUAAGGAUAGAUUUUAAUUUAAACGCUAGAUCUGAAAGCAGAUUCAAUGAUUUCCAUAAAAAUCAUAAUCAACAUUACGUAGUUACAAACAUACAAGAUCCAUCCACAAUUGGUACAUAUAGAGCAGAAUCCGAGCAUCAUUGUUCCCUCACAGAUACACACAACACCUUCACAUAUGCUCUUAUUCUUUUAUUGAAUUACACGGAGUUUCUGGCUAUGCUUCUUUUUCUUUUAUUCUCUUAUUCGUUUAUGGAAUUCCAUAUAUUCCUUGGAAGCAGCAGACCCGGUAAAGGGUGCCUAGAAUGAUACUCGAAUAUCAAGCAAUCUCAUCAACUGAGAAAUAAGCUCUGGUUGGCCAUGCCACGCUGCUGCGGUAACCAGAUUUCCAUCAGUGACACAACGAUCUAUUGGAUCCGCUUCCACAAACGUCCCUCCUGACGAAACCACACGAGCCUUAAUCCCUGGGUAUCCAGUACAUUUCUUCCCCUGAAAUAUAGCCAAUUGAACCAAUUAUAUGACAUGCUAAAAAGUGCCUAAUCAGUUAAUAAGUACAUUAACCACUAAUCAAAAGAAACAGAAAAAAUAUCAUCUCCUUUGCGAUUUUAAAGAGUACUCACCUCCCUCUUCCCCAUAGUUAUUUACAAUUGAGAGGUUAAUAGGUCACAACAGAUCAGCUCAACAGAACCAAAAUACAAAGCACUACCACUAACUAUGUUUUUUUCUUUAAGAACCAUACCUGCAGAACACCAGCAGCAACUAAAAUUUCCAGGCCAUGGCAGAUGGAUGCAACUGGUUUCCCGGCUUCCAUAAAUUGUUUCACUAGUACAAUAACAUCCUCCUUUAGUGCCAAAAACUCUGGAGCUUUACCUCCAGGGAGUACAAGAGCGUCAUAACUUGAGGCAUCUAUGGAUUCAAAGUCAGCUGUUAAAACAAAAUUAUGUCCCCGGAUCUCACUGUAGGUUUGGCCCCCUUCAAGAUCACGGAUAGCAGUUGGGCAGGUAUCACCGGCUUUCUUCUUGGGGCAAACCACAUCAACAUGGCAUCCUAGAACUUUGAGGGUCUGAUAAGGCACAGUUACCUCAUAAUCUUCCGCGUAGUUCUACAAAUAUUGGGGAGGGGAGCAAUUAAAUGAUGAUGAUUAGUAACUAACAGUUUAAUCAUUGGCUAUAUUUUGUCCCAUAUUUGUCAUUGCAAUAUAAAAGAAACAGAAAAGAAAGCUUACUCCAAUGAUGAUGAGGACCCUUCUCUCUGAAGCACAUAUUUUGCCUCCCAGUGCCUGAGAAAAAGCCUAAUGAACUCAGGAUUGCCAUAAUAUGUGACCCCAGUAAUUAAAUUAUCAUCAGCAACACACACUGACAAUGUAUCGGGUUCUACCCAGUGAGCACCAGCAGCAACCAAUCCAGGUUUCAUAGUUGAAACCGCGGUGCAUUUGCGACCUUUAACAGCGCCUGCAGGUGCUAAGACCAACAGCCCAUGGCAAAUAGCAGCAAUUGGCUUUCUGCAGUCAGAAAAUUUUCUCGCCAAUUCUACAACGGAUGCCUUCAUAGCAAGAUGUUCAGGAGAUCGUCCUCCUGGUAUAACUAGACCAUCAUAUUUGUCAAUUUCGAUGUCAUCAAAUGUUGCAUUCAGUGUGAAAUUGUGACCACGAGAUUCUUUAUUAGCCUGUAACCAAAAAGGUACACGAAAGAAAACCAAACACAACACACACAUUAAAACAAGAGUAAUGGUUAGGUGAAUUCAAGCUUCUUUGUCUUGCUUGUCUCUCAAACUCAAACUCAAACUCAAACUCAAACUCAUCAGAGGUUGUUUUCCAACAACUGUGUUCAAUAUUAAACAUAUAAAAUAUAUUCCUCUUGUUUACAAAUAAAAAAGAACAGGAAAGACAGGAAAGACAGAAUUUGACCUGGUCAGUGGACUCUACUUGAAUGGUUAUGGCAGUGGCGCAGAUAUCACCAGCUUUCUUGACAGGAGAAACUGCAUCAACAGAGACUCCAAAUGCCUGCAGUGCUUGAAAUGGGACCAUUGCCUCGUAAUCUUCCAUGUAGUCCCCGCACAGUAACAACACCCUCCUCUGCACCUCGCCUUUCGGAUUCCCCAUUUCUUUUCUUAUUUCCUUCUUUAGUUUCUUUCUUCUUUUUCAGAGAGAGAGAGUUUUCAGAGAGAUUUUUCAGAGAGAGAGAGAGAGGGAGAGAGUCUGAAUACAAGAAGGUAGGUUAUAGCUUGAGCUGCUCUGCUUUGCUUACUUAAAUACUCACAAAAGCGUUUUUGGAGGUUUGUGGAGUCAGCUCGAUACGGUCGCACGCAAUUUGAGCAACACAUCGCAGUCAGUUAUCGUGGCAUCUCUCUAUUCGCCGCUUCUUUUCAGUUCGGAUAACUAUUCUAUUAGUUUCGAGCCUAUCACCGUCUCCAUGUUUGAUACGUUUUUUUGUUGUCUUCUUUACCGACCAAGUGAGUCUAAAUUAUUGAAACUUAAGUUUGUUCUCUUCACGGACCAAGGGGGUCUAAAUUAUUGGAGGAAGAUUGAAACUUGAGUUUGUUCUCUUCACGGACCAAGUGAGUCUAAAUUAUUGGAGGAAGAUUGAAACUCGAGUGCAAAGAGACGGAUUUAUUCUCUUGUUGUGAAUACAAGUAAUGGUCUAAAUUAUUAGAGAAGUAUUCUAACUUGAGUGCAAAGAGCACAAACUUAAGUGCAAAAGAGUGGACUCACUGUCUUAUUACGAGUGCAAAUGAUAGUCUAAAUUAUUAGAGAAAUAUUCAAAUUAUAGUGCAAAGAAGCAUACUCACUGUCUUAUUGUGAAUAUUCGAAUAUUCGAGCUCAAUGCUUCCUUUUCGAUUGAAAAAAAAAAGAAAAAAAGAAGCUCAAUGCUUCCAAGCUAAUGUCCCUAUACUAUAGAAAAGCUCUUUAGAGUCGUCAUCCUCUUCUUCUUGCCUUCAUUGUAGCAUGUGUGUGGGCCCAAUAGUAAAGCUCAAUGCUUCCAAGCUAAUGUCCCUAUACUAUAGAUUAUAGAAAAGCUCUUUGGAGUCCUCAUCUUCCUCUUGCCUUCAUUGUAGCACGUGUGUGGCCCAAUAGAAAAGCUAAUGUCCCUAUAUUAUAUGGACUAUGCGGACAGUGAUGGAUUCAAGAUUAUGUGGCCAAGGGGGCUUAGUGUAAAGUUCCGAAAUUUUUCUACAAAGAAAAUAAUGCUAAAAAAAUAUAAAGAUAGUACUAUAAUCCGUCAUUUGAGUUCUUAGUCCAGGGUCUUCCUGAAAAUUAGCUAAUAUCUCAUCUACUUCAAUUGGUCUUGCAUUUGAACUACCUGGGUUAGGCGAAGAAGGACUAUCCGUAGAUAAUUUUCUUUUAAAGAUUCGUUCCAUAAAUCUACAAAUCAAUUAAUUCAAUCAAUCAUUAAUUUUUAUCCAAAUUAUCAUAUGAAUAUGAAAAUUUCAAUAAUCCACUCUCAAUAUUCAAUAUAUCUAAACCCAUAUUAAUCAAUAUUCAAUAUACCAAUACUUACGAAUGAAAGUUCCAGCGACAUCAGGGAAUUUUUCCCUUAUGUAAUUGUCCAAUCAAUAUUCAAAAUAAUCAAUCAAUUCACAUUAUCAAGCAUAAACUCACUCAAUCUACAUUAUCCAUCAAUAUGAUUCAUAUACAUAAAUUUCAUUACAUAAAAAAUAUCAAUAUCAACAAUAUAUAUUAUCACUAUAAGGGUUGGGAGAUUGGGAAUGAAGGGUGGGUUGGAAGAUUGGGACAGGUUAGGGUUUGAAAGGGUGGGAAGAGCUGUGAAAUUGUGAAAGGACCCGCCCCGAAUUUUCUCAAAACCCGAGACGAACCCUUUGGAAUUCCUGACAUCACUCCGAUGCCAGACCCACUUACUAAAAACCGAGACUCCCUGCCGAAAUUUCGGCAGAGUCUCCCCUAUAAAUUGGACAUUUUCCAAAAUUUAUACCUGCAUGAAAAUGCAUUUAAUAUUCCCAACUGGCAGCAUGCACAAUAUAAUUUCAUGCAAAUUCUCAUAAAUGGCCUUCGGCCUUCAAUUAAUUCUCAAACAACUACCAAGCAAUUCAAAUACAAAUUAUGACUAAUAUUUAGUCUGCGGCUGCACCUAAUAACCUUAGGCUGCCUACGUACCCUCCUUGAGAGAUCAAGCCACACGUAGUUCUUCCUUAAAAACCCAAUUCCACACUUGGGCGAUGCCUUAUUUCAUUUCUCUGUAUUUCACAUAUUCUCCCCAUACGCCGGUACAACCAACGCCACGUAUGAGGCCUGUCAACACGCCGGAUAACCUACGCCACGUGCGACCAUGCCAUACUAUCAUAAUAUCUCCCUAUUCGCCGGUACAACCAACGCCACGUAUGGGGCCUGUCCCAAAGCCGGAUAACCUACGCCACGCGGGACCUCAAUAUCAUAUCACAAAUCUCCCCAUACGCCAGUACAACCAACGCCACGUAUGGGGUCUGUCGACACGCCAGAUAACCUACGCCACGUGAGACCUGAACAUCAUAUUACAUAGCUCCCCAUACGCCGGUACAAUCAACACCACGUAUGGGGUCUGUCCCAACGCCGGAUAACCUACGCCACGCAUGGGGUCUGUCCCAACGCCGGAUAACUUCCACUUGGUGGUACAUGUAGUGAAUCCAACGUCCGAGGAGGUACCUACAGCAGUGCGUAUAGCACUCCAAACUGACAUUCUUGACUCUGUUGUACCCUUGUACAACCACAUAUAAUUAUAUUUAUAUAAAUUAAUUCUUAUAUUGUGUAACCCUCCACAAUAGUCUAGCUCCCGAUAAACCCACCCCCCCCCCCCCCCCGGAAGGGGGAGAUUACUCCGGGAGAUUCACGGUCAACCAAGGGUCAAACUACUCUAACCCUGGUCAAACGGACUUGCAGAACCCAUGACCUCCAAUUUCCGAUCCGAAAGUCUCUAUGGGUUCUACCAGGUAUAGGACACUUGUCCUGCGAGUUUGGUUCAGAUCAGACGAUCGGAUUUCUCACGAUCGCAUGAUCUGACAGUUAAUAUAAAAUAUAAACUUUAAAUUAUUAUUCGGAACAUCUGGGGCUCCGAUUCACGAUCCGUGAAUUCCUACACGAUCCUAGAAAUACCUAGAUUAACAUAUAUUAAAUUUGGGACCAUCAGACGGUCCCAACCUAUCGAACCCAGAUAACGCAUAAUAUGCGAUUAUCCGUUCGAUAGUCAAACGACGUCCGAAUUGAGAUCCGCGAAUCCUACGCACUCGUGACAACCUAAGGAUCUCAUCAGAACACAGUGCUAUUUUUCUACAGUGCCCACGCGCCAGCAGCGCGUGGGUGCCCAAAGCGAUAAUGCUUCGCCGGAAAAUCUCAAAACCACGGCUCCAAACUCCUACCCUAGGUAUAACACCCUAUUUGGAGCCACUUUUGUUCUUGGACCUACCCCAAAAAGUGGCCGGAAAUGGCCGAUCACGGCAGCCGAAGUUUCGGCCGAUUUUCAAUUCGAAAAUUGAGUUGGCUACGCUAAGAAUUGAUCUAAUCCUAUCCAACCAUCAGCUAGAGCAGCUCGAGAGGUUCAAAAUCCAUACAUGGGUCGACGGAAUUGGUGGCCGGAGGAGGGAGAUCGGCGGCCGUGAAAAUCGGGCGACAUCCGGGCGAAAAUCGCCAUUUUCUGGCGGCUGGAGCAGCGGCCGAUGUCGGGGGUGGGCUGGGUCGUGACGCCGAGGCCGAGCCGGUUCUUUUGGUACCGGCCCCGUCCGCAGCCGCGGCCGGUGGCUGGAGUUACGAGGAGAGAGAGAGAGAGAGAGAGAGAGAGAGAGAGAGAGCCGACGGGAGAGAGAGAGAGAGAUCGCGGGAGAGAGAGAGAGAGAGAGAUCGUGGGAGAGAGAGAGAGAGAGAGAGAGAGAGAGAAACCAGAUUUUAUAAAAAAUCCCAUUUCGAAAUAUUUACGAUUAUGCCACUGGGCUUCUUUUGACCAUAUCUCUCUCGUUACAACUCCGAUUCGAGCCCACUACGUGUCUAUGAACUCGUCUCAGUACGACCUAUCCAAAAAUACAAGUCACGGUCCAAAACUCUCUGCAGUAGUGUGUAUAGCACUCCAAACUGACAUUCUAGACUCUGUUGUACCCUUGUACAACCACAUAUAAUUAUAUUUAUAUAAAUUAAUUCUAAUAUUGUGUAACCCUCCACAAUAGUCUAGCUCCCAAUAAUCCCCCCCCCCCCCCCACAAGGGUGAGAUUACUCCGGGAGAUUCACGGUCAACCAAGGGUCAAACUACUCUAACCCUAGUCAAACGGACUUGCAGAACCCACGACCUCCAAUUUCCGAUCCGAAAGUCUCUAUGGGUUCUACCAGGUAUAGGACACUUGUCCUGCGAGUUUGGUUCAGAUCAGACGGUCGGAUUUCUCACGAUCGCAUGAUCUGACGGUUAAUAUAAAAUAUAAACUUUAAAUUAUUAUUCGGAACAUCCGGGGCUCCGAUUCACGAUCCGUGAAUUCCUACACGAUCCUAGAAAUACCUAGAUUAACAUAUAUUAAAUUUGGGACCAUCCGACAGUCCCAACCUAUCCAACCCGGAUAACGCAUAAUAUGCGAUUAUCCGUUCGAUAGUCAAACGACGUCCGAAUUGAGAUCCACGAAAUCCUACGCACUCGUGACAACCUAAGGAUCUCAUCGGAACACAGUGCUAUUUUUCUACAGUGCCCACGCGCCGCCGCACACGCCGGCAGCGUGUGGGUGCCCAAAGCGAUAACGCGUCGCCGGAAAAUCUCAAAACCACGGUUUCAAACUCCUACCCUAGGUAUAACACCCUAUUUGGAGCCACUUUUGUUCUUGGACCUACCCCAAAACGUGGCCGGAAAUGGCCGAUCACGGCGGCCGAAGUUUCGGCCGAUUUUCAAUUCGAAAAUUGAGUUGGCUACGCUAAGAAUCGAUCUAAUCCUACCCAACCAUCAGCUAGAGCAGCUCGAGAGGUUCAAAAUCCAUACCUGGGUCGACGGAAUUGGUGGCCGGAGGAGGGAGAUCGGCGACCGUGAAGAUCGGGUGACAUCCGGGCGAAAAUCGCCAUUUUCCAACGGCUGGAGAAAAACCAGAUUUUAUAAAAAAAUCUCAUUUUGAAAUAUUUACGAUUAUGCCACUGGGCUUCUUUUGACCGUAUCUCUCUCAUUACAACUCCGAUUCGAGCCUACUACGUGUCUAUGAACUCGUCUCAGUACGACCUAUCCAAAAAUACAAGUCACGGUCCCAGACUCUCUCCGGUUAAAAAUAUGACUAAAAUACCCUUAAAUAAUUAAAUAAUUAAAUAAUUAAAUAAUUAAAUAAUUAAAUAAGGGUAAAAUUUGGGGUCGGGGUGUUACAAAUUGGGAAUGAAGGGUUUGGAGGCGCUGUGCAUUCGGGUAAGUGAUUCGGUGUUCUUUUUUUUUAUGUUUUUUGUUUUUUUAAACUUGGCCCAAAACGACGUCGUUUUGAAGCCAGGUCAAUUAAAAAAAAUUUGACUGAGCCUUGGACCAAACGACGUAGUUUGGCAAGGCUCGUUUUAGAAAAAAGGGAUGCGCAGCUUGAGCGGGCAAGGCACAGCGCAGCUGCGCAAUAGAAGAAAAAAUGGCAUGGGACUUUUGUCGAGCAGUUGGUGUGCGUACCAGGGGUCAUCCAGCAGCUGUCCAAGGGGGCUUUCAUGGAUUCCCUUGCCAAUUUUCCUGCCUUCCAAGGGGUCAUCGGACCCCUCUUGUCCCAAUGUGCGUCCGCCAAUGCAUGCGGAUAAAUAAAUGUAAUGUUUAUCUCUAACAGAUCAUGCUUUUUGAGCUGUGAUAGUUUUGGAAUAGUGUUCGCGUGCAUUUUACCUCGACUGCCAUGUUGAUUUUCACCAGAGCAGCAAAGCUGCUUGCUUUGUGUUAUGAGGUCUGGUUUUGUCAACAAACUAUAUUGCUUGACCCAGAAGAAAAUGCAAUAUCAUGUGGAUCCUCAUUUCGCAGUUGCAGGAGGAUGGUUGUGAAAAUACAAGAGCUAAUUCUGGAUAACAUGAUAUUUGUGGGAGCGAUUUCUUCCCACAAGAAUAUUCAAUUGAAAGAUUCCUCUUUCAUCUUCGCCACCCCUUUCUCCUUGCAAAAUAGAUCGAAACAAGAGGACCACACCCGUGAGGUGUUGGCCAAAUGCCCUCAGAUGCCUAAGUUAGUUCAAUUGAUUCGUAGAGAAAACAAUAGCUAAAUAGGGUACAAAGAUAUAUAUAUAUAUAUAUAUAUAUAUGUAAGGUGUAAACCGGGUGGCCGAAGCCAUGAGUGGUGGUCGGAGCCUUGUGUAAAAGGGAGAGAGAGUAUGGCGGCUAGGGUUUGUGAGGGAUAAUUUCUGCAGAGUUUCAGUAGGAAUUUAGACGUAGCUCAACCCUUGUGCGUAGCCAUCUAUUUACAGGGGCCUCGGAGGCUAGGGUUUCAGAGGAAUAAUUCCGCAGAUGGAAAGGAAUUAUUCUUCCCUGAUUUGGCGAGAUUGGCUUAAUUAGGGAUUUGAAUGUAGGAAUCAAAUCAAUCCCAAUUAAAUUAGAUAACUCCCAAUUAGGUAAAAUAAUCCCCAAAUGGAAGGAAAUAUUUCACCUAGGGCUUUGCUAGAAUUGGGCUCCCACAAUAUUCAUUCAGGUAAAACUUCGAGGUGUACGGUGAGAGAGAUAGAGACCAAAGGGACUGACGACUAAUAAAUCGUAGUGUCCUUAGCAUAAGUAGUAUAACACAAGCUUCAUCCACAACCAACUUGCAUAGAACAUGGCAUAUACAUAUCAAAACCAGUGUCACUUGUUCCCUCAUAUAUACAAACGUCACCUUAACAUAACACAACAUACAUGCCUUAUUCUUUCACGAAUUACAUAAAGUACAUGCAAGCAGCUGACCCGGUAAACAACAACUAGAAUGAUACUCGAAUAUCAAGCAAUGUCAUCAAUUGAGAAAUGAACUCUGGGUGGCCCGGCCAUGCUGCUCCAGUAACCAAAUUUCCAUCCGUGAAGCAACGAUCUAUUGGAUCAGGUUCCAGGCAUGCUGCUCCCAGCAAAACCACAUUAAGGUUCACCGCUGGAUACGCAGUACAUUUCUUUCUCUAUAAUUUAGCCGGUUAACAACAAUUAGGACACGAUUAAAAAAAGUUCAUAAUGUGAAAAUAAGUAAAUCAACCCUCAAUCAGAAGAAUCAACAAAAGACAAACAUAUUACAACUUCAAGGUGGUUUCUUUUUUACCUCGUCAUUAAAUACUCACUCUGAUAAAACUUUAUAUAAACAGAAAAUAGGCAGUGUCCCUCUUACAAAAUUGAUGACACUCCUAACUCUUCCUAACAACUUCUGAAAAACUGAAACUGCCUAGCUCCGCCAAGCCUUUUGGUUUUCCUUACUAGGUAAUUUCUUCUUUUACCCCAUUCCCGUGAACUUGUCCUCCUUGGCUCAUUGAAUGUUCGUUAUGUCUCCACCCAUACUCAGCCAAACAUUUGAUGUACUUUAAAUCUUUAGUAUUCAAUAAUACUGCAUAACUGUUGAUAUUUACAUAAAUGGUUCAUAAAAUUGAAGUGGAGAAGAAACUAUCUUAAGAGUUGAGAAUGAGUUUGGGUGGCUUGAGUGAAAAAACUUUAUCCAUCAACACAAGGAGAUGGUGAAGGCAUCUUAUUAUGGUGGGAUCAUUUGCAUCCUCCGGAGCCUUUUUUUUUCAAAAUACUGCCAGAUUUUAAUCAUUAAACUAAGAAUGUAAACGCUAGAUCCGAAAGCAGAUUCAAGGAUUUCCAUAAAAAGCAUAAUCAACAUUACGUAGUUAAAAACAUACAAGAUCCAUCCACAAUUGUUACAUAUACAGCAGAAUCAGAGCAUCAUUGUUCCCUCACAGAUGCACACAUCACCUUAACAUAUGCUUUUAUUCUUUUAUUGAAUUACACGGAGUUUCUGACUAUGUUUCUUUUUCUUUUUUUACUCUUAUUCGUUUAUGGAAUAACAUAUAUUACUUGGAAGCAGCUGAACUGGUUAAGUUUGCCUAAAAUGAUACUCGAAUAUCAAGCAAUGUCAUCAACUGAGAAAUAAGCUCUGGUUGGCCAUGCCACGCUGCUGCGGUAACCAGAUUUCCAUCAGUGACACAACGAUCUAUUGGAUUCGCUUCCGCAAACGUCCCCCCUGACACAACCACAUGAGCCUUAAUCCCUGGGUAUCCAGUAAAUUUCUUCCCCUGAAAUAUAGCCAAUUAAACCAAUUAUGUCAUGCUAAAAAGUGCCUAAUCAAGAAAUAAGUACAUUAACCACUUAUCAAAAGAAACAGAAAAAAUAUUAUCUCGUUUGCGAUUUUAAAGAGUACUCACCUCCUUCUUCCCAAUAGUUAUUUACAAUUGAGAGGUUAAUAGGUCACAACAGAUCAGCUCAACAGAACCGAAAUACAAAGCACUAGAUGUAACCUUUUUUACUUCCUUUUCAAGUUCAAUCGAUAAAGUAUUUCAAUCUGUUUUACUUUAUCUUUAAUAAGUAGCAUUAAAACUGGAAGCAUUAUAUUAAUGUUUUAGUGACAAACGUUUAACCACUAAAAUGCAGGUAGGAUAUAUGUUUUUUCUUUAAGACCAUACCUGCAGAACACCAGCAGCAACUAAAAUUUCCAGGCCAUGGCAGAUGGAUGCAAUUGGUUUCCUGGCUUCCAUAAAUUGUUUCGCUAGUACAAUAACAUCCUCAUUUAGUGCCAAAACCUCUGGAUCUUUUCCUCCAGGGAGUACAAGAGCGUCGUAACUUGAGGCAUCUACGGAUUCAAAGUCAGCUGUUAAAACAAAAUUUUGUCCCUGCGUUUCACUGCAGGUUUGGGCCCCUUCAAGAUCACGGAUAGCAGUUGGGCAGGGAUCACCGGCUUUCUUCUUGGGGCAAACCACAUCAACAUGGCAUCCUAGAACUUUAAGGGUCUGAUAAGGCACAGUUACCUCAUAAUCUUCCACGUAGUCCUACAAAUAUUACAAAUAUUGGGGAGGGGAGCAAUUAAAUGAUAAUGAUUAGUAUCUAACAGUUUGAUCAUUGGCUAGAAGCCUAAAACCAUGAACUUGUCGUGGCGAAACUGGUAAAGCCGACUCGGGCUUUCUCCCCUUUCUCUUUUAAUAAUAUUAAGGUUGGUUGUCACUUGAACUUGAGCAUACUAUUUUGUCCUAUAUAUGUCAUUGCAAUAUUAAAGAAAAAGAAAAGAAACCUUACUCCACAGAUGAUGAGGACCCUUCUCCCAGAACCAGAUAUGUUGCCUCCUAGUGCCUUGAGAAAAAGCCCAAUGAACUCAGGAUUG